CAUAUUCACAAAUCGGCUGAUCACUUAUUUUCCAUUAUGACGUUGAUAUAUAAUUUGCAGACUCCACAAAUGAAGAAAAGAGCACAAAUGACGUUGGCAAACCUGAAACUUUCCCAUUGGGCAAUAAACAUUACUCCAGUCAAAAACAUUAUGGAAGAGGCAAACCUGAAACUUUCCCAUUGGGCAAUAAACAUUACUCCAGUCAAAGACAUUAUGGAAGAGGCAAACCUGAAACUUUCCCAUUGGGCAAUAAACAUUACUCCAGUCAAAGACAUUAUGGAAGAGGCAAACCUGAAACUUUCCCAUUGGGCAAUAAACAUUACUCCAGUCAAAAACAUUAUGGAAGAGGCAAACCUGAAACUUUCCCAUUGGGCAAUCAGCAUUACUCCAGUCAAAAAAAGUAUGGAAGAGGUGCUUCUCCAUCCGACAAUCAACCACCAAUUCCAUAGAAAUUCAAACACGGCUACUUUCUUGCCACGAGAAAGCGCUCAAUCGAUCCCCUUCUCCUCUAACAAACUACCAGAAAUUUUCAACCAUUUUUCAGUGAAGCCAACAUCUGAGGAAGCCAAAACAAUUAAGCAAACAAUCGAAGAGUGUGAAGCUCCAGACCUUAAGGGAGAGGAAAUAUAUUGCGCCACAUCUUUAGAAUCAAUGGUUGAUUUUAGCACUUCGAAGCUUGGAACAAGAAACGUUGAAGCAAUCUCGACGGAGGUAUUGGAAAAAGGAGCCACCAUGUCCAUCCAAAACUAUACAACAAUGCCGGGACUGAAGAAGUUGGCAGGUGACAAAGUCGUUGUGUGUCAUAAGCAGAACUAUCCCUAUGCUGUGUUUUUCUGCCAUGCAAUAAAACAUACAGCAGCUUAUGCUCUCUCCCUGAAAGGCGAUGAUGGGGAGAAGGUUAAAGCAGUAACCAUCUGCCAUCUAGACACAUCAGAAUGGGACCCAGAGCAUAUGUCCUUCAAAAUCGUCAACGUUAAGCCCGGAACCAUUCCCAUCUGCCAUUUCAUUUCCACUGAUGCUAUUGCCUGGGUUCCGAACCACAAAUCUGCAUGAUCAUCACUUAGCACUAGUACUGUGCGUAUAAUAUGCCUGUAUAAUUAUCUCCCUACUUAUUUCUGCCUGUUCAUCAUGUGGUGUAAGAUAUAUGUUGAGAUGAAGUUUUUGGGAUUAGUGGUCGAAAUUAACCCGAUCAUGUUUUCUCUUGUAACUAUAUAGACUUCAACUUGUACUCAUAAUAAAGCAUGCUAUAUUUAUGAAGAGAUAUUAAUCUUCAGGCAAAUAGAUAUUAUGAAAACAUAUAUAGCAAUUUAUCCAGAAGAAAUAUUAUGAAAUGAAAAGAAUAAAAAGUAAAAAAACAGAAGGAAAGGAAUUCGCACCUGCUAUGUAUGAAAGGACCAAGAUUGUUUUCCCUUUGGUUAAUGACUAGAAAAGCUCACUUGCAGAUUGCUUUCUCUGACCGUAGAUGCAACAGAAAUUUUCUCUUAAUAAUAGCACAAUGAUCGGGUAAUUGUAAGAACAAGUUGAUUUAAAAUUCCUUGACCCAAAAAAAAAAAAAAAAUCAUUUCAAAUUCAGGUCAACCCAUAGAUUUCUUGCCUUUUUCUUCUUCAUCACGUUGGGCUUGUCUUCUUCUUGAGGAUUGUAUAGGCCCAGGAAAUGCUUUGAGGUAGUUUUUGGCCUUGGAAGUUGGGACCCAACCCAACUUCACAAAAAGAAAACAGAUUUGCCAAAAAUCAAAUUUCAAGUCUCUCCUCAGAUCACUAAUACAGAUCAAAUUUUGGAUUUGAUGAACUAAAGUGGUUUUACUUUCUCUGUCAGUGUUUGAUGACUUAAUUUGUUAUUUACUUCUUUUUUUUUUUUUACUUGAUCUUUGUAGGGGUUUUUUUCUUCCGGUAACUUAAACGGGCUGGGCUGCCGUAAAGGGUAGAUUGAUGAAAUUGUCUCCUUUGUCUGAGUUCGAAAAUCAAGCCCCAAAAGCGCUUCGAAAGGGCAGUAGAGCCUUAGGAAGCGUUCUAGUCAUCUUCACCAACUAAAACAACAGCAACUUACAGAUGAUUUCUUAAGGCUUACAGAUAAAUUUUCUAGCUUGGCAUGAGAGGCUUGUGACAUGGAAGCAAAAUCAGCAUGAGUUUAGCACCAAAGAGGAAAAUAUGGCUUCCUAGGGAGAAAUGGGAGUGUUUAAGGUGAGGAAGAAGAGGUUUGCAGGCUGAUUUGGCUGAGGAGAGAGAAAGAAAGAACAAUGUUCUUCCAGUAGCUUGACAAAGCUUCUGACAGAUGUGAAAGUCGUCUGCCAUAAGAGGAAAAUGAAGAAGAAUGGUGAAUAGUGCAUGAAAUUGCUGGGUUUUUGCAGGUAAGAGAGAAAGCUUGCUCUCUGAAUUUGAGUUGGUUUUUGGUUGGGUAGAAGAGGCCCCCUUUUAUAGCUGCGGGAAACCAUCUUUUUUCAAGAAACCCUAAUGGUUUCUAUCCAUUUUGGCCAAGCUUUUCCCUUCAUUUCUCUUCUCCUCCCUUGACUUUUCCUAUCUUGGUGAAAUUUCCUCUGCCUAUUUGCACAAAAUUAGAGAUUUUGAGGAGCUCAAGACCCCUUUCCCGCAGCUGCCUCAGUGGAGAAUCCCCAUUUUCAGUCAUCUUUCUUCCUUCUUUUCUCCCAUCUUCCAAGGUUAGGUCUGAUGAGGGAAAGAAAUGGGUAUGCACACUGGUUUGAAGGGUAUUUUUGCUUGAAACUUGUUCUCUCCCAUGUGCUGGAGCUUCCCAGCAACUUACACACAUGGAUAUUUUGGCUUUCAUCGUGGCUUUUGUUUUCAGCUAGGUGCUGGAGAUUUCGCAGAUAUUUUCAUGAGUUGCUUGGGCCUUCUAGGACAAUAGGUUGGUUUAUCAAGUGAAUGGGCUAACUUCAUCAAUUGUUGGGCUAUUUUGGUUGAGUUAAUGGACUAUUUUGGUUGAAGUAAUGGGCUAUUUUGGUUGAAUUAAUGGGCUAUUUUUCUCUCUUUGUGCUCACCCACAUAUUUGGGCCUAAGAAAUGGGCUUGAGUUCCGGGGCUCCCAAGCAACCCCGGGACUUCCAUUUCUCGGCCCAUCAAUGGGCCUCAUAUCAACUUAUUACCAUCCAUAUCACAACCCACUCAAGCAAGCCCUGGGCAUCUUGCGUGGCUUGGGCCCACUUAAGCUUGUAGCGUGACGUGUUGCUUAUUUGCUUGGCAUGGCAUGUGUGCAAGCGCAUAUGACGAACUUUAGCGUGCCCAAAUUGGGUUUAUUCUCGGUAAGGUAUCGCAUUGGGCCGAGAAUUUAAUUGGGCAGAACUGUGGAUUUUUGGGCCUCAACAAUCUUAUAUAUAUUGGUUUUCUUUUUUUCCUUAAUAUUCACCACCUUUCUGUUGCAUAAGUAUUUCAGUCUUAACGGGUUUCCAUCUACCACUCAUCUUUGCUCUUUUAAGUGUAAGCUUUUUUUUUUUUUUUUUAAGCACAAGAUUAGAGGGGAGGGGGAUUUCUCAAUGUAAGCUUUGCAGUUUCAUAAUUAAUAUUUCCAAUAUCUCACUGUUAGUAAAAUAUGGAACAGGAAAAGUAUGAAUAAAAUACACACAUGUUUUAUUUAGCAAAAUUUUGACAAGAUACAACUGAAAAGUUUGGCCACUAUAUAAUAUUUUGAUAUAAUUUCUACACUUCUUCUCAAAAGAUUAGAUCACUUCACAUCUUGUGUAUGUGAAAACUAAUGUAAAAAGUUGAAACUUUAUCGUAAAACCUCGACAAAAAUGAGCUCUACUAGAAAAUGUUCAAUUUGGAUUCGUUGAUUUAAAUGGCAAUUUGACACUUGAUAGAAAUUUUUACAUACAUGUGUUAGUGUUUGAUCACUUCACAUGUUACUUACUAUAUUUAUUCCACUCAAGUUAGGUAAAUAUUAUUAUCAAACAUUUCAAUUAAUUUGUGAUUUUUUUAUUAUUUAAUCAAUUAUGAAUUAAUGGAUUCUUCUUGUUGUUUUGAAGACCAAUAAAAAAAAAAGGGUAAGGAUGGCUUAUAACUCUGAUAAAACAACAGUGACGUGGACAGCAGAUGUUACACCGUACUGAAGAUUUUUGAAGAUUCUUUAUUUGGGUUUCUUUCAAGAUGAAAACCAUAUUAUCCACAACCACAAUGAAGAAGACAGAAAAUGGAGUAAUUCAGAUGUUACCAGCCAUCCACGACAAACUGAAGUCUGCAAAGCAUUCGUAAUCUAAAGGGAGACUUUGGAAAAGCCCAAAGGAGAGAGAAAAUUUUUAAAAGAAGCAAAAAUGGACAAAAUUGCCCUUAUUUAUUUUUUGAUUUCCUAAGAAAUCCUUUACAUUUGCAUGUCUUUGGUUUGAAAGUUGAGAGGUUAUUCUGUCUUUUUUCAAAAAGCUUUGGCUUUUUCCAAAAGUGAAAGUUUUUUUAUGGGUAAAACCUAAAUUUACUUAAUCCCUAAAAAGGAUGGGGAGGCUGCGCAAUACUUAGCCACGUGUAGGCCAGGAGGCUUUCCAAUUUUAAUAUAUAUAUAAAUUGAAAAAAUAAAAUAAAAAUCAAUCUAUUAUCCUAUAUAAAAUAAAGAUUAUUGCUUCCAUGGGCAGUGCUAUGCACAGGACAGUGCCUGCCCAGCACAAAUUUUUUUUAAAUAAAAAAAAAAAAUCUACAUAUGUUAUAAGCUCAUCCAAAAAAAUAAAAUAAAAUAAAAGUAAAUUCUACAUAUAUGUUGCCCAUCUAGGUGGUUCCAUAUCUUCUCUCUCCUUCUCUUUUGGCUAUUAGACUUCUUGUUUCUCUCUCUCUCUUUGCUACCUCACAUCAGCAAGUUUCUCCCUCUCUUUUUUUGGGGUCAAAUUCUUCCUCUAUUGACAAAAUCUUCUAUUAUCUUGGGUGGGCAACUUGGCAACAACAUCUUCUCUUCUCCUUUUGUCAACAACAAGUAUUAUUCUCAUUCUCUCAUUUGCUAUAUAUCUUUAAUUAUAGUUUUAAUUUAAAAUUGAGUAUUCUAGGGUUUAAUUAGGGAUGAAUUAUAAUUUUAGAAUUUUGUUGAAAUUAAUUAAGGCUUCGAUUAGGGGUGAAUUAUUCUACUGCUUUGGUUUGGAAUUUUGUUAAAAUUGAGUAUUAUAGGGUUUAAUUAUGGAUGAAUUAUAAUUUUUGAUUUUGGUAUUAUUGAGAUGUUAUUAUGAGAAUUUGUUUCAUUUUUUUAUUGGUAUAUUUGAUUAAAAUUCUUUCUACAUAUUAUUCAUAGGCUAUCUUUUAUUAUGUCGGAUCACAAUCGGAAUCCCAAGAGAACAAAGAAUUUGAAUAGUGUUGUUUUGUAUUGCAUUGCAUUUACUUUUGGUUUUAGUUUUGCUUUUAGUGUAAAUUACUCAAAUGGUCCUCAAAUUUGUACCCGAUUUACAUUUUGGUCCAUAAACUAAAUUAUUCAUUCAAAUGGUGCACCAACUCUUUAUUAAUCAGUGCUUUGGUCCUACCGUUAUGUUUUCUAUUAAAUUUAGUCAUGUGAGCAGCACAUGCUACAUUUGUAGGGGUAAAUAAGACUUUUGACCACUUUAUCACCUAUGUAUCACCACUUUAUAACCUAUUUGGAGAACAUAGGUCAGUUAUGGACGGUUUUACAAUUAUAUUUGACGGCAACAUUAACAUAAUGUAACAGUGGGAUCAAUGGAGCGAUUAAUAUAGAGUUGAUGGACCGUUUGAACGAAUAAUUUAAUUGAGGGACCAAAACGUAAAUUGAGUAUAAGUUUGAGGACCAUUUGAGUAAUGUACCCUUCGCUUUUAUAUUUGUUGAACUUUUAUUUAUGGAUAGAUAUGCAUUUGAGGGUAAGACCCAUUAUGUUCCCCCUGACUUGGUGUAUCUUUUUAUGUUUAUUAAUGAAAUUCACUCGAACUGUUGAGUUUAGUAUGUAAGUUUUGCCUAACCGGCUUUUGAAUCCUAGAACCGCCACUGUUGCUCCAUCCUCCAUGCACUUGCAUGUGCUCUUACAAAGUGUGAAGUAGAUUUUGUGUGCUCCAAGUCAUUGACUAGAGCUGAAACAUGGUUAGCUAGAUUUAUAAGGACCCAUCUCUCUAUUUCCUAGACAUAUACCCAUCUCUCUAUAAAUCUAUAUGUAAAACUCAAUUUCAAACUUAAAUGACCAGUAAGAUAUAAGAGGUCAUAGUAUUCCUAUGUUUUUACAUCGUUGCCACCAGACUUCUUAUUUUAUUUAUAAUUUAUUUCAAGCAUUUCAUUAACUGCCAUAAUUGUAAUUAAUACUCCAUAUUAAUAGCAUAUCAAUCACCCCAUUUCUUUUGAUUGCCAUUCCCUCUAACAUAUCGCCCCUUAAAAUUGAAAACCAAAAAAAAAAAAAAUGUAAAUUACAUAUCCAAUAAUGUACCUAUGAAAAAUAUAAAUAUAAAUAUAUACGUAUAAAAAUAUAGGUUUAUUAUUUACCAAAUAAAAAAUAUAAAAAAACUAGGUCAGUUGCUUUGUAAUUGAAAUUUCUAUACAUUUUCCACAAAUUAAAAAUAGGUACACAAUAAUUUAUAGAAAAUAUAGGUGCAUUAUUUAUCCAUAGGUAAAAAUACCUAUAAAUGCACAUAGGUAAAUUAUUUACCCAUAUAUUAUUUUUUUGCUAAGGAUUUACCUUAGUUUUUAGUAGAUUAAUUUACCUACCUAGAGGCAUAGGUAGCUUAAAAAAAUUGUAGCACCUUAGUUGGUUGCAUACUAAUUUACCUACCUAGAGGCAUAGGUUGCUAAGAAAAAAUGUAGGUAAAUUCAUGUACCUAAACACAUAGGGGUCAAAUAGAGAAUAACAUGUUAUUUCCCUUCGAACAAAUUAAUUUCAAACCAUAACAAUAAUUGAAUUCGGAAAUUGGUAUAAAUAAAAGGAAAUAAAUAAGCUAUCAAUUUGAAAAUUAAAAUAAGAAAUGAUCAAGUAGUCAUAUUUGAAAAAAAAGAAAAGAAUAUAUUCUUGGUUUUUAUAGGAACAACGUGUAUAUUCAAACCAAAUGGCAGUAACUACACCAAGCUUUAAUUACUUUUUUUUAAGGCCAAAAGUCACUUUUGGUCUCUGUAGUUUGACACUUCUAUUACUUUUGACGCUGUAGUUUCAAUUCCGUCAAUUUUGCCAUUGUAGUUUCAUAUUUGUAGCAAUUCAAGGACAUGUUAAUAUUAAUGUCAAUUUGUUUAAUGAUGCAAGGGGUAAUUUCGUCAUCCCAAAAUCCUUGAGCAUAAAAGCUUGUCUGAAAUUCUCCCCAUUUCAUAUUAGGGCUCGAAAUUCAACCACUAAUCCCAAUUUUUGAAGAACCCUAUACCCAAAUGACCAAUUUCAAGCCCUAAUAACAAAUUAGGGAAGUUUUAGAUGAGCUUUUAUGCUCAAGGAUUUUGAGUUGAAGAAAUUGCCCCUUGCACUGUCAAAGAAAUUGAUAGGAAUACUGACUUGUCCUUGAAUUGCUACAAAUACAAAAAUACAGGGUCAAAAUUAACAGAAUUUAAACUAUAUGGUCAAAAGUGGUUAAAGUGCCAAACUACAAGGACCAAAAGUGACUUUUAGCCUUUUUGUUUAAAUAAGGAAAAAACUUACCUAUUAAAUCCUUGGAAUCUAUACAAAAUUGAAACACAGUUAAUCAGCAUUGAAUUGCAGCUAAUUUCUUAAACAAGGGUAUUAUAGGAAUUUAAAAAGUAUAACAUUUAAUCCAUUGAGCUUGAUUAGGAAUCUUGAUGAGUUGGAUCCUAGUUAUAUAGUUUCUCUUAUAAAAAUCGGGUUUUAUUUAUAGACAAAUAAAACAAUGGGUUGUAGGUAAGAAAAUAUUAAUUUGAAGGGAAAGUGUCACAUCCUGGGAUCGGCUCCGCCGUAGCACGAUAUUGUCCGCUUUGGGCCCCCCUCUCUGCCCGCACGGUUUUGUUUCUGGGAGCUCACGAGCAACUUCCCAGUGGGUCACCCAUCCUGGGAUUGCUCUGGCCCCCAACUCGCUUAACUUCGGAAUUCCUAUGACUCCGAAGCCAGUGAGCUCCCAAAAGGCCUCGUGCUAGAUGGAUGCGGGUGUGUACAUAUAAGACACAUCACCCCCUCUCCGUUGGUUGAUGUGGGAUCUUACAGAAAGAGUCAAAUUUACUAAAUUAAUAAAGCAUAAAUUGGAAAGGGAAAAGAUCUAGAGGAUGCAUUGUAGGAUUGCUCAUGCCAAUAAUUGCACCCUCUCGAUAUUGAAAAACCUAUUGUGUAUUAUUAUCUUCAAUCAUGAAUGAUGCACCUAAAACCCAAGUGUCCCAAGCCAACCAUUGCGCUCAUACCACUUGUUGCAGUACACAUUCACCCGUUUUUAAAGAAAGAAAUUCUACCAAUCGAUAUUGUCUCAAAUUUAAUCACAUAGGUCUAUUAUGGUUAACCAUAUGUACUUUUAUCGGCCAUAUAGAGGUACCUUUUUCCAACGUGCAACAAUUGUAUUUGAUUCACAAUUAUGUCUGAUAUACAUCACAUCAUGCCACUUGCCUCAAAUGAAUUUAAUUGAGUGAGGCAAUGGGAAGUAAUUAAGCUCUAUAUUGGUGGGUGGAGUGUUACUUCUGGAACCCUCAUCAUUCGUCCAUACAAGGGAACAAUUCCCUUCCUUCUAUAAAAUGGUGAAGCCAGUUGCUAUUGUUUGUUAGAGUUUUAGGAUCUGAGUGUUAGAUUUUGUGAGAAGAGAGAAGAGAAUUUAGUGAAAACUUCCAAUACUGCUCUGCUAUACGUGUAGCAGAGAGAACAUUCUGUUUUGUUAUAUAUUUUCAGUACAACAACACACACUUGGUGUGAGAAGAAAAAUGACUGUUAUGCACAGUACCAGCUGGAUGCUUUCCAUCAAAGUAAUCUCAGCCAUUCACUAUCUAACCAAUCAAGCUAUGACACCUGGACUAAGUAUAAAGAAAUACAACUAAGCAGAAAACAAGACUCUUAAUCCUGAAAUCAACUUAAGCACUUAUAAUUCAACACUCCCCUUUAAGUCUUGAGGUGAUUUCACUCCAAGCAUGCCUCUGAGAUAAUUGAAUCUGUCUUUGGCCAGAGGUUUGGUAAAAAUGUCAGCCAAUUGUUCAUUUGUAGGACAAUAUUCCAGAUUGAUUACCCCUUCUUGCAAUGCAUCCUUGAUGAAGUGAUACCUCCUGUCAAUAUGCUUUGUCUUCUGGUGGAAUACAGGGUUUUUAGUGAUUGCAAUUGCUGAGAUAUUAUCACAAUGCAAUGGAGUAGCUUCAGUUUGAAGCUCUCUAAAGUCUUCUAGCACAAAACGGAGCCAAAUAGCUUGAGUAGUAGCCUCAGCUGCACUGAUGUACUCAGCUUCUGCAGUAGACAGUGCAACACAGUUCUGUUUCACUGAGGCCCAAGAAAAUACUCCACUUCCAAAACUAAACGCAUACCCUGAUGUGCUCUUGCAAUCACCAACUGAUCCUCCCCAAUCACUGUCACAGUAACCAACUAGAAUUGAUCUUUUGCCUUUCACAUAUUCAAGACCAUAGUCCAGAGUUCCUUUGAUGUAUCUCAAAACCCUUUUAGCUGUUCCAUAGUGUCUAUUUGUAGGACAGUGCAUGAAUCUAGCUAGCAAGCUUGAGGCAUACAUGAUGUCUGGUCUUGUAGCAGUUAAGUACAGCAAGCUACCAACAAUGCUUCUGUAUUGUUCUUCAUUUGCAGCUCAACUCCCAUCAUCCUUAGCUAGUUUCUCAGUGGCAACAAGGGGUGUUGUCACAGGUUUGCACUCAGUCAAACCAAACUUGCUCAACAAGGUGCUAGCAUAUUUCUUUUGAUGUAGAAAUAUACUAGACUCAGUCUGAAUAACUCCCAUGCCAAGAAAGUGAUGAAGUAAGCCCAAAUCAGUCAUCUCAUACUUAGCCAUCAUGUCUUCUUUGAAUUCAGCCAACAAUGCUUGACUGCUCCCUGUAUACACAAUAUCGUCUACAUAGAUAGACACAAUUAGAAUCUCCUUAUCUCCCCUUACUUUGGUAUAUAAGGUUGUUUCACUUAAGCUUUUCACAAAACCACAUUGAGUGAAGUAGCUGUCUAUCUCUCCAUACCAAGCCCUUGGGGCUUGCUUCAGACCAUAAAGGGCUUUAUGCAAACGAUAAACCUUGUCUUCUUUACCUUUAAUUACAAAACCUUCAGGCUGACUGACAUAAACUUCCUCUUGCAGCACACCAUUAAGGAAAGCAGACUUCACAUCAAGCUGGAACAAUUUCCAAUCCUUUUGAGCAGCUAGAGCAAUAAGUGUUCUAAUGGUGUCCAAUCUGGCUAUAGGUGCAUAAGUCUCAUUAUAAUCCAGUCCAGGCUUCUGAGCAUACCCCUUAGCCACUAAUCUUGCUUUAUUCUUUUGCACUGAGCCAUCCAAAUUCAGCUUUGUCUUGUACACCCACUUAACUCCAAUCACUGGUUUUUCAGUUAGUCUAUCUACCAAUUCCCAUGUUUCAUUCUUUUCAAUCAUCUGCAGUUCAUCUUCCAUAGCCUUAAGCCAAGAUUCAUCCUGAGCAACAUCAGCAUAUUUUUCUGGUUCCAUGAUACACAAGUUACACUGAGCUAGAACAUCAUCUAGCCUUCUCCAUUUUAGAGGGGUGUGAUCAUAAGCUUGAGUUCUCCUUUCUUCACUGCUUAUAUCACCUGGAGUUGAUGAAAUGCUCUCUUGCAUAUCCAAAGUUUGAGGUGUACCAGUAGAAUUCUCAUUAGAACUGUCAGAUUUCAAGUCCAAAUCAACUUGGUUUUCAAUUGAGUAUGUUGUCAUAACUGAACCAUUUUUGUUUGUCCAAUGCCAAGCAUUUUCUUCAUCAAAUGUCACAUCCCUUGAUAGUAAAAGCUUGUUAGAAACAGGAUCAAAAACUCUAUAUCCUUUUUCACAAGUUGCAUAUCCCACAAACACUCCCUUUGUACUCUUAGGAUCCCGCUUGUGUCUCAAUUCAGUUGGCACAUGAACAUAACACAGAGAACCAAACACUUUCAGAUGUGCAAUUCCAGGCUUCCUUCCACUAUAUGCUUCGAAUGGAGUAAUGUUGUUGAGAGCUUUGGUAGGACAUCUGUUCAGCAAAUAGAUAGCUGUAUGCACAGCUUCUGCCCAUAGGAAAUAAGGCAUUCCCUUCUCAUGUAACAUUGAUUUUGCCAUCUCAAUGACAGUUCUAUUCUUCCUCUCAACUACUCCAUUCUGCUGAGGAGUAUAGGCCAUUGUAAGCUGCCUUUGAAUGCCAUUAGCUUCACAAAACUCCAAAAAAUCAGUAGACAUAAACUCUCCACCCCUGUCACUUCUUAUGCACUGAACCUUGUGUCCAGUUUGUAAUUCAGUCAUGGACUUGAACUUCUUGAAACAAAAGAAGGCUUUUGACUUGUUUCUCAAGAAGUAUACCCAAAUCAUUCUUGUGAAAUCAUCUAUAAUCAGCAUGAAAUAUCUGUUCCUUGCAACAGACUCAUUUCUCAUGGGACCACAGAGAUCCACAUGUAUUAGCACUAGUACUUUGCUUGCUCUUUGAGCUUGAUCUUUUGGAAAAACAUUUCUGUGCUGUUUUCCAAAUUGGCACCCGUCACACACACCACUUUGUUCUUCCAAUUUUGGUAAACCAUGUACCAUUUCUUUAUCACUUAGCUGCUUCAAUCCUCCAAAAUGCAGAUGACCAAAUCUCUUGUGCCAAAUCCAUGUGGAUUGAAGAAAACUAGUCUUCAUUAGUAACUGUUUUUCAGCUAGAAAAGAGACAGGAUAGCAUCUGUUACUCUUCAUUUGCACCUUUAUGAUGAGAUAAUCCAUGGAUGGGCUAUCAAAUACCCUGCACAUCCCUUCUCCAAACACUAGACAGUACCCAUGUUCAUCCAUCUGCCCAACACUUAGCAGAUUUUCUUUCAAUCCUGGCAGAUACAUUACUUCUCUGAUGUAUUUCCUGCCCUUUGCUGUAUCAAUACUCAGUGAGCCAAUACCAGCUACACUCACUAAUGCACCAGUUGGCAUUUGUACUCUCCCAGCUACAUUAGUUCUCACAUCAACCAGCAAAUCUAAAUUUCCUGUCAUAUGAUUGCUGCAGCCACUGUCAAUGUACCAUUCAUUGGUUUUGAUCUCAGUGGUUGAGCAAUUGGCAUAAAACAGGUUUCCUGUAACCUCCAUUUGAUUUACACAAUUAGCCUUCUGCACAUUUUUGCUCACUGUACAGUCUCUAGCAAGAUGUCCAACUCUGUCACAGUUAUAGCAUUUUGGUUUUCCCUUAUACCUGCACUCACCAAAAUGAUGCUUUGAACACACCUUGCAUUGAGGCUUUGUGUUUUCCUGAUUUGAGAACUGUGUUGAAGUGUGGUUCUGUGCAGAAUAAUUAUUCUGCUGUGUCUUGUCUUUUGCCUCCCAUGACUUCCCUUUAGAGUUCCAGCUUCUCUGUGACUUAGAUGAACCAGACUGAGAAGCAUUUUUGUUCUGACCCUUUGAAUUCACAGUGAAUGAGGCAAAUGCCUUCUCAGCUGUAUCAACACUAUGCAUUUCAAGCCUUUGCUCCCGACUCUUCAAAAUGGCAGUUACUUCCUGCAAAUCCACAGUUUCUAGUGUCUUUGUGUUUUCAAUCACAAUGCAUAUAGGGUCAUACUUCUUACUUAGACUAAUUAACACCUUCUGAACCUACCUCUCAUUUGACAGAACUUCACCAAAUGUUUUCAUUUGGUUAAUCAAUUCAGUUAGUCUAGUAAGAUAUUCAGAUAAGGUUUCACUAUCACGCAUCCUACUGUAUUCAAACUCACGUCUAAGGUUUUGAAGCUUUACCGAUCUAACAUGCUCUCCACCAUGAUAUUCUGAGUACAGCAGAUUCCAAGCCAUCUUUGCAGAGUCAGCAUUGGCAAUUCUGGGAAAAAUCUGAUCAGAAACAGCAUUUUGAAUGAUACCCAAGGCCUUCGCAUCCUUCAUGAGAAUCGCAGCUGUUUUCUCAUCAACUUCUUCUUCUGAACCAUCCUCAGAUUCCUGCUUCGUCUUUGAAUCUGGGAUUAAAAACCCCUUCUCUACCAAACCCCAUAAACCAUAUGAUCUGAAUAUGGUUACCAUCUUAAUCCUCCAAAAUUCAUAGUUCUCACCUGAGAAAAUGGGGAUUCUAGCCUCUGAACUUCCAGAUCCAGCCAUUACGAAUUUCAGAUUCGCCUGGAAACAAGAUGUUUUCAGAUUUGACCCUUGAUCGAGCUCAAUCAGCUUCGUGAGCUUAGAAUGAGCUCACCUCGAUCGAUUUUCUUCACAGAACAACGCCCAGCUUCAGAUAAUCAAACUUGGCUCUGAGGCCAUGUUAGAGUUUUAGGAUCUGAGUGUUAGAUAUUGUGAGAAGAGAGAAGAGAAUUUAGUGAAAAUUUCCAAUACUGCUCUGCUAUACGUGUAGCAGAGAGAACAUUCUCUUUUGCUAUAUAUUUUCAGUACAACAACACACACUUGGUGUGAGAAGAAAAAUGACUGUUAUGCACAGUACCAGCUGGAUGCUUUCCAUCAAAGUAAUCUCAGCCAUUCACUAUCUAACCAAUCAAGCUAUGACACCUGGACUAAGUAUAAAGAAAUACAACUAAGCAGAAAACAAGACUCUUAAUCCUGAAAUCAACUUAAGCACUUAUAAUUCAACAUUGUUACCAUAAGAGCCAGCUCCGACUUUCUUUAAUUUCAGUCCUAACGGGGUUUCAUCUUCCACUCAUCUUUGCUCUUCUCAGUGUAAGCUCUGCAAUUUGAUUAACUUUCCCAUUAUCUCUCACUGUACUCUAUAUAAAGGAAUAAGUGUCGUCCACUAAUUAAUUACACUUUGUGAGAUUUGAUUUUAAUUAGAGUUCGAAUUGAUGUUGCAGCUAGCAGCGGUGGCACUGGCAAACCAUGCUGCUCAACCAGCACCUCAACUUUACUGGAACUCCGUCCUGCCAAACACACAAAUGCCAAGAGCUAUCAGUGAACUUCUGCAUCCUGGUUUGUGUUGAAUAAAUAUAGUAUGUUACUGGAGUACGUAUGGCAACAUAUUCACAAAUGUGUCACGUAUUUUCCAAUAUGACGUUGAUAUAUAAUUGCAGACUCCACAAACGAAGAAAAGAGCACAAAUGUCAUGAAUGCUGUUGGGAAUGGAAAGCCAAUUGACCACAAGGGCAACCUGAAAAUACUGUACUACCACAGCUUGCACGACGCCCAUUUUCUUACAAGAGUGAUGAUCGUCCCACUGACAAUCAACUCCAUUAUAAAAACGUAGCUAUUUUCUUCUUGGAGAAGGACAUGCGCCCUGGCACAACAAUGAGCUUCCAAUUCCCUAGAAAUUCAAACACGGCUACUUUCCUGCCACCAGAAAGAGCUCAAUCGAUCCCCUUCUCCUCUAACAAACUACCAGAAAUUUUCAACCAUUUUUCAGUGAAGCCAACAUCUGUGGAAGCCAAAACAAUUAAGCAAACAAUCGAAGAGUGUGAGGCUCCAGGCAUUAAGGGAGAGGAAAUAUAUUGCGCCACAUCUUUAGAAUCAAUGGUUGAUUUUAGCACUUCGAAUUUUCGAACAAGAAACGUUCAAGCAAUCUCGACAGAGGUAUUGGAAAAAGGUGCCACCAUGUCCAUGCACAAGCAUACAACAAUGCCGGGACUGAAGAAGUUGGCAGGUGACAAAGUCGUUGUGUGUCAUAAGCAGAACUAUCCCUAUGCUGUGUUUUACUGCCAUGUAAUAAAACCAACAGCAGCUUAUGUUCUCUCCCUGAAAGGCGAUGAUGGGGUGAAGAUUAAAGCAGUAGCCAUCUGCCAUCUAGACACAUCAGAAUGGAACCCAAAGCAUUUGGCCUUCCAAAUCCUCAAAGUUAAGCCCGGAACAAUUCCCAUCUGCCAUUUCCUUCCCACUGAUCAUAGUGUCUGGGUUCCGAACCACAAAUCUGCAUGAUCAUCACUUAGCACUGUACGUAUAAUAAGCUUGCACCCCUGUAUAAUUAUCUCCCUACUCUACUUAUUUCUGCCUCUUCAUGUGGUGUAAGAUAUAUGAUGAGAUGAAGUUUUUGGGAUUAGUGGUCGGGUUGCCUUAAAAACACAGAUUACAGAAACUGCUUGAACUUAACCCGAUCAUGUUUUCUCUUGUACUCGUAAAGCAUGCUGUUGUGGUUCUACUUAAUUUCGUUCUCCCCAAUGUUUGAGUGUUUAAUUGUUACGUUGGAUAAUGCUUGUAGUUAGAGAAGCCUUCAUUUAUAUCAAAGUCCUCAACUUGUAAAGAUAUCAAUGGUCCUAGUGCUGCCACGUGUAAGAAGAUUGAAGAAUAAAGCUGUUGAGAUAUUGUUAGACCUGUUAUGCAGUUUAGGAAAACUGUUAGUAUUGAUAAGAGAAGGUUAGAGAUGUUAGAGAGGUUAGAAAACACGUGAACAAGGCUUUAACUCAGCUGAUAUAAAGUCUGUAGUUGUGCUCAGUUGAACUUAAUGAGAAAUACAACAAGUCUCUUCUCUAUCUCUGAAAUUCUCUCUGCUCUCUCUGCUUUACUUCUUUUGUCUCUGCUCUACAUUUUUUUUCAAUCUUCCUAUCUUAACAAAACUAUCAAGAAUUAAUGCAUCCAGAAACAUAUAUACCAAGACGCAAAACAACAUAUUUUUCAUGCUCUGUCUGUAACACCAAAGCAAACUUCCUUUAUCACAAAAGGAUCAAAUUCCAGUACUAAUCUAAUCCAUCAUGUAAAGCAUACAAUCUACAAGUGCCUCCCUUAAUUUGUCCAUUGGAUAUAUAUGUCACUUUUUGGUAAUUUGGUAUAGCAGCACCACGUAGUCUUGAAAUAGUAGUGCGGCUAUACCAAAUAUACCAUUUGCCCCUGCAUUUAACAGAAAAGUAAACAAAAUUGACGGUAGAACUAUUUGUCCUAACGAAACUGCAGUUGAAAGACCAUGAGAACGAUUUUGAAAAUUGAGGGACUCAAAUGAAAAUUGGGUCUAAGUUCAAGAACCAAUAAAACGAUUAACCCAUAGAUUUUGGAUCCAGUACCACAUCCCAAAGAGAAAACCACAAGUUUGCAAGCAAGUUUGUCCAUAAUAACACUACGUACAGUAUGGGCAGUGCGCUAGACUCAUCUCACUUUCUCAACCUAUCCUAUAGUUGUCUAAAAGAGUUUCUAAUUUAAUGUACUGAGAUUUACGAAAGAAAUAUCAGAGAAACAAUUUUCAGGCAAUAAAAAAAUGUCUUGGCAAGAAAAUGUACAAUUUGUUACAUAACUUAUUAAAUAUGAACAGUUGAAAGAAAAAAGAAUCUGGAUGAGGGAUUUGCAAAUUCCUAUGGCCCAAUUACCUUUUUUUCUUUGUUGUUUUUUUUUUUUUUUUUUUGGUUCUUUUGAUCCAGUAGCAUAUUCCAAAGAAUGAAAACCACAGGCAUGCAAUGCAAGCUCUUUUCCCACGUUUUCCUCUGUUUUUCUCCUAUCAUGGAAGUGAUUAAAACACACCUCUAAGCUUGUUUUGCGUUUGGUAGCCGAGUGUAAAAGCUCAAUGCAAGAUAGUUUGAGGUAGAAUUUUCUCCUAUUUUAUUAGGACAAUGAUAAUUAAAAAAAAGUGUGAUUCAUUGAAUAUUUGCGGGGUUUUGUUCAGACCUGACAAAGUUCUAAGUCAACACAUCAAAUUCCUUUUUCCAACAUGCAACAAUUGUAUUUGAUUCCCAAUUUUUUCUGAUAUACAUCACAUCAUGCCACUUGCAUCAAAUGAAUUUAAUUGAGUGAGGCAAUGGGAAGUAAUUAAGCUCUGUAUUCGUGGGUGGAGUGUUACUUCUGGAACCCUAAUAAUUCGUCCCUACAGGACUCUAGAACUCUCAAACUUCUUACAAGGACUACUUAACUCUAUAGCUUAAUGCAUAUAGCAUAUAUAUGCAAACACAAUUAGAAAUUCUACAACAGAAGCAAGAUCAAUCUCACUAUGCCUUCUAAACAAACAAACAAAUAAAACAAGCAUAUUAAUUGCUUUAAUCACUCUACUAACAUCAACACAGCACACUUAGUUUACUAACAGAUGAUAUAGAAAGGAAAAAAAAGGACCAAUAGGGAGAAAAUGGUGAACUAAGGAGAGACUAAUACUUCUGGUCCUUAGAAGGCAUAACAGAAAUAAUAGAGCACACUGCUUGAAUGCAAGUCAGUAUUAGGAGCAAAACAGCUGCAAUGAAAGAAAUAGUUGCCCAAGGUGUAUUGAAAUAAUGUUGCCUCAAAUUUGCCUUCCAUUUGUUCCAAGGCUUUCUGCAGUAGCUAUUAAGGCGCUCAGAAAGAAUAGCAAAGUAGAAGCUUUCACGAUACACUGCAAUUCCUUUUCCGAGGUUGUUAAUCAGAGUGCACACCUCAUUGUAGUCACCAAGCAUAUUUUUGACAAUCCCAUCCUUCAGAAGGAACUCCACAUCCUUUUCGGUGUUCACAAACUCAUCCAUGAGUGAAACAUAAUCACUUAUGUAAUUCUUACGGCAAUGGCACUAUUCAAAGGCAAUGAGGUUACGGAGUGUGAGCUCUGUGUAAUCGUGUAUUUUUAGUUUUGGAAUUUCUAGAAUCCCAUCGUUGAAUUGUGUUAACGCAGCUUUCCUUUCCUAGCCUACACGGAAGUCAACUUCACAAUCUCCUCCUAGCAAUUAGUCUUUCCUGCUGUAAAUCAGAUUUCCUACUGUAAAUCGGAUUGUAUUCAUGUCUAUAUUAUUUCCUACUUUAAGUAGAUAUCUUGUACUAGUAUAAAUAGGGACUUUGUGUAAUCUGUUAAAUACAAGGAAAUAUAUACUCUGCAUGGUAUCAGCCUAACCUAGGGUUCUCUCUCUCUCCCUUAUUCGAUCCUCUUCUCCUUUAGGUCCACCUCAUGGCUUUGUCUGAAUCCACCAUCUCCCUCCCAAGCCCCAACUCUUCUAUUUUAUCAAGCUUAUUGACUCCAACUAUCUUCUUUGGCUCCGCCAACUCAAACCCUUUUUAGUCGGCCAUGACCUCUGGAAAUUUAUCGAUGGCAUUCAUAAACAACCUUCUGCCCACACCUCCACCUCUACCACCGCAACACCCACAACCACCACCACUCUUACCCAAAUCAAUCAUGCCCAUGCUCAGUGGUACCAACAAGACCAACUCAUUGUUAGCUACAUCACCAAUACACUCUCUGAGUCCAUUCUCUUUCUCACUGUUGGUUGCACCUCUGCCCGGGAUCUCUGGGAGUGUCUCCAACGCCACUUCUCUCAAUCCAGUAUGGCCAGUGAAUCUACUCUUCGUUUUAAACUCAUGGAUUUGCAAAAAGGCUCUGAACCCACUUAUGCUUACAUUCGUCAUGCUAAGUCCUUUGCCGAUUCACUGGCUGCCAUCAAUGAACCUGUCUCCCCAAAAGAACUUGUCACUACUGUGCUUUGGGGUUUAAGACCCUAUUGCAACAUCCUCGUCACAGCAAUUCUCAAUUUCCCUCUGCUUCCUAACUUUGCUAAUCUUCGUGCUCGUUUGUUAGCAUUUGACGCACAGACUCCUUGAAUCUCUCCUGAUCAAAACACAGCGCAAAUGGCCACCCAAUCCUCUCCUCACACCACCGGUCAUACUUCCUUCCCUUCUCACCGUGGUGGUGGCUCUUCCAACAACAGGCGUGGUGGCCUCGGUGGCUGGCGCAAUAGCGGCCGGGGUGGCUGGCGCAGCUUCUCAUCUUCCUGGAGCAACCCGUGGAAUGGCUUCCAGCAGCUCCAAUGACCUAAUCAACCAUGGCCUCCUUUUGCUCCAAGUUCUGGAUCUCAAAGCAACUGGCCUUCCUUUCAGCCUCCUUGGGCCUAAUCUGCCGCUUCUAUCAAACACUUUGCCCGGCCCAACUCAGCUCCUGGUGUCUUGGGACCCGCUUGGUGCACUACCUGCAAUACCAAUCACAUACUACUACAAUAUGUCCUCAUCGCUACAAUGGCCCAGAAUCCUUUCUUUGCUAGGGCUCAAUUCAUGUAGCCACCUGACUCUACUUGGUACCCUGACACAAGUACCACUCAUCAUAUGAUUGGUAGUCCUUCUAAUCUCCAAAAUCAAUCCUUCUAAUCUCCAAAAUCAACAGCCAUAUCAGGUUCAUAAUUCUGUAUUUCUUGGUAAUGGAGAUUCUCUCCCUAUCUCUCAUACUAGCUCUCUCUUUUGUCUUCCAUCUCUUCGUACUAAUCUUCUUUUUGUUGCCCAUUUUACUUGUGAUAAUUUAGUUUUCUUUGUCUUUACUCUUGACUUUUAUCAAAUCUAUGACUUAUGUACUGGUUCGUUACUCUUUCAGGGCCCUUCUAAAGAUGGUCUUUACCCACUUUCCAUCUCCUCUCACUCAUCCAUAGUCCCCCAUGCCCUUACCACCGUGCACUCUCCUGCUUGGCAUCAUUGCCUUGGCCAUCCAUUCCAUCGUGUGCUCUCUCAUUUAGCGCCAUCUCUAGGCUUUAAAGUUUCUCAUGCUUUCUGUAAGGAUUGUGCACUUAGCAAAUCCACCAAACUGUCAUUUCUUAGUAAUAAAACCUUUGCCCCAUCUCCCUUUUAUUUAAUUCACUCUGAUGUAUGGAUGUCCUCGGUCAUUUCUGUCACUGGUUAUCGCUAUUAUGUCUUGUUUACAGAUGACUUUUCUCGUUACUCCUGGAUCUAUCAUAUGCACCGUAAAAAUGAGGUCUUUUCUCACUUUCAAACCUUUCUUGCUAUGGUUAAAAAUCAAUUUCACACCACUGUACAAAUUCUUUAAAGUGACAAUGGCACUGAAUAUGUUAAUAAUGCUUUCUCUGAUCUUUGCAGUCAACUAGGCAUCCACCAACGUUUCACAUGUCCCCACACUCCCCAACAAAAUGGCCUAGCUGAACAUAAACACAGACACAUUGCCACCAUGAUCUGUCCCCGGUCAUUUAUUCAACCAUCUUGACCUUUUGCUUGAUCAUUUUCCACAAGCAACCGUCCACGUACCCCAAUAAUUUAAAAGGGCUGAUGAUCUUUAAUUUGGUGAAAGCUUCUAUCUACCUACCGUGCUAUAUAUGAGCUAUGCAAUCGUGACCGUGUUACAUGACGUCCCAAUGUCGUAGGGAUAAAAAAAUAAUAGUCAUGGUUUUCUUAUUAAUGUCAAUACAUUCAUAGCAAAGAGCUUGUAGCUCUAGUGGUUAAGAGCAAUUACCCAUGCACUUGAGAUAUUUUGUGUUUAAAUCCCCUCUUCCCCAAUAUUUCUUGUAUAAAAAUAAAAAUAACAAUAAUAAUGACAUUAAUGUUGUAUUCUAUAAAGUGUUGGACAUGUUUUAUACCCCUUUCUUGCAAAUUACAGUUUGCCACGUGUACAAAAAUAAUAGAUAAGUGUUGGACAUCAAGAGCACUUACAUAUAGGUUUAAUAGGUAAGUUUUGAAUAUUUCUGUAUUUAGCUUUAAAUAUUGAAAAUCAACCUAUUAGCAUAUUAAAGAUUUGUCCAUAUUCGACGUACAUUCUCUUAUUUUUCUCUCAUUGAAGUAAAUACAAAACUAAGCACAUAGUGGGAAAGUGCGUCACGAUUAGGGGUGGGUUUAGUCUAGGUUGGUUCAUUUUUGGGCUCAAUUUGAACACCGAACUGUAAGCUUCGGUUUGGCUAUUUUGGAAACCGAAACCAAACCAUAAUUGAUGAAAACCGACCACUUCGAUUACCUUCUGGUCUUCCAACCAGAAGAAAACUCAAAACUUUAACCAUACCAAGUGCAACAGAAUUACACCAGGCUGGAUUCAAGUUUAUGAUGGUUAAAGAUAAAAACUUAUUUGACAUACAAUUUGAGAAUGGAAUCCUCAAAAUUCCACACCUGCGAAUACGGGGUUUAACAGAAAUUUUCUUCCGCAAUCUUAUUGCCUAUGAGCAGUGUGAGCUUCAUGAUCAUUACAUCAACGACUAUGUCUUCAUCAUGGACCGCCUGGUCGACAGUGCCAGGGAUGUGGAAUUGCUUGUGAAGAGUGGAAUUCUUGAAUCUAUGCUACCGGACAGCGAGGCAGCAGGGGAAUUUAUUAAUUCUCUUGACUUGGGGCCUAUUUUAGGCAAGCUUGAAACAAGACUAUUUCAGUUCACCAUGGGCUGGCCUGUCUAUUAUUGUAGCCGCUAUACUAGUUGUGCUCACAUUUAUUCAAACAGUGUGCUCCGUAAUGGCGCUGUAGGUUCUUCAUUUCCUCAAUUUCAUGUUUAGUGGUUGCAGAUUUGUUGCUCAUGUACGUGUUUAUCUAAAGUUAAAUAAGAGUGAUUGACUGGAUUGACUGUUAGUCUGUUAGUUUGUUUUUCUGGGGUUUUUCCCCCCUGUUCGUCAAAAAAAAAAAUAAAAGAGUGAUGGCUUGUGCCUAUGAAAAUUACUUAGGAGUAUGCUCCACAGAGCCAAAAUAAAUAAACUAGGGAAGUGGAGGUUCUUCUGUUUGUAUAUAAAUGAGCAAUUCAAACUCUCAGUGCCAAGGGAGUUACCCUUGAUACAUUUGUUAAAAAUUAUAUAUUUGGUCUUACAUCAAACAAAUAAUUUGAAGGGCUUUUUUGACAACUGCUGACAGCGUUUGGCAGAAAAGUUUAGAAGCGCUUCUACGCUUCUAGAUCAUAAAAGUGCUUUACCAAAAAGCACUUAGAUUUCUUAUGAAAAUUUCAACAUUUUUAUAAUAAAAGCGCUUGCUAGAAGCACUUAUAAGCAGAAGUGCUUCAUAGAGAAGCAGUCCCAAACGAGCUUGAUUUUCAAAUGUGCUGCUUAAGAAGAAAUUUAAUACGUUUUGAAAACAAAAAAAAAUACGAAAUUUAAUACGUUUGUUUUACAAAUUGUAUUAAUUGUUAUCAAUAAUACUUGUGCACACCCACAACAUACUUCUUUCUUUCUUUAUUUUCCUUCAGUACAGUUCUGCCUUUCUUUAAUUAUUUUUAACGAAUGCAAAGAGUUUGUCACAAAAUCAAGGAUUGAAAAAAAAAGAGAGUAAAUUAUGUGCUAGAGAAACUUUCCUGCAGAAAUUGAAGAACAACUCUAGUUUCUCUCUUUCGCCUUGUACUCCCGCACUGAGGUUAGUAUUGUUAUAAUGUGCAGAUUAUACGGUCACUCUUGUAUAAUGGCGAGAAGGCUCUAAUUAUAUUUUUGAACCUCUUUGACAGGACCCGCCCCGAAUUUCCCGAAACCCAAGACGAAUUCUGUGGAAAUUCCCUACAUCACCCCGAUGUUGGGCCCACUUCUAAAACUAUAUCAUUUUUCCUAAAAAGGAAUAAGGGCACGAGACUUUCUACCGAAAUUUCGGCAGAGUCUCUCCUGUAAAUUGAACAUUUCCCAAAAUUUCAACCUGCAUAAAACACAUUUUAUAUUACCCAACUGGCAGCAUGCACAAAAUAAUAACAUGCAAUUCACAUAAACGGCCUCUGGCCCUCCGGUAAUUCAGAGCAAUGCAAACUAGCAACUCUAAACCUAAUAAAACAACAUAAGUAACAUUUAGCCAGCGGCUGCACCCAGGCACUACCCUAGGCUACCUACGUACCCUUACUAAGGGAUCAAGCCACACGUAGUUCUUUCAUACAAAAUUUCCAAAUCCAUCAACAUGCAAUCAAUUACAGAAUCCCAAACAAAAUCUUUCUCAAACAUCAUUAGUUCCCAACUCAGUAUAAUAAUCCUUAAUUCAUCUCUGUAAUAAUCACAAUAUCUCCCCAUACGCCGGAACUACCAACACCACGUAUGGAGCCUGCCUGUACGCCAGAUAACCAACGACACGUGGGACCUCAUCAUCAUAUCACAUAAUCUCCCCAUACGCCGAAACUACCAACACCACGUAUGGGGUCUGUCAACACGCCGGAUAACCUACGACGUGUGACCUCAACAUCAAAUCACAAUAUCUCCCCAUACACCGGAACUACCUACGCCACGUAUGGGGUCUGUCCACAUGCCGGAUAACCUACGACACGUGGGACCUCAUCAUCAUAUCACAUAAUAUAUUAACGAUCAAGAAAUAUCACUACGGUCAUUUAAUCCUCCUGGGAAGGUAAAACUAUCUCAGGAGACUCACGGUCAACCAAGGGUCAAACUACCUCAUACUUGGACAAACGAGCCCACGGAGCCCACAACCUCCGUUUUACUAUCCAAGAGUUCCUAUAGGUUCUACAAGGUUUAGGAUACACGGCUUGCAAGUUUGGUCAAGAUCAGACGGUCGGAUCGCUCACGAUAGGACGGUUACUGCAAACCUAGCCCUAGGGUUGGCAUUUUCGGAGUAUCCGAAACUCCGUUUUACGAUCUGUCGAAUCAUAGACGAUCCUAAGGAUUUGCAGACUAACUAUAAUAAAUUCAAGACCAUCCAACGGUCUAAACCUAUCGAACCCGGAUAACGCGCAAUAGGCAAUAUCCAAAUUGAAAUCCGAGCACACCUACGCACUCGUGAGGACUAGGAGAUUACAUCGGGACAUAGUGCCCUUUUUCUACAGUGCCCAUGAGCCGCCGCACGCACCAGCAACGCGUGGGUGCCCAAAGCGAUUAUGCAUCGCCAAAAAAUCUCAAAACCACGGCUCAAGACUCCUACCCUAGGUAUAACACCCUAUUUGGAACCACUUUUGUUCUUGGACCUACCCCAAAAACUGAUCAGAAGUGGCCGGAAUGGCUGAAAUGUAAUUCAAAAAUCAAGCUACCAACGCUCAAAAUCGAUGCAAUCCUACCCAACCAUCAACUAGAUUAUGAAGAAUGGAUAAAUUUCCAUACCUUGAUCGCCAACAAUGGCGGCCGGAGGAGAGAGAUCUGAUCCGGCGAAGUUCGAGUGAAAACGGCCAAAAAUCAUCUUUUUCAGGCGGCUGGAGGGCGACCGAUGUCAGGGAAGGGCAGGGUCGUGACGCUAAGGCUGAGCCUGUCCUUUUGGCACCGGUCCCUUCCGCAGCCGUGUCCGGUGGCUGGAGUUUCGAAGAGAGAGAGAGAGAGAGAGAGAGAGAGAGAGAGAGAAAUCUGAUUUUUAUCAAACCUUUUUGCCAAAAUUACGGUUAUGCCACUGAGGGUAUUUUGAUAGUAUCUCUCUCGUUACAACUUCGAUUCGAGCCCACCACGUGUGUACGGACUCAUCUAACUGUGUUGUACGCAACGGUAUAGUCGAAAUUCCCAAAUUAUUUCCUUGUCAAAAAGUCAACUUUAAACAUUAUAAAAUAUUUUAGGGAAAAAAUGGUAUUUUCUCUCAAUAAAUUAGUAACUAAUUUAUUUAGGACUGGGUCAUUAUACUCUUUUUCGCUUCAAUGGAUGGGAAAAAAUUUUAUGUAAUAUCCCACAUCGACCAACGAAGAGGGGGCGAUGUGUCUUAUAUGUACAUGCCCGCCUCCAUCUAGCAUAAGGCCUUUUGGAAGCUCACUGGCUUCAGAGUCAUGGGAACUCCGAAGUUAAGCGAGUUGGGGGCUAGAGCAAUCCCAGGAUGAGUAACCCACUGGGAAGUUGCUCGUGAGCUUCGAGAAACAAAACCGUGAGGGCAGAGAGAGGGGCCCAAAGCGGACAAUAAGGCCUCGUGCUAGAUGGAGGCGGGCAUGUACAUAUAAGGCACAUCACUCUCUCUCCGUUGGUCGAUGUGGAAUGUUAGAAUGGAAUUGUUACCUUUGGUGUGGAGGUGUUCUAUCAUUUGAGCAAGAAAUUCCCACAUAUUCUUCAACUAUUUUUCAAGCAUGCAUAUUCCUCCCUAUCAAUCUUUGGUUUCUUCCUUUACUGUGCAUAGUAAGGAUCCAGUCAGGGACGGACCGUCGCUAUGACUAUCCUGGGCUAUAGCCCAGGCAAAUUAUUUUUUUUUCUAGUCUAAAAUAGCAAUCCCACCGCUUGCUGUAGUACUUGUUCAGUUCGUCACAAACAUGAGCAUAAUAGAAGUUAUCAACAUCUAUAUAGGAACCCCAAUGAAAAGGCUGUUAACUAAUAAUGAAGUUAACCCGUCAAUUUUUCCGCAUAUCAGAUAUCUCUCAGAAUAUGCGAUUCCAUAUUCAAUAAGCCACUCCACAUGCCCUGAGGUUUUCAUCAAACCACCCAUUAAGGAAACAUACUGACUCAUGUAAUUAUCAUUACUCAUCGGGUAAUGCAAUUGUUCAAAGGCAAGGACAUUUCUCAUUAUUUAUGUAGCGAACCCCAAUGGAAAUGGUGGGAUCUUCAGAACCCCAUCGGUGCUACUGAAUUGUAUGUCAAAUAUGUUUUCACCUUGUCACGCCUCAAACUUGACUCCAGCGUGCUGUAAUUCUGUCAAGCUGGGUAUGGAUGAUGGGAGUUUGAUGCAGGAGCAUAGGGGUGGAUCAAGAUAGAUAUUUACUAUUUAAUUAGUUAUUUCAUGAUAUAUUGUUAUUUUCUUAUUUAGGUAGUUUUAUGAUAUCUUUUAUUAUUUAUGUGUGAUUUUAUAAUUAAUUAGUAUACUUUUGGACCAAGUAGCCUUGGUGCUCAAGUCUUGUAAAGCCUAUAAAUAAGGCUAAUGUAAUAGUUGUAGAAUAGAUGUCGAUGAUUAAUAAAAUCGUUUAUUUGUGGCAUGGAUUUGCUACGAUAUAUGUGAGUUUGCACUAGCCCUAGAUUUCAGUGCUCGUGUAUGUGGUUGGUGACCUGUGUCCGGAUCCCGAUCCCCAUCAAUUGGUAUCAGAGCUAUGGCUCAAGAUCUGCUAUAUCGGGGAGGUUUUUGGAUGGAGGGUCGUUUUAACAACUACAACGACAUGGAGGAAAUUAGGAGGAUGCUACGGCAACUUAUGGAACACAUUGCUCGCAUUGAAGCUCGAACCCAGAUAGGUAAGAGUUCUGACGGGGAGGGAUGUGUGAACCCUUAUCUGAACCGAGUAGCUCGCAUCGACACUCUAAGCCGUGAGAGUCUCGACGGGGAGUACGAGGGAGAUAGCCCUUUUCAUUAUUGUGCUCCGCUGUGUGAGUCAAGUGAAGAGGGGCACGGUUAUUCUCAUUGUGUCUUUGAAGGUAUAAAUGAAUUUAGUAAUUUUGGUGCAUCUUGUUAUUCAUCAAAGUUAUUAAAUUUGGAUUUACCUCCAUUAUUUGAUCCUUGCAAUUGUGAAAAUUGCAAUAAAAAUUGUUUGGGUGUUCAAAGCAAUUUUGAUAAGCAAUUUAUUGACCAGAACAGUGAAGAGAUGAGAAUUGAGAAAACUUUCGAAGAUAUUAUUGAUUUUAUGGGCAUUAAUAUUUUCACUUGGAAGGUUGCCAAAAAUCUGGUUGAUUUUGUCAAUCGGUUGAAGAUUCUAGAGAGAAACAUUUGCAUUGCUAGAGGGAGUAAGAAGUCAAGAAUAACGAAAUAUUCCAAAUAUCUUUUUAUUUGGAAAGGAAGGUUUCAAUUGGAUGCUAAAAGAUCCAAAAUUAAUAUGCAGCAAUUGAAGAUUCUACUCGGAUUUUCCUUAAUCAAAGGCUUGAAUUCGAGGACGAAUUCUUUCCAACUAUGGGAGUCUGAUGCAGGAGCAUAGGGGUGGAUCAAGAUAGAUAUUUACUAUUUAAUUUGUUAUUUCAUGAUAUAUUGUUAUUUUCUUAUUUAGGUAGUUUUAUGAUAUCUUUUAUUAUUUAUGUGUGAUUUUAUAAUUAAUUAGUUUACUUUUGGACCAAGUAGCCUUGGUGCUCAAGUCUUGUAAAGCCUAUAAAUAAGGCUAAUGUAAUAGUUGUAGAAUAGAUGUCGAUGAUUAAUAAAAUCGUUUAUUUGUGGCAUGGAUUUGCUACAAUAUAUGUGAGUUUGCACUAACCCUUGAUUUCGGUGCUCGUGUAUGUGGUUGGUGACCUGUGUCCGGAUCCCGAUCCCCAUCAGAGUUCCCCUCCAGCUUUUGAUUCCAACGGUUGAUAGAGUUUAAAUAUUUUCCUGAAAAGAUCAAUAAUAUGUGCCACUGAUCUAAAAGUCUCCAAAUUGUCUUCCAAUUUGUCAACAGGCAAUAGAUGUUCGAAGAAACUGAAAGAAAUACAAAUUAUUGAAAGCCCCUCAGUAAUGCUGUUAUUGUCAGCAUUAGCAGGGAGUGUAAUUUUCUGUGGGUCGAAAAGAUCCUCGAGAAUGAAGAAUGGCAACUGAUUUUCAAGCAACCACGUAUCUGUCCAUGCAUCUUGCAACAUACCUGGUUUGUCAAAUAUGCGGUCAUUUUCGUCCCAAAAUUUGAAGUAGUCCUUCAAUAAGGGCUCAAUAACGAAGGCGGCGCCCACUAGAAUGAUUGUUACAAAUUCAUCACUGCUAAACUUGAUGGGUUCUCCAUAACAACGUCUCAAUCUUGCUUCGUGGUCCUUUAUUUUCUUAAUAUAAUCCUCCAAACUCACAUUGGUCCGACCUAUAAAAUCUUGCAGGUAUCUCUGUUUGUUCUCUUCCAAUACGACAUUCAAGCCUUCCUUUCCAUGGUGAAGUGGACCUAUAGAGACCGACUGCCUGAGGUGUGCAGAGCUUUUCAUUCACACAUACGUAGAUAAAAUGUCUGGGGGCUCAGAGAGUGAUGAAUGUGCAACAGCUAAUGGGAGGGUUUAUAUUCCUGAAGUAAGAAAUGAGGAAACACCAGCAGUUGGGAUGAAGUUUGACUCGCUUGACCUCGUUUACAAUUUCUAUAAUAGAUAUGCAUUCUUGGCUGGCUUUGGUAUUCGACUUCAUUCUAGCUUUUGGGGGAAAAAUAAGAAAGAGAUUUUGAGGAAAGAAUUUGUAUGUUGCAAACAAGGUGCAUACAAGAAGGAUGAAACUCGGGAGAGAAAAAGACAACGGGGAAUAAGUAGAUGCAAUUGCAAAGCAAAGAUUGUGGUUGUGAAGACAAAUGGGAGCAAGAAGUAUACCAUUUCUCUUUUUGCAGAGGGACACAAUCAUAAGAUGACACCCUCAGAAAGAAUGCAUUUAUUGAGAUCACACCGUCAUAUUUCAGAUUCUACAAAAGUACUCACAAAACAGUUGGGUUCAGUUAAUAUUCCCAUUCAUCAGAAGGUAAGUAUAUUCGAGGUGCAAUCCGGAGGAAUGGAUAAAAUCGGUUUUAUCAAAAAAGAUAUCUACAAUCUUGAAUGUAGUGUGAAUGGGAAGCUGAGGAACCACGAUGUUGAACUAGUGACCGAGUAUUUUAUGGCUGAACAGAAAAAAAAUGAGGCUUUUUAUUUCAAGAUUGAGGGAGAUGGGCAUGACAGGUUUAGUCGAUGUUUUUGGGCAGAUGCAACUUCUAGACGGGCGUAUGGGUUUUAUGGAGAUGUUGUUGUAUUCGAUACCACAUUCAACACGAAUCGAUACGACUUGACAUUUGCACCAAUGUUGGGAGUUAAUAACCAUGGUCAGACAAUUGUCUUAGCAUGCGCAUUUUUGAGCAAGGAAACGACUGAGUCGUUUGUUUGGAUGUUUGAGGAGUUUAAGAAAGCCAUGCCAGGUGGGGAACCUAAAACGAUCAUUACAGAUCAAGAUGCGGCAAUGGCCAUAGCGAUUUCAAUAGCCUUCCCGAGUACAUUUCAUCGACUUUGCAUAUGGCACAUCACAUCAAAGUUCUCUGUUAAGUUACCACGUGACGCUUAUAAGGAGUAUUGGCCUGAAUUUCAGAAAGCCAUAUGGGAUACUGACAAUAAGGAUGAGUUUGAUGCAAAAUGGAAUAUUGUGGUUAUAAAGGCUGGUUUGACUGACCAUCCAUGGCUAAGUUCAAUGUUUGAUUUAAGGGAAUCUUGGGUUCCAGCCUACGCACGACAAUUUUUUGCCGCUGGAAUGUCAAGCAGCCAAAGAGCGGAAGGUUCUCAUGGUUUUUUCAAGCAAUACAUAUCAAGGAGAAAUUCGUUGAUGGAUUUCAUAAUACGAUUUGAGAGGGCAUUUUCUCAUCAACGUGAAAAAGAGUUAGUUGCUGAUCACGUAGAUGCAUUUGAAGUGGCUCAAUGUCUUCUACCGAUGCCAAUGAACAAACAAAUGGCUACCUUGUACACAAGGACAAUGUUUCAAAAGUUUGAGCAAGAACUAAUACAAAGUACAGCAUGUUUCCUAGAGCUCAAAACAGAGGAUGCAUGUAAAGUUGUGUUCAACGUGAGCGAAAGGAAAAAUUGGGAAACAAGAGUGGCAGAAGUCGUAUAUGUCAAAGAUUCUGACCACGCAUCGUGUAGCUGCAAAAGAUUUGAAUUUGUUGGAAUUAUUUGCAAGCACAUCCUAGCAUUGUUCAGAAGGGACCAGAUUGAAUAUAUGCCCGAUAAAUAUAUUUUGAAGAGGUGGAAGAAAACUGCGAAAUGUGGAUUGGUGUCAGAUGCAAAUGGCAACGAAAUUAAAGACUGUGCAGAUCCUGGCCUUCUAAUAAAGCGGAGUACAAUGUCUCGACUUGCUUCAAAUGUGGUUGAGGAUGCAUUAAUGAGUGAAGAAGGAUGUGAGCUACUGUCAGAGACUCUAAAAAGUUUGCAGGUGAAGUUGAAGUUGCUGAAGGAUGGACCAAGUAAUAACGAAGUUGGAGGGUCCAGCUCUCAAACACAAUAUAUGAAAGACCCUAAGAGAGUGAGGUGCAAAGGAAGGUCGAAAGGAAUAACGGGAGCAAAGGAAAAGGCAAUGAAGCGAGGGAUUAGACACUGUCGGGAGUGUGGACACAUUGGUCAUGAUAGAAGACAAUGCCCAGCCUUGAACACACCGUAAGAUGCUACCACUAUUUGUAAUAAUAUCUAAAAUAUGAAAAGGUAAAAUUUUUAUGUGCUUGUGUUUGAUGUUUAUGCAGGACAUCACCGUCGAACAAUGACAAAUCAACUCCAAUACAUCGUAGUGACCCAUUAUUCGACGAUUUUGACAAGAUGCACAGACCAACUGAAUGAUUGAUAUUUGUAUUAGACGAAAUGUGGUUGUUAUGAAGAUUAAUGAUCAAGUGAAGUUUUAUAGAUUCAGUUUUUGAAUGUUAUUGUGUUUUUGUUCAUGUCCACCGAUGAGCUCUUACUAUGUCCACUGGUAAUUGAAAUGAAAAUUUUCUUGGUUUCAUUCUUCCAAGACAUUUGGAGACAUGUUAAUUUUACGUCUUCUCCCUAUUUAUAAAUUUUCAUAGACAUUUGAUCAAGUUUGAAAUUUGUAGUUAUGUGAAGAAGCAAUGACUCUUACCAUGUAAAAUGGGCAGUUUAGGGUGAAAUUUGUUUUAACAGAGAUUCAUUUUUCAAUUCCUCAGGGUAAUGCAGCAAUUACAGCAGCCAGCUGUUGUUUCCAUUACCAGUAAUCAUUUCCAGCAGCAGCCACUUUUUCCGACUGGUUAUUAGGGGCACGAUUUUGUACACUUUUGUAAGUGAAGGAUACUCGAAGCACUUUGUUGGAACAGAGCAAAUAGAAACCAGCGGGUAAAAAAAAAACAUAACAUUGCAGCUAAUUACAUUUCGAUACAUAGGUGAAAAAUAUUAAAGGGUACACUAACUUACAUAAAUACUCAUAAUUCCACACACAAAAGAACAUUUGAUUGCAAAACAUAUUAUGUGCUUCCUCAUAGCAAUACCACGAUCUCCCCAACCAACUGAACAACGGUAGCCACAAUCACUGGGUCGUACUCGUCAGCUUCUUCUUAGCAGGUCUCACAUGCUUAUGGCCACUCAUAUCCCUAGUGAUAUACACGAAAUAAAUCUUCAGCAAUAUUUGGAAUUUUAUUAUAUAUAAAUAAACCAUAAACCAUUCAGUAAACAAUGUAUAGCACAUGUUAUGUAACUUAUGACUCACGUGUCAGUUUUUUUUUUAACACAUUAGUACUCCAGCUCUUUAAUGUAAAUGGACAUGAUAAGGAGCAUUUACUGAUUCCCGGCUUUCUAUGAUAUUGACUGCUUCUUGAAUAAUAUUUCCAUAUUUGCAAAAUAUAAUGUUAGACAUUAUAACACAUGAUGACUUGCAAUACAUAGUCCCAAUAAUUAUAUAUCAAGCAAAUGAAACUGAUAUUUGUGUUAUUUUAAGUUAGAUAAUGACAUUAAGGGAGUAUAUGUGCAAUACCACGGUCACCCUCAACCAACUGAACAGCGGUAGCCGCAAUCACUUAGUCGUAUCGGUCGGCUUCUUCCGAGCAGCUUUGACGUGCUUAUGCUCAUUCAUGUCACCCCCAUCGUCUAGUAUCUCUCUCACAGCAUCAGGGGACACAUAGUUCCAAUCAUAACUUGUAUGAGUAGUUGCCGCAAAUGCUCGGAAUUUGUCGAAUCCUUCGUUGAAUGCCAACUCCAGUUCAGUAUGGUGCUCUUCGCAUCGCAUAUGGUUCAUCAAACAACCUUUGAUUUCAUCAUUCAUUACUGUAUCCAACUCCUCAGCUUUCAGCUUCCUGCUAUGACUCAGCUUCAAGUACUUGUUCUUUUGGGAUAACGCUUUGUUCACCCUAAUGUUAAGAUCAGCCAAAAUUGCCUCGUCUUCAACACAUUUCUCGUGCCAUGAAUUGAUCAGUCUGGAAUUAUAAUCCAGCUUGCCACUGACUGCAUGUAUUGCCUGUAAUGGAUCAUCGGAGUCCCCCUCACUCCCAAAUGAUGUUGAAAAAGGAAGGGGUCGGCGAGUACAAUGUGGAAAUAGAACCUGCCACUCCAAUUUGUCAUCUUCGAUUGUGUUGUUGGCGCCUGAAGAGGUUGACAUGCUUGAAUAAUCCUCUUUGUUUUGGGAGGAUGAGGAUUGCAUAUGCAAUUUCGUUUGAGAAAGGGAACAUAGGUUUAUAGACCAACAUACCAAAGCUUGUGUGUAGUCAACAUAUGUACUUUUUGGCGGGAAUUUUUUAAAAAUAGGUGUUAGGUUUUGCUUUUCAAGCAUGUCAACCUCACACUCUCCUGACACCACUGCUAGUGGUUGAAACAAAGUCAAUGGAAGUGACAUCUACUUAGUUAACUCAACCAAACUAGUUAGGAUUAAACUUAGAUUGUAUCAGACCAAAAAAUAAUUUCUACUUUGUCAACCAAAUAUUUUUUGGCGGGAACCCUUUUCUUGGUAUUACUAUCACCCCUUUCAUAUAAAAUCUCCUUCCACACAAAACUCACUCCUCCACCGAAUCUGUCUCCAUCUACCGAUACUCUCUCAAGCAAACAAACUCAUUCCCCCCAAAGAAUGAGCAUAAGCACAACCAAGUUUGAUGUGAGCAUAAUAAACACCCCUCCAAACAAAGACCGGCUUCGACACGCAAGUGAGUCACCGGACAAGCAAUGUCACAUUGCUAGACAGAAUGACCAUUUUGUUGGAAGUUUUGAGUCUGAAAGAGUUGUUGCUUUUUGGAAGGAGAGGCAUCUUCAACUUGGUGAUGAAAUCCAAAGGGCAAGGGCACGUUUGGAAUUUGUGGAAGGCCAAAUUGAAGAUGACAAAAGGCAGGCCAAUCUGGAUAGGGCGAAGUUGUAGCGCAUGAAGCGUAGACACAAACGACUUCGGAGUGUAGCUGUUCAAAAAUACAAGAACUCAUCUAAUGUAGUGGAGUCAAAGAAGCGUGUGAUGCAAGCUGGAUUCGACUACUUCCGAUCCUAUGCAAAACUCGUCGUACCCGGGUUUGAUUGGUCAUCUAUUACCGUUUCCGACGUCACCAAAUAUACUCAGCAAGGGAAGUAACCAUUUUGGUUCUCGUGUUUUAGCAGAGGCAAAUAAGUGGAAUUGGAAUUUUGGUUACACUCUGCUUCAAAGCUAUUUUGAUGCUAACUACUAUGGAAGAUUUAAACCUUAAUAUUUUGAUGUCUUUAAUUACGAAAACAGAAGAUGCAAAGAGCUCAUCUACUUCAGCCAUAUGUUGCUGCCAUGUCCAUUUGUUUUUGAUCACUUAUCAGAUUUGGACAUGGUUGCAUCAUAUGCAAUGUUGCCUUUAUUUAUUAUAUGUUAGGACAAGGUUUAUGGAAAAGCUUUUGUGAGUGCGUUUGUGACAAGGUUAUGGAAUUAUUAUGUACACUUUAUAUAUUGUUUUUUGUACUGGUUCAUUUCCUACUAUUUCUUGCUUUCUUUAUAUUUUAUGUUUGUGGAAUCCCUCUCAAAGUUAACAUAUACUGUGAAAAAAAUAUUAUGCAACUGAUUAUAUAAUCACUCAUAUAGACUAGGACAAAUAUUCACUAAGGGUUUUAAACUUGCUUCACUUGUGUGAUGUUAUUGACAAAAAGUAUGGCAUUAUUUAUGUGAUUUGACAUGAUUGAAAAUAUAUUACUGAUUCCCAAUGCGGCGUCAUAUGGACAACGUAUUGAAUACCUGUGACGUGUUAAUAACUCAAGGUGCAGUUGCAUGUGGACAACUUCUUGAAUACCUCUGACGUGUUGAAAACUCUAGGUGCAGUUGCAUGUGGACAACUUAUUGAAUACGAACUGACGUCUUCAAAGCUCUAGGCGUAGUUGCAAUGAUGGCUUCAAAGCAUGUGCAAUUAUUUUUUAUGUACAUUAUUAUAACAAAACAUAUUAUUGUAUAUAGUGAAACUAAAUAUUGUAUUAUUAGAAAUUAUAUUUCGAAUAUUAUCCGAAAUAUACGUGUUAACGUGAAUUUGGGUUAAGAGGAAAGUGAGUUAUGUACAAAUAAUUUUCAUUUUCUCAUUUUCCGGGCAUUUUUUGGAUUUUCGUAGAAUUUAUUACCUAUGUCCACAGAUUGUUGCACUAAAAAAGCCAAAAUAAUAGCAAGAGGACACCUGGAGCGAUCUCAGCCCGUCACUGAUGACUACUUGCACAAGUGUACGUCAGUCAACAUGGCCACACCCUCCCAUUUUACCCUAAAUUAUUAUUUUAUUACUUUUCCUUACAAAAAUCAGAACUAAUUACACACAAAAUAAAAAAAUUAUCCGAAAAUUGCUACGAACUCAUUGACACUCCAUCUCCGUUGCUGAAUUCUCCGAUUCAUUGUUACGUAUUUGUAAAAUUAAUUCCCAACAUUAACGGGAGAUGCUUGUUGAAGUAGGUUAUUCAAGUUGAAGUUAACAAACAUCAAUACUUAGGGUUAAGAGGAAAGUGAGUUAUGUAACACAAUUUGGAUUAUUUCAUUGCGAGACGAAUGAUUUAUAGGUUCUCCUAGUUUUAUGACGUCACAAGUAGGCCGGAGUAAUUUUUGGGGCAUUUUUACGAUUUUCCUACUAUUUUUUACCUAGUUUCAAAGAUUUUUGAACAAAAGAAUCCAAAAUGUAAAAGAAGAUGACACCUGGCGCGAUCUCAGCCCGUCACUUUUCACUACUUGCACAAGUGUACGUCAGUCAACAUGGCCACAUCCUCUCAUUUUACCCUAAAUUAUUAUUUUAUUACGUUUUGUCUUGGAAAAUUCAUAACUAAAUACACAAAAAUUCAAAAUUAUUUCUGAAAAUUGCUACGAACUCAUUGACACUCCAUCUCCGUUGCUGAAUUCUCCGAUUCAUUGUUACGCAUUUUUAAAAUUAAUUCCCAACAUUAACGGGAGAUGCUUGUUGAAGUAGGUUAUUCAAGUUGAAGUUAACAAACAUCAAUACUUAGGGUUAAGAGGAAAGUGAGUUAUGUAACACAAUUUGGAUUAUUUCAUUGUGAGACGAAUGAUUUAUAGGUUCUCCUAGUUUUAUGACGUCACAAGUAGGCCGGAGUAAUUUUUGGGCCAUUUUUACGAUUUUCCUACUAUUUAUUACCUAGUUUCAAAGAUUUUUGAACAAAAGAAUCCAAAAUUAACAAGAAUAUGACACCUGGCGCGAUCUCAGCCAGUCACUUUUGACUACUUGCACAAGUGUACGUUACCGAACAUGGCCACAUCCUCCCAUUUUACCCUAAAUUAUUAUUUUAUUACCUUUUUUCUUGGAAAAUUCAUAACUAAAUACACAAAAAUUAGAAAAACGAUCCGAAAAUUUCUACGAACUUAUUGCGAUUUCAUCUUCCUACUGCAUUCCCUGUUUAAUGGUUAUGCUACAUUAGUAUUUUAUUAUUAUUUAUCCACAAUUAUUAUAAUUAUUAUGAUAUUACUUUUUAGGCUGUCCAUUUGUUAAUUAUACCACAUCCAACUUGUUGAAAACAAUUUUAUUUUCCGUGCGAAUAGGCCAUUUGUAGUGCUUAUCGGUUUCUCUGUUCUUCAAUUUGUUAAUUUUUUUAUUUUUUAGGUUGAAGGGAUGUUUUGAAACAUAAUAUGGAAAUAUACAAGUCAUCCAUUGUACUCCUUCCACACAAAAAAAUAGUCUACGUCAUUCACUGUUCAACACCCUAGGUUAAGACACGUGUAACCAAAUCCGUUCGGAUAUGCUAAGUGGGAAAAUGUCAUUCCCAAGCACUGGUGAAAAGACACUUAUUUACUCCAUGCAUGACUUUUGGUUUACCAAAUAUGAAGAUUGGGGUCGGUGAGCAAAAUAUCUGUGUCAGUAAAAUGUCAUUCCUAGCCAUCUAUGAUGUAAGUAAUAAUUCCGCUAUAUAAUAAAUAUUAUACAUUUAUAUAUAAAACGGUUUAUGACAAAAUACCAACAUUUGAACAACAUUUAAACUGAGAUAGGUAUAACGUAGCCAGCCAACCUAGAAGUGAAGAGAAGCAAGUCCACAAUGCAUCAAAACUGUAAAUUCGUACUAAAACUAAUGCAAAAAUACGUGAUUCCCUCGCACAACUUACUCACGCAGGAUUUUGCACCAAAAAAUACUCUCACGGUGCCAUUUGCAUCGGUUGCAGCAAGUCCAAAACGCAGGAUUUAUCUUGUCUUCACUAGGCCACCCUGGAAUAACAAAAUACCAUUCAUUGUUGUUACAAGCGCUGCACCGAUUGAACUUAAUCUUCCCAUAGUCAAACAUAUCUACGAUAUGUCUUGCAACAAAUGCUCCGCGACAUCUUCCUGUUAAAGCAUCCCUGGUUCCUUUCAUAUCAAUGUUGUUACGUUGAUUCAAAGAACACAAGAAUUGUAAUGCAUCCUCUUUUGACUGACCAAUUCCGGACAUACCAAGUAGUCCAACUACAUAUGCCGCUUCCAUAUGGCCUGCCGUGGCUGCAAUGCGCAUCCCAUACAACGCUUCCACCUUACCGUCUGUGAAAAAACCUUCGAAUGCUUCUCUAAAUAUGGACUCAGGGUUAUCGCAAGCCCUGCAUUGUUGCAAGAAAUGCUGGACUGCAGGUUUGGCACGGUAGCAGAUAGGAUGGUGUGGGUACUUUGCCAUUGAAAUGGUGUUCCACACUUGUGGACUGUUUGCCAAAAUGUUGAACAAUCGGCACACACAUGCCAUACGGAAGAGAUCUUCCGAUGAUUCGGUUGCCACGUAUAACAUCACUUGAAACCAAGCGGACUCCGGGAUAAAGGCUUCGGGCAUAUCGAAAUGGAGAUGCUUCCUUCUCUUUCCUCCGACUGUAGUGAAGUGUUUCGAAUUCAUUGAAAAGUUUUUGGAAUGGAACGAUUUGAGGAGUGGCAGAGGGGAUAAAUGAUAAUAUUUGGGGUACACGUUCUACUUCCGAGCCUCUGUUUAUAGUGUUUUGAAAAGGUGUUUCCAGUUGGGGUUUUUCCAAGUUGACCCUUUUGAAAGAAACUGAAUCCAAGUGAAUUAAAACUUAAGACAAAAGAAGGGAAAACGUCAUAACGGUGCAUACAGAGUCAGACAGUUAAAAAGUUAAUUAAAUGGCUAUUUGCAUAGCCAUUUUUGGGUUUAUCCCACUAUCAAAUUCAUUGAUACAAAUGUGAUGGAUUACUGACUAGUGACAGAAGGUCCCAUCAUAUACUUUUUCAUUUUCGCACACCCAACUAUCCCUAGUAAUGUUAUUAAAAUGGAACCAAUAAUGACGGAUUCUUAUCCAACUAGUUGCCUUAAUGAAAUAUAAAUAAAUUAAUAAAAUUGAAGCAGUGUCCCGUCAUUAGUCAGAAAAUAUAUUUGGUAGUGAAGUAGUUUCUAUUGCUUUUCGGGCUAAAAGAUGUCACAAUGCUGACGGUACAGGUGUCGACAUCGUGACCAACCCACCAAAUGAUCCCAAAAAAAAGUAAUAUAACUCGAUUUGGGCAGAGAUGAGAGAGAGCUGAGUGACAAGUUUAGGGUUAUGAGUGAAGGGGUAUGAAUGACAACUAUGAGUGAGAAGGUAUGAGUCCGAAGAGGUUUCAGUGAGAAGAUUUGAGUGAGAAGAGGUACAACUGAGAAGAUUCAACAUGUCUUCGUCUUCAUCUCCUGCUCAAACAAAGAGGUGUCAGUAUUGUGGAGCUACAAUGGUGCUUCGGGUUUCAAAAUCUGAAAAAAAAUCGAGGGAAGCCAUUCUGGAAGUGUCUAACCUCCUAUGUAAGUUUUAAUUUAAAGAAUAUGUAUGUGGGUGAAAAAAAACCUAUGUCUAACUCUGACAGAAUUAUAUUCCAUAUAUGAUGCCUGCAAUUAGGGAGCCACCAGUUGCAAUGGAUUCGAAUGGGUUGAUGUAACCUCCGCUGAAGCAGAACAUCAAGAUGACACGUAUGAUGUUAGAGUGCUGAACAUGCUGAAGUCCAUUAAGGACUUGGUAUUAGUUUUAUUAGUUGUAUUAAUUGUCAUUUUAUUUGUUCUUUUAAUGAUCAUUUAACUGCACGGUUUAAAAGAUUGUGAAAGUUCUCUCGCACAAGACAUAUUGCACGCACCACCAAUGAGACCCUAAACCCAUUUUGUAAUAUUUGGUAACUGCAUGUAUUUCGCAUGUUAUUGAAUGUUUAUUGAAGGUUUAUUGAUAGUUUGCUGCAUGUAUAUGGAAUAUCAUUGCCCCAAAAUUGGAUGUUUAUUGGGGCCACAAGUAUCACUCAAGUAAGAAUGAAGGGGAGAAACGGACCUUAUUCUUUCUUAUAGUAGGAAGAACAACUGUUAAGUUUAAUAUCCUAUUCAAUACGACUUCCCUAUGGUUGGUGUACUUGGGGACUGAAGUAUAUUGCAUCAUUAUUGUGGGCAAGGGCAUGUCUAUUGUGUGUGUUAAGGGAGUAUUGUGUGGGCAAGGGCAUGUCUACUGUGUGUAUAUUGCAUGUCUACUGUGUGUAUAUUGCAUAUCUAUUCUCUGUAUAUGGCAGGCCAAGUUUGUGUAUAUUGUUUGUCUGUUGUGUGUGUAUUGCUUGUCGGUGCGUUUGUGAAUUGUGGUUCAUUUUGUGUAUAUUGUCUUUGUUUCUACUUUUAUGCUACUGAGCUGCGGAAAACCUCGCAUGUUUAGACACCUAUUAUGAUGCAACACAUUGCGAUUAAUGGUGGCUUGCAUCAACAAUGACAUAUCACUUUGCAAUGAUGUAAUACACUUAAAAAGCCGUCUUCAAAUCCCAAUUCACAUAUGCAGUCUUAAAAUUCUAAUUCAAUGCAGUUUGGUUAACAAACAUGUAAAUGUCAUGAAGGAGUUAGCGGUAGAAUUCGAUAAGGACCCGUACGUCUCUAUUGUGUAUUUACAUUAGUUUGAGAAUGGACAUUCCCAAAACCUUCUCAUGUACCAUUUGUCAUCUUCAACCAAUAUCAUGGGAAGUAAGCAUCUCCCCUUGUUAUCUCCGCAGCCAAUUUCAACCGAAAAAAAGGCAUGUUGUGCGAGGUGCAAGUAGCUAACGGAAGCUUAGCGCUGAAAAGCUCAAUGUACUUUAACACAAACAUGCCACAAUCGCCUCUGAAGCAAAACAAGAACUCGAUCAAUUCAACUAAUGACAUUCUAAUGUAAUUGACAAUUGAAAGUAAUAAAAUUAAAUUGCAAGUUGUGCUUACUCAUUAGACUGUUGUGGAACAUCCACACGCUCUAUUGGCCACGGACACCACCAAUCUCGGCUGCAAUUGUUUGCAUAAACACCUUCUUCAUAAAAGUCGAUGGUGUUGAGAAGAUUUGGAAGCGUAAUUGAUAGCGGGCCGAGUUCUUCCUUUACGAUGUCAUCUGGAAUUAGUGAAACCUUUGAAUCGUACACUUUGAUUCACACAAUACCAGAUCAAACANNNNNNNNNNNNNNNNNNNNNNNNNNNNNNNNNNNNNNNNNNNNNNNNNNNNNNNNNNNNNNNNNNNNNNNNNNNNNNNNNNNNNNNNNNNNNNNNNNNNNNNNNNNNNNNNNNNNNNNNNNNNNNNNNNNNNNNNNNNNNNNNNNNNNNNNNNNNNNNNNNNNNNNNNNNNNNNNNNNNNNNNNNNNNNNNNNNNNNNNNNNNNNNNNNNNNNNNNNNNNNNNNNNNNNNNNNNNNNNNNNNNNNNNNNNNNNNNNNNNNNNNNNNNNNNNNNNNNNNNNNNNNNNNNNNNNNNNNNNNNNNNNNNNNNNNNNNNNNNNNNNNNNNNNNNNNNNNNNNNNNNNNNNNNNNNNNNNNNNNNNNNNNNNNNNNNNNNNNNNNNNNNNNNNNNNNNNNNNNNNNNNNNNNNNNNNNNNNNNNNNNNNNNNNNNNNNNNNNNNNNNNNNNNNNNNNNNNNNNNNNNNNNNNNNNNNNNNNNNNNNNNNNNNNNNNNNNNNNNNNNNNNNNNNNNNNNNNNNNNNNNNNNNNNNNNNNNNNNNNNNNNNNNNNNNNNNNNNNNNNNNNNNNNNNNNNNNNNNNNNNNNNNNNNNNNNNNNNNNNNNNNNNNNNNNNNNNNNNNNNNNNNNNNNNNNNNNNNNNNNNNNNNNNNNNNNNNNNNNNNNNNNNNNNNNNNNNNNNNNNNNNNNNNNNNNNNNNNNNNNNNNNNNNNNNNNNNNNNNNNNNNNNNNNNNNNNNNNNNNNNNNNNNNNNNNNNNNNNNNNNNNNNNNNNNNNNNNNNNNNNNNNNNNNNNNNNNNNNNNNNNNNNNNNNNNNNNNNNNNNNNNNNNNNNNNNNNNNNNNNNNNNNNNNNNNNNNNNNNNNNNNNNNNNNNNNNNNNNNNNNNNNNNNNNNNNNNNNNNNNNNNNNNNNNNNNNNNNNNNNNNNNNNNNNNNNNNNNNNNNNNNNNNNNNNNNNNNNNNNNNNNNNNNNNNNNNNNNNNNNNNNNNNNNNNNNNNNNNNNNNNNNNNNNNNNNNNNNNNNNNNNNNNNNNNNNNNNNNNNNNNNNNNNNNNNNNNNNNNNNNNNNNNNNNNNNNNNNNNNNNNNNNNNNNNNNNNNNNNNNNNNNNNNNNNNNNNNNNNNNNNNNNNNNNNNNNNNNNNNNNNNNNNNNNNNNNNNNNNNNNNNNNNNNNNNNNNNNNNNNNNNNNNNNNNNNNNNNUUUUCCUCUCCCUCAUCUCUAUUAUUUGGCCCUUCACCCCCUUCAAUCCCUUCAUCUUCUUUUUCCUCUCCCUCAUUUCUGUUACUUGGCCCUUCAUCCCAUUGAAUGUCAUCCAUUUCCCCAUAUCCCUUAAAUAGAUGUGAGACGACACAACGAUUCGUCCUCUGUUUCAGUAAAGCUAGGUCCCUCCUUACUUCCUGCUCAAACUGAGGACCUAAACAUUGGUCCAAUAGUUUUUCCAUCCGUAUGACCUUUAAGUGAAGGACGUCUUUUUCCCGCUUUUCUUGAAACAACUCGGACCUCAACAAGCUUACCACCUUGUUCAACUCAUCAAGAUCACCACAUGAAGAAGGAAUUGACUCUGCCGAGACAACAGCAGGGCGAUCCUGUGGCCAACUCCAAUAUGGCUGUCUCAUUUCCUCUUCACUUAGACAUAGCGCCCGCAACUGAACUGACUGUUUCAGAAUACAGACAAGAGUCAUAUUAAAUCAUUCUACUUCAUAAUUUCAUUCAAUCUUAUCAAUAGUUCUAAGGGCUGCAAACCAAACCUCUUUGCUCUGGAAAAAAUAAUUGUUCAACUUUCUCAUCUCUGGAACAGACGUAGUAGUUCUCCAUCGCAAAAUACGCGGGACAGCGGUCGGAUCAACAACCUUGCAGUAAUUCAGGUCCGCCAUUCUAGGAAUUAAUUCAUAUACCCAAAUCUACACAAUUCACAGGACAAAAGUCAUUAUUUAUGUUUUAAAGAAAAACAAAACAUAACUGACAUGAACAUUAUUACCAUGUACCUGGAAAGCAUACGUGAAACCUUUAAAACUCCAGCCACUCCUUUGCGCUUCACUAUGCUUAUCCUUCUUGCCCUUCUCAUUUCUCCGGCUUGUUCCCGUUACCUUACUUUUCCCCUUCCCUCUUCCCUCUUCAUUUUCCAAGCUUUUCACAUACUUUGUUGGUGCAGAAAAUAGACUGUCUUGGGUUUUGUCAAAGGACACCGAACCCCACGGAUACCUGUUGAACGCAUCCAAGUCCUCUACAAGGGUCAGGUAAUUUAGAUUGAUGUUCAAAUGUUUGUCCCUUCCCAAAACCACUAACUCAGCAAAGUAAACAAGAGGUAGCUUGAAGAUGUCAUCUUCCUCUGUGCACCUCACAAAUGCUUCUUCUAAAGCAUUGCAUGUAAUUCCUUCGUCUAUAAAAUAUCUUUUCUGAAGUCUGAUUUCAUUACUCUCUCCACUGGAAACUUCAGGCACUUCCCCAAAACGAAGCCCUGUGAUCAAACAGAAAUCCUGACGAGUGAACUGAGCAACGUCACACCCUAAUAAGAAACUCAGUCCAUCCAAGUCUUUCACACCCUGCCCCGCUACUCUACGCAACACAACCCCAUGCACAAUCUGUCCGCUAAACUGAAUCUUAUCUAUAUUCAGAAGAUGGCCAAAGCAUGAUGUCUUGAAUUGUUCUAAUUGUUCCGCACUCAACUUCGCUCGAAUUGCAGCUAGAGAUGAAUUUGCAUGUGAGCAGUUGUUCACCCGUGAUGAAUAUACCUCUGCCUCUGGCCAUACCAGCUCCACGUUGGAUCCCAUUUCCUCAAAUACAAUGUGAAAUAACGUGAACAUAUAUACUACCACGUAUUUGCACAAUCACAACUAGUCAACCAGGCACAUUACAACUUUUACAAAGUACAUGAGCAUAUGGAUUACUCAUCACAGGCUUUAACAUCAUCAAAGCAAUAUGACAAUUUUUGUGCAAAUACCUGUUAAUGCAAUGAUUAUGUGAAUUACAAACAAUUUCACGUGUUUUAUUUAUGGAUCCAUACUCGUGUGAGUGCAAUGUAGGCAAGUUCUGCACUUCACACACAUGACAAUUAUUGUCAUCUCAUACACAACCCAAAAUAAAUAAAUAAGAAAUAUAGUGGAAGGAAGCAAAGCAAAGCAUGUACUCUGCUAUCUGCUUGCUAAGCAAUUGCCACAUCCUUCUUUCUUUCUACCUUUUUCUUCAGUCACCCACAAUCGUCAUAGAUCAACCUUCAUUUCAAAUGCUUUGCACUUUUAUUCAUGAGUUUAUUAUUAUCUGUUCUCAUUUCUCAUAGGCAAAUUUAGUAACAAAUGAAAUAAUAUUUAUUUCACAAAAUAUAUAAAUUCUAGUGCCAGAGAGGUACUCUUCACUCUGCACUGCUUCAAAUGUGGAAGGUUUUGAGAUGUUAUUGACAUGUGAUUGACUUUAUUUUCAUUCGUUUUUUAACAUAUACCCAAGCAAAAAUUAACAUGCAAUUGAAGCACAAAUAAGAGAUGCCAAAUCCAACAACAUUGAUGGUACAAAUUGGGGAAAACCAUUACUCUAACCCUAAACUCAAAUUCCUUACAUUACUCAUCAAAUGCUUUGCAGUUCUAUUCAUGAGUUUAUUAUUAUCUGUUCAAAUGUUUCUCAGGCAAAUUUAGUAACAAAGGAAAUCAUAUUUACUUCAUAAAAUAUAUAUAUAUAUAUAUAUAUUCUAGCGCCUCUUCUUAAUCUGCACUAUGCACUGCUUCAAAUGUGGAAGGUUUUGAGGGCCUCCUCCAAUUCAACACCAUUAUCUUAUUCAUAUCAUUAUUGACAUGUUAUUCACUUGUUAUUGACUUCAUUUUCAUUCUUUUUUUAACAUAUACCUAAGCAAAAAUUAACAUGCAACUGAAGCACAACGAAGAGAUGCCAAAUCCAACAAAAUUUAUGGUACAAAUUGGGGAAAACCAUUACUCUAACCCUAAACUCAAAUUCCAUAAAUUACUCACCAAAUGCUGGUUAUUGCAAGGUGUCUGUGUGGGGUCUUUCUGUUUCUUUGCUCCACAAAUGGAACCUACCACUUCCAACGAAUACAGCUUUUCCCCUUCCCCUUCCACUGCUUCGCCUCUUCACUGAUUUGGAAUCCACACCUUUGCCCCUUCUACUCCAAAUAAAUACUUUCUCGGGGUCUGGAGAACGGAGUGGCGAAUCGUUGCCUUCAACUGUCGUUAGCCGUUGCCUUCAUUGGGUAUCUCAGACCUCUGUGUUUUAGAGAGAUGAGUUCUUUCUGUUCAAACUUCGAACUUGCCUCUUCUUCUUCUUUUUCGGACGUGUUUCCCUCUUCUUCUUCUUUUUGGACGUGCUGGAUAUUCAAUUCGGGUUUGGGUUCCUUACCUACCCAAUUGUGAAACUUUAACUCAAUUCUCCCCAGCCCUUGGAUUAAUCUGAUGGCUAUAAAGUGAACCCCUUAUAACUUACCCCUUAUAACUUUCCACUCAUUAUAGUCUUGGCCAGGUAUGGCGGCCAUGCUAGUAAGUGUUGGGUCUUUGACCCAACUUAAGCUAAAUGGGUCAUAAGAUGACCGAUCAUCUUAUCUCAUAAGGAUAUAUAAGUCAUGUUAUGAUUUAGGAUUUUAUAGGGUUUCCUUUGUAAGAGGUAAGAGAGAAACAAGCUCUCUCUCUCUCUACACAAGGAGGUCAGCCAUAGCAAGGGAAAGGCUCCUAGCACUCUCCUCUCUCUUAUUAUAUCAUCCUUCCAAGGACAGCUUUGGUAUGGUAAAGUUGGAGGUUGCACACUUUGUGCACUUUGGUAAGAACUCAUCCAAGGGAGCCAAGAUUAAAUUGGUUAGCUGUUGGAUUAAAUUGGUUAGCACGAUUCAACGGUUAAUAGAUAAAACUUCACAUAAAAGUCAUAUAUAAGGCCCUCACUAUAGAAUGACUCGUUAGUUUAGUCUCUUGUUACAUAUCAAAUGUUAGAGAUAUUUUUUAAUAAGGAUCUGCCAUACCACAUAGUUGGAUAAGACAUUAUACACGGCUUUUGUAAGAGCAUCUCCAGCGCUCCAAACUAGCCCAAGCAGCAGGGGGGCCUAAGUCUAGGAAGCAGCUCCAGCUCGCAAGAUUCAACCCAGGCAAGGUGUGGAACCCACGAGGAGAUCUAGCCCGUCACCUUGCCUUUGGGUUUCAGUCAAGCUGAUGUCAACGAAAGAAUUUCAAAUUUUUUUUACCGUUACAAUGUACGCGCCAACGAUAAAUUUUCUUUGGAUUUCUUGCAUUGAUCCACAGCUACCAAAAACCAACAGCUACAAGCCACGUGGCUUCUCCAGGAGCCUCCGAUCCAAAAAUCAUGUCAAAUCUAACGGCAGUCCAUUUUUUGGCUAAAAAUAUCAAAAAAUUAUGGAAACAUGUUCUAUAAAUUCCUACAAAUAUUAUUCACUUCCCACACCAAAUCUUCAUACAAAUUCAUAUCCUUUCAAUAUUUUUCACUUUCCAUACAAGAUUUUCUACUACUAAGUUUCGUUUGUGUAAAAAUACAAAUGACCUCUUCUAUCGAAGCCGGAGGCGCGUGUACAACCGUGGAAGAUAUUUUGUUGCGUGAGUGUUGGGUCAAAGUUGGUCAUUCCCUGAUCACGGGCAAUGAGAUGAAGUCCUCUCGUAGGAGUUUCUGACAUCGCAACGAAAGUAAGAUGUGAUAUGAAAAUGUAAGGAAUUUGAUGAGAGGAAUGGGAUUUGAGGAGUUUGAUGUAGGAAUUGAUGUAGGAAUUGAAUUUGGGAGGUAUGUAUAUAAGAUUUGAGGGUAUGUGUUUAGGGAUUUUGAUAAGAGGAUUUGAGGAAUUUAGAUUUGAAGGAUUUGGAUUUGGGGAAUUUAAAUAUGAGGAAUUUGAUUAGGGUUUGGGUUUGAAUAUGUGAAAUUUGAUAUGAGAGUUUAGAGACAACAGAUGAUCGAUUGCUCUGAUACCAUGCUAAAAUAUGAUAUGGUUUGAAUACUUUAGGUUGAGUUUUAUUCUUUUCCAUAAAAAGGUAUAUAUAGGAGUUUACAUGAGUGCUUUACAAAGAAAUAGAUACAAUAAUCAAUUAGGAUAAUAUCUCCUAAUUAUACAAUAAUUUGUCAACUAUAUAGAAUAGGAAAGUAAAUUCCUUAAUUAAUCAAGAAAAUAAAUCUCAUUGAUUAAUUAGGAGACUAACGUCAACAUUUAUAAGCCAUAAAAGAGCAGAAAAAGAGGUACUUAGGAGAUUUUAUACGUCGGACUAAGGUAAGCUUAAAGGACUAUAUCAAAAAAAUAAGGGACCAAGAAGCAAGACAGAGAAGUUGUUAUGCAAACCCAUUAAGUUUAGCAGUGAUGAAUUUGUAAAAAUCAUUCUAGUGGAUUCUGCCUUCACUAUUGAGUUCUUAUUGAGGUUCUAUCUGAAAGGAUCUGGACAUGAAGGAGACCGCUUAUUAAACAAACCGUGGAUGUUUACAGCCUGACAUGUGGUUGCUUGAAAAUCAGCUCCCAUUCUUUAUUCUUGAGGAUCUUUAUCACACAUACAUAAUAACCGACUCUUUUAGGAAUUAUUACAGUACUCAUGAUCAUGAGAGGCUUUCAAUAAUUAAUAUUUCUAAGAAUUUCUUCACAGCCGGAAUAUUGAAUUUGGAGGGGAAGGGAGACAAAUGGAACAGAAUAUCAUCUUCUUCUAGUGUUGGAAAUUUUAUAUUAUUUAAUAAUAUUUAAUUUCUAUUGUGAAUGAAAAAUAAGUUUCUUUAAGAAACGUGUGUCUUAGGCCAGUUUUUCUAACUGGUCGGCUUCCUUAGAUUUGUGCCUAUUGCUUUUCAAAGUAUAAUGAUGCAAUGGUUGUAUCUCGUUCAGGCAAAUGGAAGGUAUAUAGCAAUUUAUAGAACAAUACAGUAAUCCAGAAGAAAUAUUAUGAAAUGAAAAGAAUAAAAAGUAAAAAAAGAGAAAGAAAGGAAUUCCCACCUGCAAUGUAUAUGUAUGAAAGGAAGGACCAAGUUUGUUUUAAAAUGGUAAGAACAAGUUGAUUUUAAAUUGGGUUCAGAUCAACUCAUAGAUUUCUUGCCUUUUCUGUUCUCCUUCCUUGGACAUGAACUGUUUAAUCUUGGACUCUUCCCCAUCAUGUUGGGCCUGUCUUCUUCUUGAGGAUUGUAUAGGCCUAGGAAAUGCUUCGGGGUAGUUUUUGUGUUUUGGGCAUUGGGACCCAACUUCACAAAAAGAAAACAAAUUUGACCAAAACACAAAUUUGAAGGACAUUGAAAUUGUACCCGUAGGAUAGAUUAAAACACUAUAAGGGAGGUAAAUAGUACGUUUACAGAGUUUAAGUGUAAUAAAGGAAUAAAAACAUGCCCAGAGAAUUGAUAAGUGAUAUCAAUUCUUGAAUAUACGUGAAAAUUAUUUUAUGUGGUUAAACCCCACCUCUGGGGAAAAUCCACGGAACUUCUUAGUCCAACUUCUAUCACUUAUCCUAGACACAUUCUAGAUAAUGUUUGCCAACCUCUUCGUAACUCAACUUCUGUCACGAGAUGAUCUUUCAACACUUUAUGUCGAACGCAAUACUGGUCACGAUUUCUUCAAGCUCGCCGGAGUUCUUCCAAUUCUCCUUAUAUUGAAUCUGAUACUAGUCACGAUCGAUUCAAGCUCAUCGGAGAAAAAUCGCCACAACAAUCUUGGUGCCCUCAACCGUAUGAGUCACUGAACAUGCAAAUGAAUACAAUAUGAAUGAUAAAAGUGUUUGAUAAAUCACCAAGUUAUGGAACACUUGAUGAUUUAUCUCAAAUAAAAAUUCAGCUUUCCAAAGUUUAUGAAUUGAAAAUAUGACCGUUAAAGCUCUCUAAACAAAGAAGACGAAGGUCUUAUUUUAUAGACUUUUACUUUACAAGAAAGAAAACACGUUGAAAACCAAAUCUCCAAUUUCCAAGGCUUGACAGAAAAUCACAAAAUUAUCUUUCCUAUUCUAGAGAUUGGUCACAUGAAGUCCAACCAAUAGGAAAUGAGAUAUUUAAGAAAGGAAGAUUUUGAUCAAUAUCAAUAUCAAAUGAAUUCUUAUACGCCUAGUCAAUUGUUAUGGGUAUCUUGACUCCUUGAUAUUGUGAUAUGAUUGAAACAUGAUUUCCACGUUAGAAAAUUAAGGGGAUGUUAAAACAUGAAGGUAAUAGGAGAAUCAAAUUGAUUUGGGCCAAAAUUGCCUAAAAAGAAAACACUCCUUAAUAAACUUCAAUUUACUUUUAAAAAUAGUAAAACGUGAUUGAAUCGUUCUUUAAAACAAUUCCCUAAUAUACAUGCAUGAUAGUGAUAUCACUUACCUUUGAAUCAGAUGGCUUUCACGGGUCAAGCCACAAGUUUUUGUCUUGGGGAUUGCUGAGCUUCAUCAAUCCUGCCAAUGUCAAUUUUGCCCCUAAGCUCUCUCAAAGCACGUUUACAACCUAUGCUAACAUAUAUUAGAGUUUAUGUUAGUAUCAAGAAAAUGCCAACACUAAUUUCGUAACACGUAGAAAUUGUUAGAGAUUGAAGUUUUUAUCAUUUUUUCUUCCAGACUCUCCACCACUCACUAAUAUAGUUUACUCAUGUGAUGAGUUUACAAAACCUAUUUCUCUACUCUCACAAAGACUAUACUUAGGGGGGUGUAUUCAAUUAGGAUUCUAAAGCGUUUAAAAAGAUUUUGUUUAAGUGCCAGCUUUCAUAGAACUUGAUGGAACUUUAUAAUUCGUAUAGAACUUGAUAGACUUUCAGAAGACUUCUGUAUAAUUUUUUAAUAAAACUUUCUUAAGCUUUCAUAGAACUUGAUAGGCUUUCAUUCCAAACUUAUGUAGAUGGUAUAUUUCAUUUUAUCCCCAUCCUUGACAUUUAAAGAAAGAAACUUGAAUUUUUUCAAUCAAAUUUGUUUUUGUUACCAAAGCAGCAAAAACAAAAAGUACUUGUUUGCGAUGGAAGAACAUAUGCACAGUUCAAAAUGAAAAGAAUAAGAAGCAAAGUACCUAUUUGACCAAUGAAUGCUGUGUCAACUAGAGAAGCAAUUGGAUCGGCUGUCAAAGCCAAUGCUGCAGGCAAUGCAUCGAUGGUCCAAAUUGCAAUAAAAAAAUAUUUUGAAUAAUGGCUCUUGCAGACAAAGACCACAUAAAUUCUGAACUGGUCUAGCUUGAAUAAUAAGGUUAGAUUAGCCAAUUGAUGAGAUUAAAAGCAAAGCAAGUUGAUGAAUUUAUCAUCAACUAUUUAAUAACCACAGUCCUGAUCUCUUGGACCCCUGUAGUCCAAGAGAUUUAUGGUCACCCACCGUUGGAUGUAAAUUCAACGGUUGACUUGAAUCGGGUAAUAAUCAUUUAUGUCAUAUUGCAUUUAUAUAUAUCAUUUUGAACCAUUGGAUUAAUAUCCAACGGUGGGUGACCACAAUCUCUUGGACUCCUGUGGUCCAAGAGAUCGGGACUGUUAAUAACCAAUAGAGUAUUUAAACAUAAACAACAAUGUUUGAUCAACAAAACAAAUAGUCCAAAUAUCAUCCAAAAAACAAUAACAAAAAAUCAAUCAUUCCAAACAAACUAGUCAUUCUCAAAAACUCUCAAAAAACCCACUCAUUCCAAAUUGUAGGAUAUCCAAUUUGAGCACUCCUCAGGAGACAUUUUCAAAAAUGCAUCCUUUUUUGUGUUACUAUGCAACAAAGAGAGUGCUUUAUAACGAGCAUGUUCAUCCAAAUUUGGGGUCUCCUUAAUGGCAUCCCAUAUAUAACUCCGCUGCUCUCUCUCUUUUUCCCUUUUUGCCAAUAGGUUAUGGACCUCCCGGAAGUCGAUGACAAUUGAAUCAAUGCUAAGGCUAAUUCUUCCCAUAGCUUGCUGGGUGGUCACAUUUGAGAUAGCAUUCCCUUCCAAAUAUGUUCUAGUUCGUUUCCUCUAGUAACAAGCAUAAAUCCUAGUAACAAGCAUAAACCCUAACCCCAACCUAUAACCUAAUAACAAGAAGAAAACCCAACGAGGUAUUGAUCAAAGAAAAAUUAGGGAGCAUACCUUCACAGAUGGAGGAAGGAAGCUGUUCGUCUUCGCAGAGAGAAAAUCUAGGGAAAGAGAAAAACGUCUUAUGAAAUACUUGGGGGGGAGGUUGGAUUUAUUUUGGUCUUUUUUAUUUAUAACUCUCCCCUUAAAACCUACGUAAAUUUAUCACUUAAUGAAAUCCUUCCAAAUAUAUGACCUUUCGAAUACACCUAGAUUUGAUUCAACUUUUUUAUAAUCAUAAUUGAAUACACCCAUAUUUGAAUGGACUUUUUAAAAGUUCAUAUAGGUCCGAAAUGAAUAUACUCAAACUUGUAAAACCUCUUUUAAAGUUUGUAUAAAUCCAAAUUGAAUACACCUGGAUUUUUAAAAUCUUUUUAAACACUUUAUAAUCCUAAUUGAAUACACCCCCCUUAUUCUCAAAAGACUAUAUUACUUUACCUCUAUCUCUGUGAAAUGUAAAAAGUUGAAACUUUAAUGUCAAACCUCAACAAAAGAUGAACUUUCAUCAGUUACGUUGAAUUUGGAUUUGUUGAACUUAAGUGGUUUUAUUUUCUUUGUCAGUGUUUGAUGACUUAAUUUGGUAUUUAUUUCUUCUUUUUUUUCCUUGGAAAUGUGUUCCACCAACGUGAGGAAGAAAAAUAUGCACAAAUUAAUAUAUUUAAUAGAAGCCCAAGAUUUCGGAUGCAUAUAAUUUCUACAAAAAUCUACAAAGUUUUUUACUUUACAAACUUCUUAUGUCUACCAAUUUCUACUAAAAUUAAUUUCUCUGUGGUGCUCAAAUUCAUCAUAUGUGUGUCGUUAAUUUUAUUGAAAAUUGGAAGUUCCCAUCAUUUUUGUUUUUUGGGAAUUUUCUGAACCAAGGAAAAUCAAGUAAAAUUAAUAAAGCCUAAAUUGGAAAGGGAAAAUAUCUAGAGGAUGCAUUGUAGGAUUGCUCAUGCCAAUAAUUGUACCCUCUAAAUAUAUAGAGACAUAUUUUUUUUGUUUUCAUGACAUGUGGUCCUAAAAUUAUUGUGUAAAUCUUCAAUCCUGAACGAUGCACCUAAAACUCAUCCACCCAUUCUCAGGCCAAUUAUUGCACCUAGUGGGCUCUCGACCCCCUCUCAAAUUUAACCACAUAUUUUAUGGACCAUCCAGCUGUGAGGUACAUUCCCCCCACAUGCCACAAUUGUAUAUUCACAAUUACGUCUGAUACAUCACAUCAUGCCACUUGCCUCAAAUGAAUUUAAGUGAGUGAGGCAGUUGGAAGUAAUUAAGCUCUAUAUUGGUGGGUGGAGUGUUACUUCUCGGUUCCCCUCAUCAUUCGUCUAUAAAAUGGUGAAGGCAGUUGCUAUUGUUACCAUAAGAGCCAGCUCCGACUUCCUUUAAUUUCUUGCUUCAUAUCCACUAGCUACAUCUGUUACCAAGUUAAUUUCAGUUCUAAUGGGGUUUCAUCUCCCACUCAUCUUUGCUCUUCUCAGUGUAAGCUCUGCAAUUUGAUUAACUUUUCCAUUCUCUCUCAUUGUACUCUAUAUAAACGAAAGUUUUGUGUUCCUAUUGUUCUCUCCGAUUUUAUUUAGUACGUACUUAAGUGUCGUCCACUAAUUAAUUAUACUUUGUGAUUUGAUUUUAAUUUGAGUUUGAAUUAAUGUUGCAGCUAGCAGCAGUGGCACUGGCAAACCAUGCUGCUCAACCAGCACCUCAACUUUACUGGAGCUCCGUCCUGCCAAACACACAGAUGCCAAGAUCUAUCAGUGAACUUCUGCAUCCUGGUUUGUGUUGAGCUCUUUAGAAUCUUAGAUAUCUCUUCUACCUGCCAUUUUACUAAAAUAUGUUCCACCACAUAUUUAUCAGUUAACCAUUGUCAUUACAUGAGUGACACAUAUUCACAAAUCGGCUGAUCACUUAUUUUCCAUUAUGACUUGAUAUAUAAUUUGCAGACUCCACAAAUGAAGAAAAGAGCACAAAUGACGUUGGCAAACCUGAAACUUUCCCAUUGGGCAAUCAACAUUACUCCAGUCAAAAACAUUAUGGAGGCAUACCUGAAACUUCCCCAUUGGGCAAUAAACAUUACUCCAGUCAAAAACAUUAUGGAAGAGGCAAACCUGAAACUUUCCCAUUGGGCAAUCAGCAUUACUCCAGUCAAAGACAUUAUGGAAGAGGCAAACCUGAAACUUUCCCAUUGGGCAAUAAACAUUACUCCAGUCAAAAACAUUAUGGAAGAGGCAAACCUGAAACUUUCCCAUUGGGCAAUCAGCAUUACUCCAGUCAAAAAAAGUAUGGAAGAGGUGCUUCUCCAUCCGACAAUCAACAACUCCAUUAUAAAGACUUAGCUAUUUUCUUCUUGGAGAAGGACAUGCGCCCUGGCACAACAAUGAAGUUCCAAUUCCCUAUAAAUUCAAACACGGCUACUUUCUUGCCACGAGAAAGCGCUCAAUCGAUCCCCUUCUCCUCUAACAAACUGCCAGAAAUUUUCAACCAUUUUUCAGUGAAGCCAACAUCUGAGGAAGCCAAAACAAUUAAGCAAACAAUCGAAGAGUGUGAAGCUCCAGACCUUAAGGGAGAGGAAAUAUAUUGCGCCACAUCUUUAGAAUCAAUGGUUGAUUUUAGCACUUCGAAGCUUGGAACAAGAAACGUUGAAGCAAUCUCGACGGAGGUAUUGGAAAAAGGAGCCACCAUGUCCAUCCAAAACUAUACAACAAUGCCGGGACUGAAGAAGUUGGCAGGUGACAAAGUCGUUGUGUGUCAUAAGCAGAACUAUCCCUAUGCUGUGUUUUUCUGCCAUGCAAUAAAACAUACAGCAGCUUAUGCUCUCUCCCUGAAAGGCGAUGAUGGGGAGAAGGUUAAAGCAGUAACCAUCUGCCAUCUAGACACAUCAGAAUGGGACCCAGAGCAUAUGUCCUUCCAAAUCGUCAACGUUAAGCCCGGAACCAUUCCCAUCUGCCAUUUCAUUUCCACUGAUGCUAUUGCCUGGGUUCCGAACCACAAAUCUGCAUGAUCAUCACUUAGCACUAGUACUGUGCGUAUAAUAUGCCUGUAUAAUUAUCUCCCUACUUAUUUCUGCCUCUUCAUCAUGUGGUGUAAGAUAUAUGUUGAGAUGAAGUUUUUGGGAUUUGUGGUCGAAAUUAACCCGAUCAUGUUUUCUCUUGCAACCAUAUAGACUUCAACUUGUACUCAUAAUAAAGCAUGCUAUAUUUAUGAAGAGAUAUUAAUCUUCAGGCAAAUAGAUAUUAUGAAAACAUAUAUAGCAAUUUAUCCAGAAGAAACAUUAUGAAAUGAAAAGAAUAAAAAGUAGAAAAACAGAAGGAAAGGAAUUCGCACGUGCUAUGCUAUGUAUGAAAGGACCAAGAUUGUUUUCCCUUUGGUUAAUGACUAGAAAAGCUCACUUGCAGAGUGCUUUCUCCGACCAUAGAUGGAAGAGAAAUUUUCUCUUAAUAAUAGCACAAUGAUCGGGUAAUUGUAAGAACAAGUUGAUUUAAAAUUCCUUGACCCAAAAAAAAAAAAAAAGUUCUUUUCAAAUUCAGGUCAACCCAUAGAUUUCUUGCCUUCGUCUUCUUCAUCACGUUGGGCUUGUCUUCUUUUUGCGUUUUGGGCCUUGGAAGUUGGGACCCAACCCAACUUCACAAAAAGAAAACAGAUUUGCCAAAAAUCAAAUUUCAAGUCUCUCCUCCGAUCACUAAUACAGAUCAAAUUUUGGAUUUGAUGAACUAAAGUGGUUUUACUUUCUCUGUCAGUGUUUGAUGACUUAAUUUGUUAUUUACUUUUUUUUUUUUACUUGAUCUUUGUAGGGGCUUUUUUUUUUCCGGCAGCUUAAACGGGCUGGGCUGCCGUAAAGGGUAGAUUGAUGAAAUUGUCCCCUUUGUCUGAAUUCGAAAAUCAAGCCCCAAAAGCGCUUCGAAAGGGCAGUAGAGCCUUAGGAAGCGUUCUGGUUACCUUCACUAAUUAAAACAACAGCAACUUACAGAUGAUUUCUUGAGGCUUACAGAUAAAUUUUCUAGCUUGGCAUGACAUGGAAGCAAAAUCAGCAUGAGUUUAGCACCAAAGAGGAAAAUAUGGCUUCCUAGGGAGAAAUGAGAGUGUUUAAGGUGAGGAAGAAGAGGUUUGCAGGCUGAUUUGGCUGAGAAAAGAGAAAGAAAGAACAAUGUUCUUCCGGCAGCUUGACAAAGCUUCUGACAGAUGUGAAAGUCGUCCGCCAGAAGAGGAAAAUGGAGAAGAAGGAUGAAUAGUGCACGAAAUUGGUGGGUUCUUGCAGGUAAGAGAGAAAGCUUGCUCUCUGAAUCUGAGUUGGUUUUGGUUGGGUAGAAGAAGCCCCCUUUUAUAGCUGCGGGAAACCAUCUUUUUCCAAGAAACCCUAAUGGUUUCUAUCCUUUUUGGCCAAGCUUUUCCCUUCCUUUCUCUUCUCCUCCCUUGACUUUUCCUAUCUUGGUGAAAUUUCCUCUGCCUAUUUGCACAAAAUUAGAGAUUUUGAGGAGCUCAAGGCCCCUUUCCCGCAGCUGCCUUAGUGGAGAAUCCCCAUUUUCAGUCAUCUUUCUUCCUUCUUUUCUCCCAUCUUCCAAGGCUAGGUUUGAUGAGAGAAAGAAAUGGAUAUGCACACUGGUUUGAAGGGUGUUUUUCCUUGAAACUUGUUCUCUCCCAUGUGCUGGAGCUUCCCAGCAGCUUACACACAUAGAUAUUUUGGCUUUCAUCGUGGCUUUUGUUUUCAGCUAGGUGCUGGAGAUUUUGCAUAUAUUUUCUUGAGUUGCUUGGGCCUUCUAGGACAAUACGUUGGUUUAUCAAGUGAAUGGGCUAACUUCAUCAAUUGUUGGGCAAUUUUGGUUGAGUUAAUGGACUAUUUUGGUUCAAGUAAUGGACUAUUUUGGUUGAAAUAAUAGGCUAUUUUUCUCUCUUUGUGCUCACCCACAUAUUUGGGCCUAAAAAAUGGGCUUGAGUUUCGGGGCUCCCAAGCAACCCCGGGACUUCCAUUUCUCGGCCCAUCAAUGAGCCUCAUGUCAACUUAUUACCAUCCAUACCACAACCCACUCAAGCAAGCCUCAGGCAUCUUGCGUGGCUUGGGCCCACGUAAGCUCGUAGUGGCAAUGUUGCUUAUUUGCUUGACGUGGCAUGUGUGCAAGUGCAUAUGACGAACUUUCGCGUGCCCAAAUUGAGUUUCUUCUCGGUAGGGUAUCGCAUUGGGCCGAGAAUUUAAUUGGGUAGAACCGUGGAUUUUUUGGGCCUCAACAAUCUUAUAUAUAUUAGUUUUCUUUUUUUCCUUAAUAUUCACCACCUUUCUGUUGCAUAAGUAUUCCAGUCUUAGCGGGUUUCCAUCUACCACUCAUCUUUGCUCUUUUAAGUGCAAGCUUUUUUAUUUUUAUUUUUUUAUGCACAAGAUUAGAGGGGAGGGAGAUUUCUCAAUGUAAGCUUUGCAGUUUCAUAAUUAAUAUUUCCAAUAUCUCACUGUUAGUAAAAUAUGGAACGGGAAAAGUACGAAUAAAAUACACACAUGUUUUAUUUAGCAAAAUUUUGACAAGAUACAACUGAAAAGUUUGGCCACUAUAUAAUAUUUUGAUUUAAUUUUUUUUAUUUUUUUAAUAUAUAUUAUUUUUAUUCAAUAAUAUGUGAAAAAUAGGUGUACAAUAUAUGAAAUUUGUAUGUAUUAUUGAAAAAUUCGUAAAAAAAAAACAUGUUAUUAAAUGUGAAAAAUAUGUACGUAUAUGUAUAAAACAUGUAUUGUACAUUACUUUUUAACAAACUUGUAUUUUACCUAGUCUUUAAACCGUAUAUGGAAAACGGAAGUAUUAUUGAAAAAUACAUAUGUACGUAUAUGUAUAAAACAUGUAUUGUACAUUACUUUUUAACAAACUUGUAUUUUACCUAGUCUUUAAACCGUAUAUGGAAAACGGAAGUAUUAUUAAAAAAUACAUAUGUACGUGUAUAAUAUGAGUAUUAAACAAAAAAAUGUGCUAAGUACUUAUCUUUUAAUUUAAUAAUUCAUUUCAUUUUGUGAUCUCAUACGUAGUAAUGAGAGUUCAAAUUAAUGUUGCAGCUGACAAUGGUGGCUCUGGCAAGCCAUGCUUGAUGCAGGAGUAUAGGGGUGGAUCAAGAUAGAUAUUUACCAUGUAAUUAGUUAUUUCAUGAUAUAUUGUUAUUUUCUUAUUUAGGUAGUUUUAUGAUAUCUUUUAUUAUUUAUGUGGGAUUUUAUAAUUAAUUAGUUUACUUUUGGACCAAGUAGCCUUGGUGCUCAAGUCUUGUAAAGCUUAUAAAUAAGGCUAAUGUAAUAGUUGUAGGAAAAGAGAUGUCGAUGAUUAAUAAAAUCGUUUAUUUGUGGCAUGGAUUUGCUACGAUAUAUGUGAGUUUGCACUAGCCCUAGAUUUCGGUGCUCGUGUAUGUGGUUGGUGACCUGUGUCCGGAUCCCGAUCCCCAUCAAUGCUGUUCUCCCAGUACCUCAACUUUACUGGAACUCUUUCCUGCCAAACACAAAUGCCAAGAGCUAUCAGUCAACUUCUGCAUCCUGGUUUCUAUUAAGGGACUUUUCGUGAGCUUAUCAUCUACCCAAAUUUUACUCAUCCGACGUAAUUUUAAAAGUGAUUUGAUCCUUUGGCAAAGUAAUCUUGAACUACAAAAAAGGAGGGCACUCGAAUAGGCAUGCCAUUUGGUAUUACCCACCUCUAAUUUCUUUUAAAAUUUUAGUAAUUGAUUUUUAAGAUUAGAAAAUGGGAAAGUUCAAAACCGAAAAAGUUGUUUCAGUUUUGGCAAGUAUCGGAAAAGACUAAAAUUUUCCGACUUUAUUAUUACUAGAAACAAAGUCGAAGUAUUCACCAAUCAUGUGGCCUUCCAAGUGCUCAAGGUUAAGCCAGGAACCGUUCCUAUCAGCCAUUUCCUUCCCAAGUAUGAUCAUGUUGUCUGGGUUCCAACCCACAAAUCUACAUCAGUACCUGAACUAAUCAGUUCUACAUGAAUAUUCAUUCAUGGCAACCUUGGGCUAAGUAUUUGAAUUUAUGCUCAUAAAGCUUUAAUGCUUUUGAGGGCCAAUCGUUGUCUACAUAUGGUAUUGUAGCAUCUUUAGAUGGAAGAGGUCAGGGGUUCAAUUCUUGUUUUCCACUUCUUUAUUUGUUGGUUUAUCGAGUGUAGAGUGGAGUUGCACCUAUAUGUUCGUCUCUCACCCCAUCAUUUACCAUUGAUAUAUAUUUAAUAGAAGCCUAAGAUUUCGGAAGCACAUAAUUUCUACUUUACAAACUUCCUGUGUCUACCAAUUUCUACUAAAAUUAAUUUAUCUGCGGUGCUGAGAUUCAUCAUAAUUUUAAUAGAAAUUGGAAGUUUUCAUCAUUUUUGCUUUAAGUCUCUACUCCACUCACUAAUAAAGAUUACUCAUGUGAGUUUACAAAACAUUUUUUUUUUCUACUCUCUCCUGAAGACUACACUUCUUCUCAAAAAAUUAGAUCACUUCACAUCUUGUGUAUGUGAAAACUAAUGUAAAAAGUUGAAACUUUAUCGUAAAACCUCGACAAAAAUGAGCUCUACUACAAAAUGUUAAAUUUGGAUUCGUUGAUUUAAAUGGCAAUUUGACACUUGAUAGAAAUUUUUACAUACAUGUGUUAGUGUUUGAUCACUUCACAUGUCACUUACUAUAUUUAUUCCACUCAAGUUAGGUAAAUAUUAUUAUCAAACAUUUCAAUUAAUUUGUGAUUUUUUUAUUAUUUAAUCAAUUAUGAAUUAAUGGAUUCUUCUUGUUGUUUUGAAGACCAACAAAAAAAAAAAAAAGGGUAGUGAUGGCUUAUAAUUCUGGUAAAACAACAGUGACGUGGACAACAGAUGUUACGCUGUACUAAAGAUUUUUGAAGAUUCUUUAUUUGAGUUUCUUUCAAGAUAAAAACCAUAUUAUCCACAACCACAAGCACAUCCGGCAGACAAUCUUUGGCUAUUCAUCACAAUUGGGAGACAAUGAAGAAGACAGAAAAUGGAGUAAUUCAGAUGUUACCAGCCAUCCACGACAAACUGAAGUCUGCAAAGCAUUCGUAAUCUAAAAAGGAUGGGGAGGCUGCGCAAUACUUAGCCACGUGUAGGCCAGGAGGCUUUCCAAUUUUAAUAUAUAUAUAGAUUGAAAAAAUAAAAUAAAAAUCAAUCUAUUAUCAUAUAUAUUAUAAAAUAAAGAUUAUUGCUCCCAUGGGCGGUGCUAUGCACAGGACAGUGCCUGCCUAGUCCAAAUUUUUUUUAAAUAAAAAUAAAAAUCUACAUAUGUUAUAAGCUCAUCCAAAAAAAAAAAAAAAAAUAAAAGUGUUGUAAAUUAUAAGGUGGAGCCCACAUGUUGGAAGGCUUUGCCUACAAAAGGGUUCACACCCUCCCUUUGUAAUUAGACAUUGAGAAUACUAAGGAAGACAGAAAUGAAUAGAGAGAAAACAUUCCCUUCUCUCCAUCUCAAUUCCCUCUCCAAUUCCUCUAGAUUUAUAACACGUUAUCAGCAGCACGAAUCGCUUUCAAACAAUACCAGCUGAAUUUUAUGAUGAAACCCAGAUCUCUCAUCCAUCUCUGCUGCUCCACUACUUCAAAAUAAAUCCCACAGAAAAAGAAAAAGCCUCAAUGCUCUCUCUCUCUCUCUGUCUCGCUUGGGAGACUUGGACAAUUCCUCAUCCCCGUUACUGACAAUUUCAACAGCUUCAGGGGAAGCUAGUUUAUCUUCCUCUGCUCACGAAACCAUGACUCUUUCAGAGCCAAACAACAACACAAUAGACAACGCAUGGAGACCAGACUGGAGCUCGUCGGCUAAGGCACCGACGAUCCGACCCUACCCGUAUGGACCUUCCGGAUGUGGUUCCUGGGUCUUGUCUCAUGUGCCCUCCUCUCAUUUCUCAACCAAUUCUACAAGCAGCAGAGCUUCAAAUCAAACAGAUCAUGGCAUCGCUUUCACACCUCCCCAUCUUCCUCUUCCUCCUGUUCACCGCUUUCUAUUCUACAGCUUCGCAGUCCUUCAUCGGCGCAUCCAAAGGCGACAUACCGGCGCUCGCCUCAGAUCCGAACGCGGCGGCUCAGUGGGUGAACUCGAAUGUCCUCGCCUUCUACUCGGCCAGCAACAUCGACCUCAUCAACGUCGGCAACGAGGUCCUUUUUCUCCAACGACCAGGGCCUCAUCUCGCAGCUCCUCCCCGCCAUGCGAAAUGUCCAAUCUGCCCUCUCCGCCGCGUCCCUCGGCGGCAAGGUCCGUGUCUCCACGGUCCACUGCCUCGCCGGAUCGGGAUCCUUCCUUCAAGUGUUUCUCUGUCUUCGACUUGAAAAAGAAGGUCAUGGCAGGCCUAUGUAAAAAUUGCGAAAAGGAAGGCAAUCUUCAACCUUUUCUCCUGUCUCUCUCUUGAUCAAUUCAUGGAAGGCACAUUUGGGUCUUCCGGGGGCUCAUCAAAUGAGUCAGCAAUGUCAAAGGUGGAGGUGGUGGAGCAAGACUACGUGGGGAUGUCAUAUGAGGCAACCUCAUACCCAGCUGAGGCAGAGCUUGUGCUGGGCCUGGGCCUUGGCCUGAGCCUUCGUGGUGGUGGUGCAGGGAAGCAGCCAAAGCCAUGUGCAUGGGGUGAGCGUGGUAGAAUCUUGACUGCUAAAGUUAGGUGCUGAGUUACACUGUGUUCUCUGCUACUGACCCUAAGAGGAGUGCUAGAAACUUCCAUGUUCCGCCAUCAUUUCGCUUUCACUGUUACAAGGCACUGGAGUAUGUUUAAUUGAAAAGUGAGAUACACAGCAAGUUGAUCAGCCUAGUGGAAAGCAAAGGAUUAUUGCCAGGGAUAUGAACACCCACCGAAAUAAAGGGAUAAGUACUCUUUUUCCCUUCGACCAGUUUUUUUUUGUCCCACUGGGUUUUUACUGGCAAGGUUUUUCACGAAACAUAUUCCGUAUCAUUUGUGGUCUCUAAGAGGGAGUGUUGUAAAUUAUAAGGUGGAGCCCACAUGUUGGAAGGCUUUGCCUACAAAAGGGUUCACACCCUCCCUUUGUAAUUAGACAUUGAGAAUACUAAGGAAGACAGAAAUGAAUAGAGAGAAAACAUUCCCUUCUCUCCAUCUCAAUUCCCUCUCCAAUUCCUCUAGAUUUAUAACAAAAAGUAAAUUCUACACAUAUGUUGCCCAUCCAGGUGGUCCCAUAUCUUCUCUUUCCUUUUCUUUUGGCUAUUAGACUUCUUGUUUCUCUCUCUCUCUUUGCUACCCCACAUCAGCAAGUUUCUCCCUCUCUUUUUUUGGGAUCAAAUUCUUCUUCUAUUGACAAAAUCUUCUAUUAUAUUGGGUGGGCAACUUGGCAACAACAUCUUCUCCUCUCCUUUUGUCAACAGCAAGUAUUAUUCUCAUUCUCUCAUUUGCUAUAUAUCUUUAAUUAUAGUUUUAAUUUAAAAUUGAGUAUUCUAGGGUUUAAUUAGGGAUGAAUUAUAAUUUUGGGAUUUUGUUGAAAUUAAUUAGGGCUUCGAUUAGGGGUGAAUUAUUCUACUGCUUUGAUUUGGAAUUUUGUUAAAAUUGAGUAUUAUAGGUUUAAUUAUGGAUGAAUUACAAUUUUUGGUUUUGGUAUUGUUGAGAUGUUAUUAUGAGAAUUUGUUUGAUUUUUUGUUGGUAUAUUUGAUUAAAAUUCUUUCUACAUAUUAUUCAUAGGCUAUCUUUUAUUAUGUCGGAUCACAAUCGGAAUCCCAAGAAAACAAAAAAUUUGAAUAGUGUUGUUUUGUAUUGCAUUGCAUUUACUUUUGGUUUUAGUUUUGCUUUUAGUGUAAAUUACUCAAAUGGUCCUCAAAUUUGUACCCAAUUUACAUUUUGGUCCAUAAACUAAAUUAUUCAUUCAAAUGGUCCACCAACUCUUUAUUAAUCGGUGCUUUGGUCCUAUCGUUAUGUUUUCUAUUAAAUUUAGUCAUGUGAGCAGCACAUGCUACAUUUGUAUGGGUAAAUAAGACUUUUGACCAGUGGCGGAUCCACGUUGGGACAAGAGGGGUCGGACGACCCCUUGGAAGGCUGGAAAUUUGGCAAGGGAGUCCAUGAAAGCCCCCUUGGACAGCUGCUGGAAGCCCCCUUGUAUGCACACAAUGUGCUCGACGAAAUGCCCCAACGAAAUGUCCUGCGCAGCUGUGCUGCGCCUUGCGCGUAAUUUUUUUUUAAAACCAGCCUUGCCAAACGACGUCGUUUGGUCAAGGCUCAGUCAAAUUUUUUUUUAAUUAACCUGGCCUCAAAACGACGUCGUUUUGGGCCAGGUUUAAAAAAAAAAAAACAGAACAGUACACACGCACAGCAGCUCUGCACAGAUUCAUUUUCUCCAAACCUUUCAUUCCCAAUUCCACAGCCCCUCUUCCCAUCCUCUCAAACCCUAACCUCCCAACCUCCCAACCUUGGACAACCUCCAUCAACUCUUCACCGGUGGCCCAAUGCCGAUCACCACCACCUUCUACCGCCGUCCGCCGCCCAUUUUUUAAACUACAAGUAAGUAAGCAUGGAAAAUCUGAUAUUAAUAAUUAUAGUGAUAAUAUAUAUUGUUGAUAUUGAUAUUUUUUUUUUAUGUAAUGAAAUUUAUGGAUAUGAAUCAUAUUGAUUGAUUGAGUUUAUGCUUGAAAUUUAUGGAUAUGAAUCAUAUUGAUAUUUUUUUUUAUGUAAUUAAAUUUAUGGAUAUGAAUCAUAGUGAUAAUCAUAUUAAUGUAGAUUGAUUGAGUUUAUGCUUGAUUGAUAAUAUGAAUUGAUUGGGUAUAUUAAAUAUUGAUUGCUAUUUGAUAUGAUAAUUUGGUAUAUUGAAUAUUGAUUGAUAUGGGUUUAGGGAGUAUAUUGAAUAUUGAGAGUGGGUUAUUGAAAUUUUCAUAUUCAUAUGAUAAUUAGGAUAAAAAUUAAUGAUUGAUUGAAUUAAUUGAUUUGUAGAUUUAUGGAACGAUUCUUUAAAAGAAAAUUAUCUACGGAUAGUUCUUCUCUGUCUAAUCCGGGUAGUUCAAAUGCAAGACCAAUUGAAGUAGAUGAGAUCUUAGCUAAUCUUCAAGCAGACCCUGGACUAAGAACUCGAAUGGCGGAUUAUAGUCCUAAUAUUAGGGAUGAGAUCCGAAGAGCAUAUCUACAAAAGGGACCUUGUCAACCUAGAAGUUAUAAAUUCCCACAAACUAAUCAAUCAGGAAUUAAUAGACGCUUCAUUGCUCAUUGGUUUGAUGAUCAUGAUUGGUUGGAAUAUAGUAUUGCUAAAGAUGCUACGUUUUGUCUUCAUUGUUAUCUCUUCAAAUCUAAUUUUGAUCAAGUGGGUGGUGAUGCAUUCACUGGGGUAGGCUUCAAUAAUUGGAAGAAGGCGAAAGAAAGAUUUAACCUUCAUAUUGGACCGGUUGGUAGUGUUCACAACCAAGCUAGAGAAGUUGCUUACAAUUUGAUGCAUCAAACUACACACAUUGAAACAAUUGUGCUCAAGCAAACAAGCCAAGCUCGCACGGCUUAUCGCACUUGCUUGAAUGCAUCACUUAAGUGCACUAGGUAUUUGUUGCGGCAAGGGCUUUCUUUUCGUGGUCAUGAUGAAAGUGCACAAUCAAGUAAUAAAGGGAAUUAUUUAGAGCUCUUGCAAUUUCUUGCGGAUCAUGAUGAAAAAGUUAAGGCCGUUGUAUUGGAAAAUGCUCCGGGAAAUUUAAAGUUAAUAGCUCCUUCAAUUCAAAAAGAUCUUGUCAAUUCUUGUGCCAAAGAAACCAUUGAUCUUAUCUUGAGUGAUGUAAAAGAUAGAUAUUUUUCAAUAAUGGUGGAUGAAGCACGUGAUGUUUCAAUAAAGGAGCAAAUGGCAAUGGUGUUGCGUUAUGUGAAUGACAAAGGACAAAUAAUUGAAAGGUUUGUGGGGGUUCAACAUGUAACCGACACUACUUCAAGUGCACUAAAGGAAACAAUUGAUGAAUUCUUUUCUUCCGCGAAUUUGAGCUUUUCCAAGCUACGAGGACAAGGUUAUGAUGGAGCUAGCAAUAUGAGAGGUGAGUUCAAUGGCCUUAAGAGAAAGAUUUUGAGAGAACAACCUUGUGCAUUUUAUGUUCAUUGCUUUGCUCAUCAACUUCAACUAGCUCUUGUUGCGGUAGCAAAGAAAAACAUUGAUGUCAACUCUUUUUUCACAACGGCUAAUAGUUUGGUUAAUGUGGUUGGAGCAUCUUGUAAGCGUCGCGAUGCACUUAGAGCACAAUACCAAGAAGAGCUUGUGAGAGCUUUUGAAGAUGAUUGUCUUAUAACGGGGCGGGGCUUAAAUCAAGAAAGGACUCUCAAACGUGCCGGCAAUACACGAUGGAACUCACAUUAUGGUACGUUGAUUAGUAUCAUUUCUAUGUUCCCAUCUGUGGUGAAUGUGCUUCAAAUGAUUGUUGAUGAUAAUCUUAAUGAUAGUUCGGGUGAAGCCUAUAAGUUAAGGAGAGAAAUACAAUCUUUUGAGUUUGUGUUUCACUUAUUUGUAAUGAAAGCUAUAUUGGGAAUAACAAACACUUUGUCUCUAGCAUUGCAAAAGAAAGAUCAAGACAUUGUGAGUACAAUGAAUUUAGUGAAAACAUGCAAGGAAAACCUGCAGUUGAUGAGGGAUAAUGAGUUUGAAGAAUUGGUUGGGCAAGCAUCCUCGUUUUGUUACAAAUAUGAUAUUAUAGUUCCUACCAUGGAUGAGGAAUAUGUAAUUCCAGGGAGAUCAUGGCGUAAUGCUCCAAUGAAGACAAAUUAUCAUCGUUAUCGUGUGGAGAUCUUUAUUCAUGUAAUUGAUGGGCAACUUGCGGAAUUAAAUGAUCGCUUCAACGAGGUAAGUACUGAGUUACUUACUUGUUUGGCAUGCUUGAGUCCAAAAAAUAACUUUGUGACUUUUGACAAACGAAAGCUAGUUCGUCUUGCUCAAUUUUAUCCUUAUGAUUUUUCGGAUAGAGACUUAUUGAUGCUUGAAGAUCAACUUGGUGUUUAUGUUCAUCAUAUGCGUUCGAGUAGUGAUUUUUCUCAAUUGGAAGGGAUUAGUAGUCUUGCGGAAAAAAUGGUGGAGAAAGGAAUGCAUGAAAUAUUUCCUUUUGUAUUUGCUUCUUACAUUGGCUUUGGUUUUACCGGUUGCAACUGCAUCAGUGGAGAGGGCAUUUUCCGCUAUGAAUAUUAUUAAAAAUCCACUUCGCAACAGAAUGGGAGAUCAAUGGUUGAAUGAUAGCUUGCUUGUUUACAUUGAGAGAGAUGUUUUUGCUUGUAUUGAUAACGAAAUUAUAAUGCAAUGUUUUCAGAAUAUGAAAACUCGUCGUGGACAAUUGUAACUUGUAUUAUUGGUUUUGUUAUGAAUUAUGAAUGAAAGUACUAUCUUUCUAUCUUUUUAGCAUUAUUUUCUUUGUAGAAAAAUUUCAGAACUUUUACACUAAGCCCCCUUGGCUACAUAAUCCUGGAUCCGCCACUGCUUUUGACCACUUUAUCACCUAUGUAUCACCACUUUAUAACCUAUUUGGGGAACAUAGGUCAGUUAUGGACGGUUUUACCCUUACAUUUGACGGCAACAUUAACAUAAUGUAACAGUGGGAUCAAUGGAGUGAUUAAUAUAAAGUUGAUGGACCAUUUGAAUGAAUAAUUUAAUUGAGAGACCAAAAUGUAAAUCAAGUAUAAGUUUGAGGACCAUUUGAGUAAUUUACCCUUCGCUUUUAUAUUUGUUGAACUUUUAUUUAUGAUAGAUAUGCAUUUAAGGGUAAGACCCAUUAUGUUCCCCUGGCUAGGUGUAUCUUUUUAUGUUUAUUAAUGAAAUUCACUCGAACUGUUGAGUUUAGUAUGUAAGUUUUGCCUAACUGGCUUUUGAAUCCUAGAACCGCCACUGUUGCUCCAUCCUCCAUGCACUUGCAUGUGCUCUUACAAAGUGUGAAGUAGAUUUUGUGUGCUCCAAGUCAUUGACUAGAGCUGAAACAUGGUUAGCUAGAUUUAUAAGGACCCAUCUCUUUAUUUCCUAGACAUAUACCCAUCUCUCUAUAAAUCUAUAUGUAAAACCUAAUUUCAAACUUAAAUGACCAGUAGGAUAUAAAAGGUCAUAGUAUUCCUAUGUUUUUAUAUCGUUGCCACCAGACUUCUUAUUUUAUUUAUAAUUUAUUUCAAGCAUUUCAUUAACUGCCAUAAUUGUAAUUAAUACUCCAUAUUAAUAGCAUAUCAAUCACCCCAUUUCUUUUGGUUGCCAUUCCCUCUAACAUAUCGCCCCUUAAAUUUGAAAACCAAAAAAAAAAAAUGUAAAUUACAUAUCCAAUAAUGUACCUAUGAAAAAUAUAAAUAUAAAUAUAUACAUAUAAAAAUAUAGGUAUAUUAUUUACCAAAUAGAAAAUAUAAAAACCUAGGUCAGUUGCUUUGUAAUUGAAAUUUCUGUACAUUUUCCACAAAUUAAAAAUAGGUACAUAAUAAUUUAUAGAAAAUAUAUGUACAUUAUUUAUCCAUAGGUAAAAAUACCGAUAAAUGCACAUAGGUGAAUUAUUUACCAAUAUAUUAUUUUUUUGCUAAGGAUUUACCUUAGUUUUUAGUAGAUUAAUUUACCUACCUAGAGGCAUAGGUAGCUUAAAAAAAAUGUACCACCUUAGUUGGUUGCAUACUAAUUUACCUACCUAGAGGCAUAGGUUGCUAAGAAAAAAUGUAGGUAAAUUCAUGUACCUAAACACAUAGGGGUCAAAUAGAGAAUAACAUGUUAUUUCCCUUUGAACAAAUUAAUUUCAAACCAUAACAAUUAUUGAAUUUGGAAAUUGGUAUAAAUAAAAGGAAAUAAAUAAACUAUCAAUUUGAAAAUUAAAAUAAGAAAUGAUCAAGUAGUCAUAUUUGAAAAAAAAGGAAAGAAUAUAUUCUUGGUUUUUAUAGGAACAACGAGUAUAUUCAAACCAAACGGCGAUAACUACACCAAGCUUUAAUUACUUUUUUUUAAGGCCAAAAGUCACUUUUGGUCCCUGUAGUUCGGCAUUUCUACCACUUUUGAUGUUGUAGUUUCAAUUCCGUCAAUUUUGCCAUUGUAGUUUCGUAUUUGUAGCAAUUCAAGGACCUGUUAAUAUUAAUGUCAAUUUGUUUAAUGAUGCAAGAGGUAAUUUCGUCAUCCCAAAAUCCUUGAGCAUAAAAGAUUGUCUGAAAUUCUCCCCAUUUCAUAUUAGGGCUCGAAAUUCAACCACUAAUCCUAAUUUUUGAAGAACCCUAGACCCAAAUGACCAAUUUCAAGCCCUAAUAUGAAAUUACGGAAGUUUUAGAUGAGCUUUUAUGCUCAAGGAUUUUGAGUUGAAGAAACUGCCCCUUGCACUGUCAAAUAAAUUGACAGGAAUACUGACUUGUCCUUGAAUUGCUACAAAUACAAAACUACAGUGUCAAAAUUAACAGAAUUUAAACUAUAGGGUCAAAAGUAGUUGAAGUGUCAAACUAUAAGGACCAAAAGUGACUUUUAGCCUUUUUGUUUCAAUAAGGAAAAAACUGACCUAUUAAAUCCUUGGAAUCUAUACAAAAUUGAAACACAAUUAAUCAACAUUGAAUUGCAGCUAAUUUCUUAAACAAGGGUAUUAUAGGAAUUUAAAAAGUAUAACAUUUAAUCCAUUGAAUUUGAUUAGGAAACUUGAUGAAUUGAAUCCUAGUUAUAUAGUUUUUCUUAUAAAAAUCAGGUUUUAUUUAUAGACAAAUAAAACAAUGGGUUGUAGGUAAGAAAAUAUUAAUUUGAAGGGAAAGAGUCAAAUUUACUAAAUUAAUAAAGCAUAAAUUGGAAAGGGAAAAGAUCUAGAGGAUGCAUUGUAGGAUUGCUCAUGCCAAUAAUUGCACCCUCUCGAUAUUGAAAAACCUAUUGUUUAUUAUUAUCUUCAAUCCUGAAUGAUGCACCUAAAACCCAAGUGUCUCAGGCCAACCAUUGCGCUCAUACCACUUGUUGCAGUACACAUUCACCUGUUUUUAAAGAAAGAAAUUCUACCAAUCGAUAUUUUCUCAAAUUUAAUCACAUAGAUCUAUUAUGGUUAACCAUAUGUACUUUUAUCUGCCAUCCAGAGGUACCUUUUUCCAACGUGCAACAAUUGUAUUUGAUUCACAAUUAUGUCUGAUAUACAUCACAUCAUGCCACUUGCCUCAAAUGAAUUUAAUUGAGUGAGGCAAUGGGAAGUAAUUAAGCUCUAUAUUGGUGGGUGGAGUGUUACUUCUGGAACCCUCAUCAUUCGUCCAUACAGGGGAACAAUUCCCUUCCUUCUAUAAAAUGGGAGCAAUUCUCUCACUGUACUCUAUAUAAAGGAAUAAGUGUCGUCCACUAAUUAAUUACACUUUGUGAGAUUUGAUUUUAAUUAGAGUUCGAAUUAAUGUUGCAGCUAGCAGCGGUGGCACUGGCAAACCAUGCUGCUCAACCAGCACCUCCACUUUACUGGAAUUCCAUCCUGCCAAACACACAAAUGCCAAGAGCUAUCAGUGAACUUCUGCAUCCUGAUUUGUGUUGAAUAGAUAUAGUAUGUUACUGGAGUACGUAUGGCAACAUAUUCACAAAUGUGUCACGUAUUUUCCAUUAUGACGUUGAUAUAUAAUUGCAGACUCCACAAACGAAGAAAAGAGCACAAAUGUCAUGAAUGCUGUUGGGAAUGGAAAGCCAAUUGACCACAAGGGCAAACCUGAAAAUACUGUACUACCACAGCUUGCACGACGCCCAUUUUCUUACAAGAGUGAUGAUCGUCCCACUGACAAUCAACUCCAUUAUAAAAACGUAGCUAUUUUCUUCUUGGAGAAGGACAUGCGCCCUGGCACAACAAUGAGCUUCCAAUUCCCUAGAAAUUCAAACACGGCUACUUUCCUGCCACGAGAAAGAGCUCAAUCGAUCCCCUUCUCCUCUAACAAACUACCAGAAAUUUUCAACCAUUUUUCAGUGAAGCCAACAUCUGUGGAAGCCAAAACAAUUAAGCAAACAAUCGAAGAGUGUGAGGCUCCAGGCAUUAAGGGAGAGGAAAUAUAUUGCGCCACAUCUUUAGAAUCAAUGGUUGAUUUUAGCACUUCGAAGCUUCGAACAAGAAACGUUCAAGCAAUCUCGACGGAGGUAUUGGAAAAAGGUGCCACCAUGUCCAUGCACAAGCACACAACAAUGCCGGGACUGAAGAAGUUGGCAGGUGUCAAAGUCGUUUUGUGUCAUAAGCAGAACUAUCCCUAUGCUGUGUUUUACUGCCAUGUAAUAAAACCAACAGCAGCUUAUGUUCUCUCCCUGAAAGGCGAUGAUGGGGUGAAAGUUAAAGCAGUAGCCAUCUGCCAUCUAGACACAUCAGAAUGGAACCCAAAGCAUUUGGCCUUCCAAAUCCUCAAAGUUAAGCCCGGAACAAUUCCCAUCUGCCAUUUCCUUCCCACUGAUCAUAUUGUCUGGGUUCCGAACCACAAAUCUGCAUGAUCAUCACUUAGCACUGUACGUAUAAUAACCUUUACCCCUGUAUAAUUAUCUCCCUACUCUACUUAUUUCUGCCUCUUCAUGUGGUGUAAGAUAUAUGAUGAGAUGAAGUUUUUGGGAUUAGUGGUCGGGUUGCCUUAAAAACACAGAUUACAGAAACUGCUUGAACUUAACCCGAUCAUGUUUUCUCUUGUACUCGUAAAGCAUGCUGUUGUGGUUCUACUUAAUUUCGUCCUCCCCAAUGUUUGAGUGUUUAAUUGUUACGUUGGAAUAGGCUGCUAAUGCAUGUAGUUAGAGAAGCUUUCAUUUAUAUCAAAGUCCUCAAACUAUCAAGAAUUAAUGCAUCCAGAAACAUAUAUACCAAGACGCAAAACAACAUAUUUUCCAUGCUGUGUCGGUAACACCAAAGCAAACUUCCUUUAUCACAAAAGGACCAAAUUCCAAUACUAAUCUAAUCCAUCAUGUAAAGCAUACAAUCUACAACUGCCUCCCUAAAUUUGUCCAUUGGAUAUAUAUGUCACUUUUUGGUAAUUUGGUAUAGCAGCACCACGUAGUAUGCAUUUAACAGAAAAGUAAACAAAAUUGACAGUAGAACUAUUUGUCCUAACGAAACUGAAGUUGAAAGACCAUGAGAACGAUUUUGAAAAUUAAGGGACUCAAAUGAAAAUUGGGUCUAAGUUCAGGGACCAAUAAAACGAUUAACCCAUAGAUUUUGGAUCCAGUACCACAUCCCAAAGAGAAAACCACAAGUUUGCAAGCAAGUUUGUCCAUACUAACACUACGUACAGUAUGGGCAAUGUGCUAGACUCAUCUCACUUUCUCAACCUAUCCUAUACUUGUCUAAAAGAGUUUCUAAUUUAAUGUACUGAGAUUUACGAAAGAAAUAUCAGAGAAACAAUUUUCAGGCAAUAAAAAAAUGUCUUGGCAAGAAAAUGCACAAUUUGUUACAUAACUUAUUAAAUAUGAACAGUUGAAAGAAAAAAGAAUUUGGAUGAGGGAUUUGCAAAUUCCUAUGGCCCAAUUACCUUUUUUUCUUUGUUUUUUUUUGGUUCUUUUGAUCCAGUAGCAUAUUCCAAAGAAUGAAAACCACAGGCAUGCAAUGCAAGCUCUUUUCCCAUGUUUUCCUCUGUUUUUCUCCUAUCAUGGAAGUGAUUAAAACACACCUCUAAGCUUGUUUUGCGUUUGGUAGCCGAGUGUAAAAGCUCAAUGCAAGAUAGUUUGAGGUAGAAUUUUCUCCUGUUUUAUUAGGACAAUGAUGAGCUAUAUGUGACAACAAAUUGCUUUAAUAAUGAAAAUUAAAAAAGUGUGAUUCAUUGAAUAUUUGCGGGGUUUUGUUCAGAGCUGACAAAGUUCUAAGUCAACACAUCAAAUUCCUUUUUCCAACAAUCGUAUUUGAUUCACAAUUUUGUCUGAUAUACAUCACAUCAUGACACUUGCAUCAAAUGAAUUUAAUUGAGUGAGGCAAUGGGAAGUAAUUAAGCUCUAUAUUGGUGGGUGGAGUGUUACUUCUGGAAUCCUAAUCAUUCGUCCCUACAGGACUCUAGAACUCUCACACUUCUUACAAGGACUACUUAACUCUAUAGCUUAUUGCAUAUAGCAUAUAUAUGCAAACCCAAUUAGAAAUUCUACAACAGAAGCAAGAUCAAUCUCACUAUGCCUUCUAAACAAACAAACAAAUAAAACAAGCAUAUUAAUUGCUUUAAUCACUCUACUAACAUCAACACAGCACACUUAGUUUACUAACAGAUGAUAUAGAAAGGAAAAAAAAGGACCAAUAGGGAGAAAAUGGUGAACUAAGGAGAGACUAAUACUUCUGGUCCUUAGAAGGCAUAACAGAAAUAAUAGAGCACACUGCUUGAAUGCAAGUCAGUAUUAGGAGCAAAACAGCUGCAAUGAAAGAAAUAGUUGCCCAAGGUGUAUUGAAAUAAUGUUGCCUCAAAUUUGCCUUCCAUUUGUUCCAAGGCUUUCUGCAGUAGCUAUUAAGGCGCUCAGAAAGAGUAGCAAAGUAGAAGCUUUCACGAUACACUGCAAUUCCUUUUCCGAGGUUGUUAAUCAGAGUGCACACCUCAUUGUAGUCACCAAGCAUAUUUUUGACAAUCCCAUACUUCAGAAGGAACUCCACAUCCUUUUCGGUGUUCACAAACUCAUCCAUGAGUGAAACAUAAUCACUUAUGUAAUUCUUACGGCAAUGGCACUAUUCAAAGGCAAUGAGGUUAUGGAGUGUGAGCUCUGUGUAAUCGUUUAUUUUUAGUUUUGGAAUUUCUAGAAUCCCAUCGUUGAAUCGUGUUAACGCAGCUUUCCUUUCCUAGCCUACGCGGAAGUCAACUUCACAAUCUCCUCCUAGCAAUUAGCCUUUCCUACUGUAAAUCGGAUUGUAUUCAUGUCUAUAUUAUUUCCUACCUUAAAUAGAUAUCCUGUACUAGUAUACAUAGGGACUUUGUGUAAUCUGUUAAAUACAAGGAAAUAUAUACUCUACAUGGUAUCAACCUAACCUAGGGUUCUCUCUCUCCCCCUUAUUCGAUCCUCUUCUCCUUUAGGUCCACCUCAUGGCUUCGUUUGAAUCCACCAUCUCCCUCCCAAGCCCUAACUCUUCUCAUUUUAUCAAGCUUACUAACUCCAACUAUCUUCUUUGGCUCCGCCAACUCAAACCCUUUUAGUUGGCCAUGACCUCUGGAAAUUUAUCGAUGGCAUUCAUAAACAACCUUCUGCCCACACCUCCACCUCUACCACCACAACACCCACAACCACCACCACUCUUACCGAAAUCAAUCCUACCUAUGCUCAGUGGUACCAACAAGACCAACUCAUUGUUAGCUACAUCACCAGUACACUCUCUGAGUCCAUUUUCUCUCUCACUGUCGGUUGCAUCUCUGCCCGGGAUCUCUGGGAGUGUCUCCAAUGCCACUUCUCUUAAUCCAAUAUGGCCAGUGAAUCUGCUCUUCGUUUUCAACUCAUGGAUUUGCAAAAAGGCUCUCAACCCAUUGAUGCUUACCUUCGUCAUGCUAAGUCUCUUGCCGAUUCACUAGCUGCCAUCAAUUAACCUGUCUCCCCAAAAGAACUUGUCACUGCUGUGCUUCGGGGUUUAGGACCCGAUCACAAAAUGCUCAUCACAGCAAUUCUCAAUUUCUCUCCGCUUCCAGACUUUGCUGAUCUUCGUGCUCGUUUGUUAGCUUUUGAUGCACAGACUCCUCGAAUCUUUCCUGAUCAAAACACAACGCUAAUGGCCACCCAAUCUUCUCCUUACACCACCGGUCAUACUUCCUUCCCUUCUCACCGUGGUUGUGGCUCUUCCAGCAAUAGGCGCGGUGGCUGGUGCAGUAUUGGCCGUGGUGGCUGGCACAACUUCUCAUCUUCCUAGAGCAACCCGUGGAAUGGCUUCCAGCAGCCCUAAUGACCUAAUCAACUGUGGCCUCCUUUUGCUCUAAGUUUUGGAUCUCAAAGCAACUGGCCUUCCUUUCAACCUCUUUGGGCCCAAUCUGCCGCUUCUAGCAAACACUCUGCCCGACCCAACUCAGCUCCUGGUGUCUUGGGACCCGCUUGGUGCACCACAUGCAAUACCAAUCGACAUACUACUACAACAUGUCCUUAUUGCUACAAUGGCCCAGAAUUCUUCCUUUGCUGGGGCUCAAUUCAUGCAGCCACCUAACUCUACAUGGUACCCUGACACAAGUGCCACUCAUCAUAUGACUGGUAGUUCUUCUAAUCUCCAAAGGAAAUUAAAUGAAGGAGUCCUACGAAGGCUCAAGGCUCGAAAGCACACGAUCCGGCUCUGCUGCGGAGCUCACUCAACUACUGGCUGAGGGGGCGCAAAACAGAAAAUUGUGAGUGGACAAAAAUAAAAAUUCAGUUCAGUGUAAACCAACGUAAUAUAACCCCACCGUUUAGAAAACCAUGCAAGAAAUCCAAAUGCAUCUCAAAACCAUCAUAAUCAUCAAAUCAAAAUCAAAUACUGGAUGCCAAGUCCGAAAUCCAUAAAGAAAGCUUUACAAACCCACCAUCCAAAUCUUACAAUCCCACAACUAAACUCUCGAAAGCGUACCCAUUGGCAGUACCAGCAAGGAAGUAUCCUCACCGAGAAACAAGAACAAAAGAAUAGCUAUAUAUAUAAUUAUAUAAUAUAACCACACCUAGUUGUACCGGGAAAACAAUCCAACCGGGGGAUUGUUUGACUAGUCACCAUGGCAGAGUCAAAGUAAACAAAUUCCUCAAUUCACCAUGUGACUAGGGAACGAGCUGUCCAACUGGGGGACCAACUCUCAGCCAGCAUGUACCGUCGAUAGCCUCAAAACCCGUACGUCUGUGACCAGUCCUACGCGUGCAGACUACCCAAUCAAGGGUUUACAGCAACAUCCCAUCAAGGAUGCCCUAGGUUCCCACAAUUCCAAGUAUCUCAAGUUUGCGUAUCCAAGUUCCAAAUCCGGGGAGGUACAUAGGGUAGUGCUUAUAGCACUCCAAAUUGACAUUCUAUACUCAUCACUUUCCACAAUCUCAUCUCAACAACCUAAGUACCCCACACAUAGCCAAACAUAUAUAGAAAUUCUCAAAAUCCAUAUAUACAUACUCAAGAUACUCAAAUAUGUCAAAAUCCAAAAUAUAUUUCCAAUGCAUCAUAAAAAUAUCACUUUUAACAAUUGAAUAAAUAAUAUAUAUCCAAUAUACCAAUUAAAACAUCAUGCAUAAUAUUUCCCAUCAUAAAAUCAUGCAUAAGAUUUGAAAACAAAGUCCACUCACAAGUAGUCCCACACUGCUUGACCUUGAGAGGGUCCCGCCUACUGCGUAUGCGUGGUUGGAGUACCUAUUUCAGAAUACGUAUACGAGAUUAAUAAGAAGCGUUUCGAACGAGAACUUUGAAUUAAAUAUCCUAAUUUCCCAGGUUUCUAGUAAGUGUACUAGGAACGAGACGUUCUAAGGUUCCACUACCCAAUUCGAACCAUGGAAGAGCUUCGGGAGACACUCGGUCAACCGGCGGUCAAAUUCCCAAAUCGGGUCAACUGGCCCACGGGACCCACGACCUCCGUUUUUAAAAUCCGUAAGUUCCUAAAGGUUUCACAAUGUCUAAGAUACUACUAUCACAAGUUUGGUCCGAAACGGACUGUUAGAUCGCUUACGAUCGCACGAUCAGACGGUUAUUGUAAAACGUAAACUUUAAGUUAUUGAAUCAGAACAUCCGGGGCUCCGAUUCACGAUCCGCGAAUUCCUACACGAUCCUAGGAAGGUCUAGAGUAACAUAUAUUGGAAUGGAGUCGAUCCAAAGGUCCGAACAUAUCGAACCUAGACCGGAUAACUCCUAAUAUGUGAGAUUCGUUCGGGGUUCGAACAUCAACCAAAUUGGAAUCCUAAGGUACCUACGUGCUCGUGACAUUAAGGGGAUCAAUUGGGACAAAAAUGCCCCUCUGCUACAGUGCCCACGUGCCACCACACGCGGCGGUAGAGAGUGGGUGUCCAAAGCGAUUUCUCUUCGCCGGAAAAUCUCCAAAUUACAAGCCACUCUCCUGGCUACAGGUUCUACUCAACGAGUGGAACACUUUAUUCAACUACAGCCAAGUCCAAUUCGGACGGCAAGUGGCCGGAAACUCACGGUUUAACCCGGAACUUCAUGGCUUGGAUUGGGCGACCAUCGUCACCAUUGUCGUGGCACAACCUAGGAAAUAGCUAAAAGGAGAGGAGGGCUACCUAUUCCAAGCGAUGGCGCAGCUCGCGGUAGCCGAAAAUGUAGCCGAUGACGUUGGCAGUUUUGGCCGGUUUUUCACGUCGUUGCCAUCGCCGUUUGUCGAGUUUUCGAUUGGAGAAAAGGGGUGGGGUGAGUAGAGGAGGAAGAGAGGAAGCUUUUGCAAGAAAUGACACUUGUCAGGGAGGGGGGGGUUGGGGGAAGAGAGAGAGAGAGAGAGAGAGAGAGAGAGAAAAAAAAAAAAUUUCAGAUUUUCAUCCAAACCCUUUUCGAAAUAUUUACAAGUUUGCCACUAAACUACUUUUGGUUGCCAAAUCUUCGUUAUAACUCCGAUUCAAGCCUACCACGUGUCUACGGAUUCGUCUCAAUACAACCUACCCAAAAAUACCAGUCACUGCCCCAAACUCUUUUUGGGUAAGAAAAUGACCAAAAUACCCCUACCCCAAGGGUAAAUUCAUAAUUUCACUUCAAUAAUUUAAUAAAGAAUUAAAUUUGGAGUCGGGGUGUUACAUUAACUACCUGUUUAGUAGGUGUGGGGUUUUAUACAAAAAGCAUCGAUGUUAUUGGGAGUGGAACCACUUAUUAUAAGUUGUGAUUUAUUUAGUCAAGUUUCCUAUGUGGGAUUUUCUAUUCUUCAACAAGCCCCCUCAUGUGGGACCACCACAUAGUGGGCCACAUGUAAAGCUAAGUCCACAUCGGAGUCAAUCAUUCAAGCCCAAUACCUAAACACCACGUAUUGUGUGAGGGGUAGGGGUAAACAUUCAAGCCCAACAUGUGAACCACCAAAUAUUAAGUAAGGGUAAAGGCUCAAUUCAGGCCCAAUCAAUGAACCCAUUAUGAUAUCAUGUUAAAUUUCAGAUAGACGGGACUGUGGCCCACCACUAGCAACAUUGAUAUUGUCCCCAACUUAACUACAUGUUUAGUAGGUGUGGAGUUCUAUACAUAAGGUCUCGAUGUUUUUAGGAGUGGAACCACUUAUUAUAAGUUAUAAUUUAUUUAGUCAAGUUUCCAGUCAACCUGACUUUGAUACCAUGUUAAGAUUUUAAAGGGACGAACUCUUGGCACUAUUAGUAACAUCGACAUUGUCCCCAACUUAACCACCUGUUUAGCAAGUGUGGGGUUUUAUCCUAAAGGCCUCGAUCUUAUUAAGAGUUGAGUCAUUUAUUAUAUGGAACUUUCUAUUUUGUUAACUCUGUGUAUUCUUCAUCAAUGUGAACACCCCUAAACCAAUCAUACCUGAUACGAAUUGAAACACAAGUUUGUUUUUUGCCUUUGGUAGAUGAGUAGCUAGAAAAGCUCAAUGCACUUGCUCUUCUGCUACAUUUCAAUAUAAGAACAAGGUUUGGAAGUCAGGUCAACUCCUCAUAGCUUCCUUGCCUUUGCUUUGACAUGUCUAUGCACUUCUUGGGGAAGUUUGAAUAAUCCAUUGCAGGCCCCAUGACAACUAAGGAACCAACAUUUUGUAGAAGGUUUUGUCUAUACCUUUUGACUAUAAGUAAAAUCUUUUGUAUCUGCUCUUAUGUUUCGGUGAAGUUUCUAUGUGUCCUUUGUGCCGAGUUUCUAUGCGUCCUUUGUUGAACCAAAAAAUGAGGUUGUUUCUUACUAGAUUCAAAUACUUAAAAGAAAAAAAGAAAUUGUUGUUUCUUAAUGGAUUUUAUGAUGAACAAUAUCAAACUCUCCUCUUAUACGUCUGUUGGUAAAUUUUAACAACAAUAUUAAAACCUUGCAAGUGCACAAAUCAAAUGAUAGUAUAGUAAGCAAGCAAGGGUCGAUCCCACGGAGAUUGUGAUCUAAAGAGAUGUUUAUCAAUGUCACGCAAUGAAAAUCAAAACAAAGGACUUCCAAACACACGCCAACACCAAGGGGGGUUUUGAUUUGUUUUUGUGAAUCAAACAAAAUAAGGAAAAGGAAACAAAAGAGAAUUUAAAUUAGAGUUUAAGAGAAAUUGGUUUAAAAUCAAUCAAGAUCAAUAGCUAGGACUUACUAUCCACCUCCAAACAAUCAAUCAAUCCAUAAACAACAAUAGAUAAUCAAUUUCUAGUAAGCACACUACUACAAAAAAGCAAAAAGACGACGGUAAAUCACCGUCGUGUAUUCGGUUUUUCAAUGGUCGUGGAAUCCACCGUCAUCUUUUCCCUCAUAAACCACGACGCUAAAUCACCGUCGUUGUUACAAUAUACAACGUCAUCAACAAAUACAAAACGACGUCUUUGUACUGCAAAAAGAUCUAAAAAAGCAAUCGAUGAUGAGAAAAGACGACCAACUCUCUAAACAAACCGUCGUUAAAAAGAAAAAAUAUGACACAUAUUAACAGAACAUGGCCGCAAGAUAGACAUACAACGACGAAAAUUAAAAUAAGACGCCGUUAAAUAUCAUUUUCACGACAAUAAAAAAUAUGUCGUCUUUAAAUACAUUAGAAGACGACGUUAUUGAUACCUACUACGUCGCCUAUAUAAAAAUAACCGUCGUAAAAUAAAUUUUCCACUUCGAUUUUUCUAUAAAAGAUGACGUGGAAAUAGUUGUCAGUGUCAUUAUUUACGACGUAUGUAUUUAUAGAGUAGACGUUGAACAACGAAACAACGUCGGUUACAAAUAUAUGAGAGUCGUAUUACAAAAUUUAUACGUCCUAUUUUCAGAAACAAACAACGACGAUAAAUAUUAGACGUUGUUAAAUAAAACAACGUCGAAAACAAAUAAAAACAGACGUGUUUAGUCUGCUAAAGUUCUAAAAAAUAGUCGAGGAUGAGAAUAGACGACCAACUCAAACAAAUCACCGUCGUUAAAAAGGAAAAAUAUGACACAUAUUAAAAGAACAAGGCCGCAAGAUAGACAUACAACGACGACAACUAAAACACUACGCCGUCAAAUAUAAUUUUCACGACAAGAAAAAAUAUGACGUCUUUAAAUACAUGAGAAGACGACGUUAUUGAAAUAUACUACGUUUCUUAUUUACAAACAACCGUCGUGAAAUAAAUUUUCCACUUCGAUUUUUCUAAAAAAGAUGAUGUGGAAAUAGUUGUCAGUGUCAUUAUUUACGACGUAUGUAUUUAUAUAGUUGACGUUGAAAUGCGAAACAACGUCGGUGGCAUUUAUAUAGUCGACGUUGUAUUUAUAUGUAUUCAUUACUCACGACGCACUUAUUAAUAUAGACGACGUUGAACUUCUAAACAACGUCGGUUCCAAAUAAAUGAGAGCCGUAUUACAGAAAAUAUAGAUGGCGUUGAUUAUGAUGAGAGCCGUAUUACAAAUAACGUCGUUUAAUUGAUAUUAGACGGCGGUUAUAAUGAAUUACCGUCGGAAUUCAUUUCGUUCCUCUUCGUUUAUAAAAGAACUUGCGACGUGGAAAAUGUAUGAUGACGUCGUAUUUUUUAACGUUCAGAUUAUAUAUCUCGUUUUUUAGACGUCGGUAUUAUGGGAUUGGAGUCGUGUUAUUUUGAAUUACAUGGCGGUUCUUAAUCCUUCCCCGACGUGAUAUCCUGAAUAAUUGCUUCAUAAUAGCGUCGUGGUUCUUCAUUGUUACGUUGCUUUAAGACGUCGGUAAAUAUGCUGAAUAACUGGUUCACAAUAACGUCGUGUUUUAUUUGAACGUAGAAAGUGAAGAAAUCACAUUACAAUAUAUUACAAAAUUAAUGUCAUACACUGCCAAUUACAUAAGCAUCAUUCAAUCCAUAUAUCUUCACACCCAUCUCGAAUAUUUUGACCGCCUAACUCACCCACCAGUUCAUCAAAUGUGUCAACAUUUGGCAUCCCUCUAGUAAAUGGCUCACACUCAAUUAUCACAUCACCUAAGACUUCAUCACCAAUAACAUUAUUAUAUUCUCUAUUAGGCAUUGAUAACACUACCGACCAACCACGAUGCAUCGGGUCGUCAACAAAAAAUAUUUGUUUGACUUGAGAAGCCAAAACAAAUUGGUCAUUCCUAUGUCCAAUUUUACUCAAAUCUACAAGGGUAAAUCCAAGUUCGUCGACUACAAGACCAGAACUAUCUAUCCAAUCACACCUAAAGACUGGGAUUGUAAACUUUUGGUAGUCAAGGUCCCAAAUUUCUUGAAUGACACCAUAGAAACCCAUAUUUGAGAGAAUUGAGUUUUUAUCCUUGGCACUAGCAACUUGCAUGGUAUGUGCAAGUAAAUAAACUCCACUAUUUUGAGUUGUCCGCACAUCAUCUUGUGCCUUGAUAUUGAAUUUAAUACCUUUAAUAAGAUAGCUCCUAUAUAAUGGCACAGCCAUGUUUGGACCAGCUGCUAGCCACCUUAAAUUUUCUGAUACGCCAUGAUUGUCUUCCUCAAGUUCACUUUGAACCUGCAAAUUAAUCAUAUAUCUUAAUGCAAUCUAACAUAGAAAUAAGAAGAAAAUUAAAAGAGAAAUAUGUUAUUCAACAACAUAUACCUUGAAGCGUAGCCAUUGAAUGAAAGUGUUAUUGUGCUUAUCCUGCAGCCACUUUGUGAUUUAAGGUAUGACAAUCAUGUGAUUUAAGGCCAAGAAGUCUUGAAUCUUGUAAAGAUACAAGAUUUUUAAUAUUUGAAGAAUAACCUUCAGGGACCUUCAUACCAUAGAAAGAAUUGCAAACCUCUCUCUUCUCUGCUCUUGACAAAUUCCAAGGCCCAGGAGGCAAACGAGUACGUCUUUCUCCAUACUCGGGUUGCAAAUCAGUUUUGACCCCCAUGUUCAAUAAAUCUAAUCGAGCAGCAAUCCCAUCUUUAUUUUUUCCAGGGAUCUCCAGCAAUGUACCAAUGAUACUAUCGCAAACAUUCUUCUCAAUGUGCAUAACAUCUAGGGCAUGCCUCACAGGAAGGUAUUUCCAAUACUCGAGAUCAAAGAAUAUUGAUUUCUUCUUCCAACAAACUCUGUCACCAUUUUCAACCAUGUGCAGCACUUCUUCUCCGGUUAAUGGCUCGGGAGGUAUGCCAUAUUCAGGUUUCCCAUUAAAAGCUGCACGUUGCCUCCUAUAUGGAUGAUUGAUUGGUAACCAUUUUCUAUGCCCAAUGUAACAAAUUUUGUGGCCAUUUUCAACCUGUGACUAGGUGUAUCAUCGCCGCAUAUUGGACAAGCUUUAUAUCCUUUAACAACACAACCAGAUAAGUUUCCAUAGGCGGGGAAAUCAUUAAUUGUCCACAUUAAUGCAGCUCUGAGUGUAAAGUAUUCUCCAUUAUGUGCAUCAUACACUCCUCUAAUCCCAUCCCACAAAGAUUUUAAAUCAUCAAUCAAAGGCUCCAAGUAGACGUCUAUAUCAUUUUCGGGUUGUUUAGGACCGGAAAUCAAUAAGGUUAACAUCAUGAACUUUCGUUUCAUGCACAGCCAUGGAGGGAGAUUAUAUGUAACUAAGAUAACCGGCCAACAACUAUAUCUGCUACUUAGAGAACUGUGGGGAUUGAAUCCAUCAGAUGAAAGAGCCAAUCUCAAGUUUCUCGGCUCAUUACCAAACUCAGGCCAUUUAUCAUCAAGAAGUUUCCAAGACGGGGAAUCCGCCGGAUGAGACAUCUGACCGUCAAUUGAUUUUCUAGCAGCAUGCCAAGUCAAACUCUUAGCUGUCUCAUGUGAUUGAAACAUCCUUUUAAACCUUGGAAUUGGAGGAAAAUACCACACCACCUUCGCUGGCACAUCCUCUUUCAAGAUUGAAUCUUUGCCUUCCUUCCACCUUGAGAUACCACAAGUAGGACAAUUAGUUGAAUCCUCAUACUCCUUCCUAUACAAGAUGCAAUCAUUGGGGCAUGCGUGCAUUUUCUCAUAACUCAGCCCCAAUGCACACAAAGUCUUUUUUGCCUCAUACAUAGAGGUUGGUAUUGUAUUUCCUUCUGGAAGCAAAUCGCCUUGAAGUAUCAAUAAUUCUGUAAAACAGACAUCACUCAUCCCAUGUUUUGCCUUCAAAUUAUACAACUUCACUAAUGCCGAUAACUUCGUGUACUUUCUACAACCAGGGUACACUGGUUGAUCUCCAUCCCCAAUCACAUUGGCAAACUCAUACGGAUCGGAACCAAAAUCACCAAAAUCAUUAUCAUCCAUAUCAAUUUCUUCAGACACAAAACUGUACCUACUAUGGCCAUCAUCUUCUUCAACAUUUCUACUAGCAUUAGUAGUUGCUUCCCAAGGUUCUCCGUGAAAUGUCCAAUUCUUAUAGCUUUGGUCAAUUCCAUUAAAGUAUAAGUGAUCCCUUAUAAUUCCAACCCCAAACAACUUCAAAUUAACACAUUUAACACAUGGACAACGGAUAUGUGUUGUAGUUAGAAGAUUUUCUACAGCAAAGUUCAAAAAUGCUUCCACCCCAAACUCAUAUGCCUUCGAUCUUCUAUCCGAGUGCAUCCAUGACUUAUUCAUCUCCGACACUAUAACCUAUUAUCUAUAAUAAAGUGAAAAUACAGGCAAUGACCAUCACUAUAGCAGAUUAUACAAAGAUCUAAUAGCAAGUAAUACAUAACAGAGACGACGGGUUUUAAACAAAAACAGACGUAUUUGGCAUAUAUAGACGACGGAUUUUCAACAGACGUCGUCUAAUAUAAGUAAUACAAACGACGGUUUAUGAAAAAACCGUCGUGUAUAAGUAAUACAACGACGGUUUUUUCAUAAACCGUCGUGUAAUCGUCGUCGUAUGCCUAAAAAGGCGUCGUGUCUCAGUUUAUUUUCAAGAACCCAAAACCCAUUAAGAACACAACAUAUAUAUGAAACCAAGCAAGAAACCAACAUAUACAUGAAGCCAAGCAUGAAAACAAUAAAUCCAUUCCCAAUUCAACAUAACAUAGGGUGAUUAAAAGAUCCGACAAAAUUAAAACCAUUCCCAAUUCAACAUAACAGAUAAUGUAAUCCAUGAACCCAUUAAACAGAAAAUCCAUGAACCUAUACCUAUAAGCACAUUAUUAACAGAUCGCAAAGCAUAUACCUAAAACCCUUUAACAAAACAACCUAAUAUCAUUCAAUGAAUUUACAAAGGGAAGAUAGGGUUUGUACUUACAGGUUGGACGAGCUCACAGAUUCGACGAAGCCUGGAGAGUGCAACUUUUAAUUAGAGCAGAAGUGAGAGAGCGAAUGUUAUGUUGCGCGAAAUCUGAAAAUUUUAGGGUUCAGGGUUAGAAGUAUAAGAAUAAGAGCCAAAUAUAAAAAAAUUUAGGGCGCGCGAAAAUUUUUAGAGCGCGCGCUCUUUAAAACGUCGAAAGAAAAACCAUGGCGAAAGUUCUACAAGAACCGACGUAAAUGUAAUAUUCCACGACGAAAACACUUAACGUAACGCCGUUUAUUUUGACGUUCAUUUUUCGGAUUAAUUUUAAAUUUAUUUUGAAUAUUUUGAUAUAAAGACGACUGAAAAACCACGUCGAAGUUAAGAAAUUGAAAACGUUGUAAAUUAUAAUAGACGACUUACAUAUUAAAAUGACGUCGUUUAAAGUGGAAACCAUGUCGGAUAUUUUACUGCACGACGUAACAUAUGUAUUCCACGACUCAACCACCGUCGUUAACAAUUAAUACCCUAAACCCUUAAAACUAAAUUAUAUAAUUUUAAAAAUUAAGUUUAUAAAAGGGUUUAUGGUUUUACAGCCUAAUAUAUACCCUAUACUACCCAAAAAUUAUACUUUAAAAAUAAACCCCAAUAAAUAACAACCCUAAUCUCUAAACCCUAGACUCUAAACCCUAAACCAUAAAACUAGAAGUGAUUUUAUGACUCAUCAAAACAAUUUUGUUUUGGAUGGUCAUUUUAAAUUUUUUUUAUUCAAAAUGAAUUUUUUCAAGGUUUAGGGGGAAGAAAAUAUAUCAAUGACUUCAUAGGAGUUGACUUUUCAUUUUUCUGAUUUAUUUUAAAUUUAUUUUGAAUAUUUUGAUAUAAAAAUAAUAAAAUAUUCUUAUCACAAUAACAAACCACGUCGGUGUUAAUAAAUUUUAGACGUUGUAAAUUGUAAUAGACGACUAAGUUGUUAAAAUGACGUCGUUUAAAUGAGAAACCAUGGCGGAUAUUUAACUAUCCGACAUAAAAUAUAUAUUCCACGACUUAACCGCUGUCGUUACAAAGUACUACCCUGAACCCUUAAGAAAUUGAAGACGUUGUAAACCAUAAACGACUCAAUUGUUCAAAGAACGUCGUCUAAAUAUCCUUUUACGUCGGAUUUGGUUAAAACGAAACAACAAAAAACGACGGCUUUUGACUUUAUUACGUCGUUGGAAAAGUAUUACACGUCGGUUACGCAAUUUGUAUGUUUGUUUUUUUUUUUAAUUUAAGAAAACCUCAACAAAUUUUUACAUUAUAUAUUAUAGACAAAAUUUGUACAUUAUACAUAAAUAUCAAGUGUUCAAUAAUUCCCCUAUUCCAGGUGAAGGCAAACAAACUCUGACCAUUCAUUCCGGACUUCAUCAAUUGCUUCUUGGGGGUAUGGCGCUUCCUGUUUUCCCUUGGCAUACUGCAUAAACAAUGACUAUUAGGGUUUAUAAAUAAAAAGAAAUUCAAUCACAGACGACGAUAUUUUUCAUAACCGACGUACUAUAUCUAUUCAACGACGGUAAUUUUACAUGACCGUCGUUGAUAAUACAAAAAACGACGUAAAAUGUAUGAAGGUAAUUUCUUCUUACCUUCUUCUCAAACCCCAAGGAAGGAUCCAUGAUGAUGUCCCUCAUGAAGCGCAUCACAUAAUACCCGCAUUCGACAUUGCUGGGUUGCUUUGGUGUCCCUGACAGAGUUUUCCAAAUGGCUGCCUUACGGCCUGGUCUGGCUAUGUGAGAAUUAUAAAUUUUUAUAGCACUGUUCACAAUGUUUUUGGCCUCUUCAUCGACCACACGAUUUCCUGGCAGAGGAUCCAGAAAAUAGACGGUUUCUCUCUUUGCUCUUACAAUCAGCAAGAUCCAAUGACGGCUGCACAAAAUUAAUAUAAAAACGACGGUUAUUUACAAUAACGACGUAUUAUAAUGUUUCACACGACGAAAUAAAGUAGCAAUCGACGACAUUUUACAUUUAUCACGACGAUAAAUAACUACCGACGUGGUUAGUAGUUUCAAACGACUCAAUAAAAUAAAACACCGACGUGGUUAGUUUAUACGCUGUAAUUUAUUGAAAAUCAUAAAAACAAAAUCCUGUUAAGGAGACUAACCCUGGAUUGUAAGGCAUCAGGAAAAUCUGUUCACCGUCAGUCUUUUGAAGUCGAGCUGCUAGUAAGCGUGAUCUGUCAGCUAUUGUGCCAGAGUUGGCACUAACUGUAGCAAGGUCGAUAAAGCCAACCAUAUUGCACAUAUUUGCUCGUUUCAAAACAUCGUGCAAGUGCCUAAAUAUAUAAAAUAAUAUAAACAAGUCAGCACAAAAAAACACACGACGGUUAUGUAUAACAAAACGACGUAUUAUAAAAUUUCACACGACGUACUGAAAUAGACAACGACGUUAUAAUAUAUUUAUCACGACGGUAAAUACUAACGACGUGGUUAGUUAGUUAAGACGACGUAAUAAAUAAACCAACGACGUAUUAUUUUAGAAUGACAAACCUCAUAUAUACAAAAAAACACGACGGUUAUGUAUAACAAAACGACGUAUUAUAAAAUUUCACACGACAUACUGAAAUAGACAACGACGUUAUGAUAUACUAACGACGUGGUUAGUUGGUUAAGACGACGCAAUAAAUACACCAACGACGUAUUAUUUUAGAAUGACAAACCUCAUAUAUACAGCAAUGACAGUGGCUCCUAUUUCUUCCAUGCCUGCAAAUUGUGUAAUAUCUUCAGGCAGGAGGAAGGUAUCGCGCUCUAGACCAAACACCUCCUUAUCAAUUGUAAAGUGCAGGGUCUUAUCCUGAGGCACGAGUGUCGUUUCCACAUAACGACAAAGGGAGUUUAAAGAAGAUGGCGCCUCCAUAUUUGAAUAAUCAACAACUUUAAUAACCUGUUUAAAGAAAUAUAAAAAAUGACGUGGUAAUUCAAUAAAAACGACGGUUUAAGGAAUAAAACGUCGUCUGAAAAGAAUUUAAACGUCGUCUGAAGAAACCGUCGUGGUGAAUAAUUUAUUACGUCUUAAAAAAAAUUCCGCCGUCUAAGUUGUAAACAAACGACGGUUUAAAGAAAAAUAUCGACGUCUGGAAUUUUGAAAAACAAAUAAAAAAGGCAAAGUUAUGUGAACAUACCUGGUCGUCAUCUUCUUUCUCCUUUUCAUCAUGUUUUUCUUCUGUCUUCCCUUCAUCUAUUACGUCGAGAAUGACUAACUCCGUCGUCUAAAAACCACAAAGUUUUAAAAUAACGACGUUUAAUGGCGUGUAAAACAAGUAAACUAAAUACGACGUGGUAUUGAAAUACAAACGACGGUUUAUGUUUAAAAUCGUGGUGGUAUGUAUUUCAAACGACGGUUUUAUUAAUAAUAACGACAUCUAAUGGUUUUUAAAAAAACAGAGAAUUCAAAGUUCAGAUAUGUUACCUUUUCUUCCUGAUGUUUCCCAUUUUUGGCAGUAUCAUCCUCAAAAUGCUGGGAUCUCACAUCACCUCCAGAGCAGCUUGCUUUGUCAGACAUUGGAUUUUUGGGACUUUGGCUAAUUCUGGGUUUAAGCAUGCUUGGAUCAAAAUUGGGAAUUAAUUGGGAAAGCUGACUCAGGAAAUGCUCCCUCUCAGCCUCUACCAAUUGUUUCGUUCUAGCCUCCAUCCUUAAAGCCUCUUCCCUUGCCUUAGCUUCCAUCUUUUUAGUCUCUUCUUGAAGGAGAACUCUUAAACUGUCCUUCAAACGGUCGUCAAAGCUCACUCUCUGUGGUUUGGGUAAAUUGAAAUAUUGCCUUGGUGAGAUCCCAGCACCUACUCCUCUCACUCUGCCUGGAUGCUCGGGGCCCAAAGCCAUGGUCAGCACAUCAUUGCUGCCAGAAACAGUGACUUUGCCUUCCGAGACUUGUUUUUGCAAUUCAUCCUAAAACAAAGAUAUAUAAAAAAGUAAGAACAAAAACACACGACGGUUAUUUAUAUACAAACGACGUAUUAUAUAAUUUCACACGACGCAAUAACAUAUAAAUCGACGUUAUUAUAAUUUAUCACGACGGUAGUUUUUAAACCGACGUGGUUAGUUUUUAAAACGACGAAAUGAAUAAACCACCGACGUCUUAUGCUUUAUUUACAGAUAACAGAGGGAUGAUUCAAUAUUCACACCUUUAACGACCUUGUUUAAAAUAUUUCGACGUAGUAAUUCAAUACAAACGACGCGAAAAUGAACCACCGACAUCUUAUGCUAUAAUUACAGAAAACAGAGUAGUGAUUCCUGAUUUAGACCUUUAACGAUGUGGUAAUAUCAUUCACACGACGCAAAAUAUAACAUAAGACGUAAUAAGAAUUAUUCACAGUUUAAUAAAAAUUUAAAACAGAGUGAGUAGGCUUACAAUUAAUUUUGCUUUCUCUGCCACCUUUGGAUCCGGGAUGUUACCAUGUUUGUCCUGUCUAGCUCUCUUCCAUAAGGUAGAUCGAUCAAUUUCUACCCCAGGCAUGGUUUCCUCCAAUUGAUCCUCCAAACCAGCAUAUCCUUUUCGAGACAAUCGAUGAUUGUACUCAAGUUUCUCCCUAAUCUGUGCAUGUUGAGAAUGCACAGACUCAAAAUCUUUGGAUAACCUUGAAGCUACAAAGGCAUCCCAUUGUGCUUUCUCUAUGAAUUUAUAUAUUUCAGGGGGUUGGCUUAAUCUCUCCCUGUCAUUAGUGUAUGGAAGGAUAUAUUGCCUCGUUAGUGUAGACUUGAAAUCCUUCCAUUUCUUGGCAGCAGAAGCUAACACAGAGCUCUUGCCCCCUUGACCUACCACAAAAGCAAUGUCAACUGCUUCCCAAAUCUGCUCCUUUAUAUCCUUGGAGAUUUGAGCCUAUUUCAUGUCCACAAGUGGAACUCUGGAGCGUGCCAACACACCAAUGUAGGACUGCAUCUCACUAUGUGCUUGGCCAAUUCCUUUCCCCCUUUUAUUGUACUCAACAAUUGGCCUCAGUUUCUGAAGUUUUCUCUUCACAACAUGAGGCAUUGUGCUCAUACCUCGACCAGACUUUGAAUCAUCAGAGAUUGUUGUCGUGCUGGUUCGUUCUGUCUCAGCAGAUGAUGAAGCAAACUUCAUCUUCUUCGAAGGCUUCACUUGAGGAGGUACCAUUCCAAGGUCCUUACCUCCAUUUUUCUUGGAGCCAGAAUCCUUACUUUGGUCUUAGUGAGAAACCAUUUUUACAGACAAAACUGCAAGUGAAAAUAUUUCAGGAAAAGAUUAAGAACACAAACGACAGUUAUUAAUAAAAUACGACGUAUGAUAUGAUUUUAAACGACGCAAUGAAAUAAUCUCAGACGUAAUAAAUGUUUAAAACCAAGGUAAUUAAACAACGACGAAAUAAUUAACUAUAAACGACGUGAUAAUUAACUAUAAACGACGAAAUAUUUAUAUAACGUCGUGGUAUUGAUGUUCACACGACGUCAGUCGUAAUAUACCGUCGUCUAUAUAAGGAUCCAAAACCCUUCUUUCUUUCUCUGUGAAUGUUUGAUUGCAGAUUUGAUUUUUCUGAACCAUGGUUUUUGUUUUCUAAUUUGAUAAAAUACAAGGCCAAGAAAGAAAGUUUUGGAAUCUUAUAUAGACGACGGUAUUUUAAUAUGACGUCGUGGUAUUAACAUUCACACGACGUAAAACAAUAAGAUACUGUCGUCUAUAUUAGAUACCAACCCUACUUUCUUUUUCUUUAUAUUUUAUCAAAUUAGGGAAAAACAAAAACCAUUGUUCAGAGAAAUCAAACCUGCAAUUAAACAAGCAAAUAAAAAAAAGACUAUAAUUUUAAAAACAACUUUGUCAAUUUUCAGACGACGCUAGAACGACUGACGAACCGUCGUGGUCUACAUAUUUAACCACGUACAUAAGAAGCUACCGUCGUCUUAUUUAGUUGAGGUAGUUGUCUUCAAAGUUGGAAACUUUCCCUCUUUGUCUGUAUAUUUUAUUGAACUUGGAAAGAAGUAAAAUGAUUUUGGCCAGAAAAAAGGUAAAAAGAUUUUUCAAACAAAAAACGUAUGAGCAUGCAAAACAACAACCAAAAUAGUGAAAAUGAAAGCUUACCUUUUGCGUGCAAUGAAAGCAAGAGGAAGAUUAUGUUUAAGUUCAGAGACGACGAAGAAGAAGAGAGGAAGACGAUGAGAUACUCUGACAGUGCUCUGACAAGGAAAAAAGUCUAAAAGUUUUCUCUGGGAGAUUGAACUUUUUAAUCGGGUUUGAAAACGGCGCAUGUGUAUGUCAGGUAGACGAAAAGUUGCUUACAUAUAAAACCAUUUCAAAAAAAUAAUACGGCGGUUACAUAUAACUACGACGUAUAAAUUACAAAAUACGACGGUACAUUUAACUUCGGACGUGGUAAAUAAAUACGACAGUAGUGUUGUAGGUACCGUCGUAGUAAACUCAAAAAUUAAAGUACAUAAGUAAUAACUCGCGUCAUGGUAGAUUAUUUAACACGUCGUUUUUAUUAAUUUACCGACGUGGAUUUCUGUAAUAUACGUCGAUAAUACCGACGUUGAUUUUACAAUUUAAACGGCGGUUUUUUUGUAAGGACCGCCGUUGGUUUUAAAAAUUUAUUCUAUAAAUUUGUCGCUUUCAUUCAUUUUCGGUUUACAUUUAAGGUUCCAAGUUCUUCCUCUCUCAGUCUCUCACGUCUCAAAGACAAUAAUUUGGAUGUCUUUCUCAAAGAGAAAUUGAGCUUACUCGCAUCAAAUAUAUGUCCACAAGAAGAAGCUUGUCAACUAGCCUUCUCACUUCCUUGAUCAAGCCUGAUAGGACACUUAGUGCUUCUGAAUACUCCUUGCUUUCCAUCAAAAGAGAUGCAAGCCUGGCCUCCACUCGCUGUCGAAGGAAAGUUCGCUUCUCAGGGAAAUCUUCUUGAUUUUCUUGGCUAAGAAGAUCCGUCAGAUUUGUGAUAGCCUCUUCCUUUAUCCGUAGAGCUUCAGAAGAAGAAGAUGGGUUUCAAGAAUGCGAUAAAGAAUAGAAAUGGCUUCAGAUGGCCUCUAAAGCAUGAGCAAUCGAAUCAGUAGUUGUUGGGAGAUAUGAUGAAGACAUUGUCAAUGCUUUGAACUAUACAAGUCCUGCAGAAAGAUAAAGGACCAAACUGUUAAAGAAACUGAAACAAUGGCGGUUUUCUGUUCUACCGUCGUCUUUUCUCGUCGUCUAUAUUAAGGUAAGAUGGCGGUAGAUUUAUAAUUACCGACGUAGAUUAUUUUGUUAAACGUCGUUAAGUGUACUACAACCGACGUGGAUUUUAUUUUUAAAUUAUAAAUAGAGUUUUUUUUCCCCUAUUCUUUCAGUUUUAGUUUUCAAUUACAAAGCGUGAUAAAUAGAUUUUUCUUUCCCGAGGAAAUUUAAAAUGAGGGAAAUUAAUGUUCUAGAAUUUGUAAACUAACACGACGCAAUAUUUGCAAAUCUGUGUCAUCUGUUAAGAUUAUGAUGUGGAACAGAGUUCCAUCUGGUAAGAUUUCGUAACCCUUGGGAUCUCAGACAAAUCUGAUUAUGUCGGCGGUUUUCUAUAUAAAUCGUCGUGGUUAUUUCAAUUCUUGUCAUUAAGUAGAUCUACCGACGUAGGAUAAGAAAAUCAAAGAAAAAAAUUGUUAACAAAAAUUCUUAUUAAGACGACGGUUAAAAUUAAAGGUACGACGUAUAAAAUGAAUAAAUACGACGUUAAAUUUUAUUGUACGAUUUAAAGAUAACGUCGUAGAACUAUAAGAGAAUGACGUCGAUAUAUUUAUAUUUUCCGUCGUUGUACAUUAAUUUAAUACGGCGAUAUUUUGUAUUUUAAAGCCGUGGAUUUGUUUGUAAUUAUACGGCGUCUUAUACGAAAACCUCGUCGUGUUAUUUUAUGAGUAAAAACGGCAGUUUUUAUUGAAAUCGUCGUCUUUACUUUCUACGUCGGUCGAUUCAUAACUUCUGCCGUUCUUUGUUGGCAUUGAUUUUACACUGCGAAAAUCUGUUUCAAAUAGACGUCGGUUGUUUAAUUAUGUACGUUGUUGUUUUUGAACAGCCAUUUGAAUCUCCAUUUUUUAGUUGUCUAAGGUUGUAUUACACGACGGUGUUUUUAGAACCGUCGUCUUUUUAAAAACCACGACGGUUUUCACUUAGACCGUCGUUGUUUUCUGGUCGUCUUUUUCACUUUUUGUAGUAGUGGCAUAUGAUGACGACACUCACAACAAGAUCAUGGCAUUUGACUCGAGUUGUAUGAUUCUCUCUUAAGUGUAUGUAAAGUGUAUGACAUUUACAUCAAUACGUGUAUUCUUAAUUGAAAUCUACUAUGGCAUUUACUCAAAUUAACAAUCAAGAAUCCAUUAAGAUCAAAGAGAAUAUGAGUGUCACAAAAACCCUAAAACAUGGCAUUUGUUAUUAGGAAUUCAAGAAUCGAUUUCUCAUAACUAGUUCUUAACCCAAUUAUUCGUUGCAAAUAAGAACACAUUCAAUAUGGCAAUUGACCUAUGUUCUACAACAAUUUAAUUCCAAUACAUGCUUCUAAGUUAGCUACUCAAAGAAACAAAAUAUCAGAAUUCACAUAACAUAUAGAAACCGAAAACAUCACGCUUGUAGAAACUAAAAAUCCAUUAACCUUGUUUAUAAAAUUGAAAUCAUGUUUAGGGCUUCAAGAUUAAGCCCUAACUAACAAGAAAUUAGUUACUCAUGGUCUUGGAUGAACUCAAAAAUAAAUACAUAAGAACUGAAAAUUAAAGAAGGAAGGAAAAGAAAGAACUCGUUCGCAGCUUUCUCCUCUUGCGCUGUUGAUCUCUUUAGGACGUGAAUCCUUUUUAUCAGCCUUGCCUCGUCUUUUAUAUCACUUAUAUCAGAGUUCUAAACCCUAAAAUUGACUGAAAAGUCGUCCAAGAAGUCUUGGUAAACAAGGAAUCCAAAUAGGAAAGUAAAAAUCACAAUUCCUAACUCCACUGGGAAAUACAGCUCAGCCCAAUGUUCACACGAUUUUGGGAUCUUCGACCUUGUAGAAAAAUCAUUAAAAAUAUAUUUUAGAAAGAUAAAUGUCUUAUCUUUCCAACCAUAUAUAGCACGUAACUUGAAAAAUUCGGAAAGGCUUCCGUUUCUUCACAUUCACGUAGCAUGUACGAAACUGUCCUGUCUGCACGUGGGCUAACUUUACUUGUAAUACUGUACCAAUUGGCUCGGUAGAAAAUUCUAGAAAAAUCAUAGAUUGAACUUCAAGAUGUUAGCUUUCAUCUCCAAUCAGGGGCGGCCUUGGGGAGGUGCAAGUGGCGCCACCGCACAGGGCCCCCGAAAAAAAAAAUAUUUAUAUUAUAUAUAUAUAUUAAUAUUAUAUGAAUCGUAUAUAUAAUAUAGCGUCUGGAUAUUUGCACAACAGCGUGUUCAGGGGAGUUGGAUGGAGCACAUCUCUCUUUGGCAAAAGGGCCCGAGUUCGAUGCUCCUUGAUGUCGUUCUACUGGCUAGCCUUUUGUGAUAUUAUUUUUGCAUUCAAACUUUACAUAAUUAUUGAACCAUUGGAUUAAUAUGCAACGAUGGGUGACCACAAUCUCUUGGACUCCUGUGGUCCAUGAGAUCGGGACUGAUAUUACAUGACUUAUUUUAUUAAAUUAUUAUCAUGUUGAUGAUUGGUUGUAUGAGAAUAUAGUUUGUAGAAAUAUUUAUCUAUUUCUUGUUGGGGUUUUCUUCCAGGUUAUAGGGUUUUGGAAUUUUUCUUUGUAAUCUAAACAUGCCACCUACUAGAAAAUACGUUUAUGGAUAUACAAAACGGCUUAGAAAAAGAAAAUUCGAGGAAUUGACUCAAUCUCAAAGAGGAGCUCUUGAUAGAUUCAUUGUUAGAGAAUCACAUGCUACAAUUGAUGAAAAUAUUUAAAUUUUUAUGAAUUUAAUUUCUGAUUUUCAUUGCAUAUUUAUUGAUGGUGAAUUUUAGUUAUAAAAAAAAAUUGUUUAUGACAUUAAGUUAUGGCAAAUUUUUAUAGUAUUUUCGUAUUAGAUUAUGCAAGGCCCCAAUUUAAGUUUCGCACAGGGCCCUCAAAAUCUCAGGGACGGCCCUGUCUCCAAUUGGUCUUGUGCUAAAAUUCCUCCGAAAAGUUGAUUUUCCCUUAAAAACCUUCUAAGAGUGCAGAAAAGCUGAAAAUCAGAAAAAUAAAGUAAUAAGCCAUUUUUAAAUCUAAUUCUCUUACAAAACCAAAGUAAAAAGAGUACAUAAAUGAGUAUAUUUAUGGACUUAUCAACGUCUUCUUCGUUGGACUUGGGGUUGUUUUCCUUAUAUGUCCCCUAUAUAUAUAUAUGGCCUUUAGUUGAGCCCACAAAUACCUUCAGUUAGUUUUUGGGUUUAGGGGCCUACAGAACCUGCACUAAACAAUAAAAGAAAAUACCUAAUUAGUUUAGUACGAAUUUAUAAUGAAGGCUUUAUUAGGUGAAGUUUUAUUUCUUAAUCGUUAGAUCAAAUUGGUUAGCAUCUGAAGUCGCCCAAAGAUUUGAGAGGGAUUCCACAAACAUAUAAUAUAAAGAAAGAAAGCAAUAGUAGGAGAUGAACCAGUACAAAAAACAAUAUAUAAAUAGUACAUAAUAAUUCCAUAACCUUGUCACAAACGCACUCACAAAUGCUUUCCAUAAACCUUGCCCUAACAUAUAACAAAUAAAGGCAACAUUGCAUAUGAUGCAACCAUGUCCAAAUCUGAUACGUGAUAAAAAAAAAAGGACAUGGCAGCAACAUAUGACUGAAGUAGAUGGGCUCUUUGCAUCUCGUGUUAUCGUAAUUAAAGACAUCAAAAUAUUAAGGUUGAAAUCUUCUAUAGUAGCAAGCAUUAAAAUAGGUUUGAAGCAGAGUUUAAAGAAAAUUCCAAUUCCACUGAUUUGCCUCUGCUCAAAGACGAGAACCAAAAUGGUUACUUCCCUUGCUGAGUAUAUUUGUUAACGUCGGAAACGGUAAUAGAUGACCAAUCAAACCCAAGUACGACGAGUUUUGCAUAGGAUCAGAAGUAGUUGAAUCCAGCUUGCAUCACACGCUUCUUUGACUCCAUUGCAUUAGAUGAGUUUUUGUAUUUUUGAACAGCUACACUCCGAAGUCGUUUGUGUCUACGCUUCAUGCGCUGCAACUUCGCCCUAUCCAGAUUGGCCUGCCUUUUGUCAUCUUCAAUUUGGCCUUCAACAAAUUCCAAACGUGCCCUUGCCCUUUGGAUUUCAUCACCAAGUUGAAGAUGCCUCUCCUUCCAAAAAGCAAGAACUCUUUCAGACUCAAAACUUCCAACAAAAUGGUCAUUCUAUCUAGGAAUGUGACAUUGCUUGUCUGGUGACUCACCUGCGUUUCAAAGGCGGUCUUUGUUUGGAGGGGUGUUUAUUAUGCUCACAUCAAACUUGGUUAGUAAAUCCAUUCUAUGGGGGGAGUGAGUUUCUGUGGAGGAGAGAGUUUCAGUAGAUGGAGACAGAUUCGGUGGAGGAGUGAGAUUUUUGUGGAGGGAGAAUUUCUAUGAAAUGGGUGAUAGUAAUACCAAUAAAAGGGUUCCCGCCAAAAAGUAUUUGGUUGACAAUGUAUAAAUUAAUUUUUGGUCUGAUACAAUCUAAGUUUAAUCCUAACUAGUUUGGUUAGUUUGGUUGAAUUCACUAACUAGAUGUCACUUCCAUUGAGUUUCUUUCAACCACUAUCAGUGGUGUAAGGAGAGUGUGAGGUUGACAUGCUUGAAAAGCAAAACCUAACACCUCUUUUU
rnacentral:lncRNA from 1 species